rnacentral:lncRNA from 1 species
CUGCAUCCAUUCAUUGCAAUAACCAAGAAGCAGAGAGUUUCUCUAGAUGGAUGCUUUCCGAGAUUCUUCUUCCUCCUCUUACCGGUGUUCCUAUCAUGCCUUCUUGAGUUUCAGAGGCCCAGACACGCGCAAGGGCUUUACUGAUCACCUCUAUAUAGCCUUGGAGCAAGCAGGAAUCCACACGUUUAGAGACGAUGAUGAAAUCGAGAGAGGGGAGAAUAUUGAGUUGGAGUUAGACAAGGCGAUACAGGAGUCACAAGUAUCGAUAAUUGUCUUCUCCAAGGGCUACGCUUCCUCAAGGUGGUGUUUGAACGAACUUGUGAAGAUCGUGGAACGUAGAAAUACUGAUCGUAGACAUGUGGUUCUGCCAGUUUUCUAUGAUGUGGAUCCAUCCGAUGUCAGGAAGCAGAGUGGUUCUUUUGCUGAAGCAUUUGCCAGACAUGAGGAGCGAUUCAGUACGGAGGAGAUGGACAAGGUAGAGCAGUGGAGAAGAGCUCUUAGAGAUGUUGCAUCUUUGGGAGGAAUGGUUUUAGGAGAUCGGUAAUUUCUUUUCUCAUUAUGUUCUCACGCUAAUUGAAAGUGUCUUUUAAAUUAGAAAACUAGAUUUUAAUCCCUAAACAAGGUAGAGUUUAGAAAAAUAUUUUAUACAAGAUUAAAAAUUGAUUUUAGUCAUUAGACGUCAGCAUAUAUAUAUAUAUAUUCAAUGUCUCUUGUUUUAUUUAUAAUUUUAUGAAAAUAUUAUGAAUUUUAAUUCUAUAAGAAAAUAUUUUCGUAGAGAUUUUUCGGUACGCAUAUGUUUUUGCAUAUUUUCUUAUUUGCCACUAAUUCAUUACAAUAUAUUUAGGUACAAAUAUUUUGGUACACUGGGUUAGUAUAAUAUGUUUAGGUACGGACAUUUCGGUAAACUAGUUUAGUAUACUAUAUUUAGGUACUGACAUUUCGGUACACUAGUUUAAUAUCAUAUAGUUAGGUAUGGAAUUCUCGGUUUACUUAUGUUUUUAUAUAUUUUCUUAUGUGUCACUAAUUCACUACAAUAUAUUUAGGUACUUGCAGUUGGGUACAUUAAUUUAGUAAAAUAUAUUAUGAUACAGACGUUUAGGUAUACUAAUUCGAUAAAAUUAAAUAAAAUUUAUUAAGUUAAAUAAAAUUAAUGAAUUAAAAUGUGUAUAAUAAUAAAUUUAAAAUUUAAUGUAAUAACAUUAAAUAAGUUAUCUAUUAAAUAUAAAAACAAAAAUAUAAUAUGAAUUUGAAUUAAGUACACAUUAAGGGACUAAAAUCAAUAUUCAAUCAAACACAAGAUUUUUAUUAAAUUUUAAUUUUCUUGAAGGAUUAAAGUUCAAAAACCCUUAUAGAAAACUAAAUUUUAAUCCUUGGCAAAUACGACUUUUAGACUAAAACCAUGAGUAAAAUCAAAAUCUAAUUUUUGUCCUAUGAUACAUUAAUAACCUCAUUUAUUAAUUAUAUAUAUUUUUUAAUUAUUUCUCUUUUUCUUCCUAAUUUUUAAUGUAUUAAUUUUAUUUCACUAUAAUUUUCAUUUUCAUUUCAUUUAUCGUAAUAUAUUUUGUUGUAAACAUUUAGAUAAACUAAUUUUCGUUACAUAAUAUAUUUUGAUGUACUUUGUCUUUUUCAUUUAGGUAUAUUAAAUUCAUUAUAAUACAUUUCAAUGCAUACAUUUAGAUACACAUAUUUCGGUACAUACAUUUCGACAUAAACAUUUAGGUACAUUAAUUCAAUAUAAAAUAUUUAGAAAACUAGAUUUUAAUUCUUAAAUAAGAUGAAGUUUAGAAAAAUGUCUUAUACAAAAUUAAAAAUUGAUUUUAAUCCUUAGACUCUAUUUAAUGUCAGCACAUGUAUUCAAUGUCUAUUUUUUUUUAUUUAUAAUUUUAUAAAUUUAAAUUUUAUGAAAAUAUUAUAAAUUUUAAUUGUCAUUAUGGUAAGCAUCUUAUAUAAGAAAAUAUUUUCGUAGAGAUUUUUUGGUACACUUAUGUUUUUGCAUAUUUUCUUAUUUGCUACUAAUUCAUUACAAUAUAUUUGGGUACAAACAUUUCGGUACACUGGGUUAGUAUAAUAUGGUUAGGUGCGUAUAUUUCGGUACACUAGUUUAGUGUAAUAUAUUUAGGUACCGACAUUUGGGUACACUAGUUUAGUAUCAAAUAGUUAGAUACGGAAUUUUCGGUACACUUAUAUUUUUACAUAUUUUCUUAUGUGUCACUAAUUCACUACAAUAUAUUUAAGUACGGGCAUUUCGGUACACUAAUUUAGUAAAAUAUAUUAUGAUACAGACGUUUAGGUACACUAAUUAGGGAAAGUUAAAUAAAAUUAAUGAAUUAAAAUGUGUAUAAUAAUAAAUUUAAAAUUUAAUGUAAUAACAUUAAAUAAGUUAUCUAUUAAAUAUAAAACAAAAAUAUAAUAUGAAUUUGAAUUGAGUACACAUUAAGUGACUAAAAUCAAUAUUCAAUCUAACACCAGGUUUUUAUUAAAUUUUAAUCUUCUUGAAGGAUUAAAGUUAAAAAAAACCCCUUUUAAAUUAAGUAAAGGUUUUUUUAGCCAAAAUGAUCAUGAGAUUUGCAUAACUCACAACUUUAGUCCCUGAGAUUUAAAAUCAAUAGAAGGAGUCUUUGAGAUUGUCCACCAUCAAUCAUUUUGGUUCUUGGGUGAAAAAUUAAGUUAAAUAAGGAUCAAAAUGAUAAAAUUAUCCUUAAUUUAAUAAACAAUAGGCCAAAAUGAUUUGACCAAAUUGAGGGUAUUUUUAUCAUUUUAUCCUUAUUUUAUGGAGAUUUUUCACUAAAUAACCAAAAUGUGAACAAACUCGGGACCAAUUAUAUCGAUUUCAAAUAUCAGGACCAAAGUAAGCAGUUGUGUAUUUUGGCUAAAAAACCUUAAGUAAAAUUGUAGAUGGCAGUGAAACUUGAAGUUGUUCGAUUUUGGUUUAUAUGCUCCUAUAUAUACUGCGAUUUUGGUUUAUAUUUUUCUAUCGAUUUUGGUUUAUUUGUUCUCAUGCUUAUUUCUGCGUCGUAUAUUUCGAUUCAAAUGAAUUACAGGCAUGAGGGGCAGUUCAUCCGAGAAAUUGUUGAAAAGAUUAGAAAUAAAAUGGGUCACGCAGCUUUACACGUCACUCCCUUUGCAGUUGGAAUGGAUAAUCGUGUGAGACGCCUAAACAUGUGGUUACAAGAUGGAUCAAAUGAUGUUGGUUUAGCUGUCAUCUGUGGGAUGGGUGGAAUUGGCAAGAGCACCAUCGCGAAAGCCGCUUAUAACCGCAACUUUGAAAGAUUUCAAGGUAGCAGCUUUCUUGCAGGUAUACGAGAAUCUUCAGAACAAUCCAAUGGUGUUGCUCGCUUGCAAAGAAAACUUCUUUCAGAUAUCCAAAAGGGGAAAGCAAAGAAAGUAUACAAUAUGGAUGAAGGAACAAUCAGGAUCAAACAAGCCGUAGGCAAUAAAAAAGUUCUUAUUGUUCUUGAUGAUGUGAGCAACCGGGAUCAACUCAAUGCAAUUCUUGGAAUGCGAGAGUGGCUUCAUCCAGGAAGUAAAAUUAUCAUAACAACUAGACAUGAGCAUUUGUUAAAUGCUCAUGAAGUUUUUGAAAAGUUUAUGGUUCAAGAACUGGAUGAGGAUGAAUCACUUGAGCUUUUCAGUUGGCAUGCCUUCGGACAAUCCCAUCCAGUAGAAGGUUACAUGGAGCUUUCAAGACAUGUGGUGCAGCACUGUGGAGGGCUUCCAUUAGCUCUUCAAGUUCUGGGAUCUUCUCUAUCUGGAAAAAGUGUAGAAGUGUGGAAAAGUGCAUUGAAGAAGUUAGACCUGAUCCCUAAUGACAAAAUUCAAAAAGUUCUGAGGAUAAGUUUUGAUUCUUUACAAGAUGAUCAUGACAAAAAUUUAUUCCUUCAUAUAGCCAGUUUCUUCACAGGAAAGUCAAUGGAUUAUACAAGUGCAAUGUUGGACAGCUUAGAGUUUUGCACAAGGAUUGGGAUUGAAAAUCUAGUUGACAGAUACCUAGUGGAAAUUCAAGGGUCGAAGUUGGUCAUGCAUCAAUUGGUGAGAAACAUGGCAAUGGCAAUUAUUCGCGAAGAAUCACCUGAUGAUCCUGGAAAACGUAGUAGAGUGUUACAGAAUGAUGCUUCUAAUAUUUUGAGAAAAUUAAGUGUAAGAACUAAGUUUUUCAUGCGUAUGUUUUUAGUUAUGAUUUACAUGUGUAGUACUAGUUACCCAAAUGCUCUGAUUUUUUUUGCAGGGCACGGAAAAUAUUAAGGGCCUCAUGCUCAACCUUGCUAGCAAAAGAACGUUUGUUGGAAGUGAUAAAAAACAAUGCCAUGUUGAAGAUUAUGAUAGAAAUUGUUCAAGACAACGUUGGCUUGGUUUCUUGUCUUGGAAGCCAAUUAGCUUUUCCUCCACAAACUCAGCUUCUGCAUCAAAUGAGAUAGAUUUCAAAUCUGAGGCGUUUAGAAGGAUGCACAAUCUUGAAAUUCUCAUUCUCAACAACGUCAACGUCGAGGGAAGCUACGAAGAAUUUUCAAAAAGUUUAAUAUGUUUAUCUUGGAGAGGAUUCCACUUAAAAUCAAUACCAGAAAAUUUUUAUUUGGAAAACCUGGUUGUUCUUGACAUGCGAAAUAGUAGCCUACAACAUGUUUGGAAUGGGAUCAGGGUACGUAACCCUCUCUCUCUCUCUCAUUCUUUCUCUCACACAUGUCCAUUAUAUCUUCUUAGAAAUUGAUUAAUACUUGUUAUUGAAACAGUUUCUUCCGAGGCUGAAAAUUCUUAAUCUCAGUCAUUCGCAUGGCCUUAGGACAACCUCCGACUUCUCAGGACUCCCUAACCUUGAGAGAUUGAUUCUUAAAGAUUGCAUAAAUUUGGUUGAGGUUGAUGAGUCCAUCGGAUACCUAGAGAAACUUGUUGUUUUGAAUCUAGAAGGCUGCAAAAAUCUCAUGAAGCUUCCAAAAUUGAGAUCUAUUCAGGAUCUUAUUCUUUCUGGUUGCUCAAAGCUUGUGCUUGGUGCCAAUACGACUGCCACAACUGGUCACUUACAAUCUACAGCUUGUGAAAUGAAGAAACUCAAUCUGCUAUCAGCUAAAUCAUGGUAUUCAAUCUGGUCGCAGGUGUCGCCAAGAAAAAAUAUUGAACCAAGCAGUUUCUCAUUGGCAAGUUUACCACAUUCCUUGACAAGUUUACGUCUGGAUAGCUGCAAUCUAUCAGAGAUUCCGAGUGCCCUUACUAUGCUGUCUUCGUUAGAGUACUUGGAUCUGUAUAACAAUCCAAUUACAAGCCUACCAGAGAGCAUGAACAAUCUUGUUAGGCUUCACACUCUUGCAGUAGAAGGUUGCAGAAACCUCACAAUGCUUCCAGAGCUCCCACAUAGUUUGAAACAAUUGAAUGGUAGAGGUUGCACAUCAUUGAAAAGAAUAACAAAUUUACCGAACUUGCACAUAUCACCUACCGUAUAUCCCUUCGGCAUGCAAAAGGACUUAGAUUUAAUGCAUUACAAUAUAGUAUUGGACUCAAAUUUAUGGUAUUGUGGGAAACUAGUUGAUGUUGCAAGCUUGUUCAAUACACUACCAUUGAGCAGCUUUGACAUAAAACUCCUCAAAGAUAUGGAUCUAUUCGAUUUGAAACCCAACGGUGGCGUAGAGGUCCAAAGGAACAACGAUUGUGCAAGUUUUAGCAAGCCAAGGCGCUCCAAGGUUCUCUCUCUCUCUCUCUCUCUCUCUCUGCUAUGUACAAGUGCUUAUAAUAUGAUCUCUAUGGCGUAAACAAUUAGAUUGUAAUCGCAGGGAACUUUUGAAUGCGGCAUAAUUAGCAUUUUUGUGCACGAGAGCAAGAUUCCAGAUCGGUUCAAUUACAGGUGGAUGCCUCCAGAUCGGUUCGAUUACAGGAGCAUGGGUAACACUGUGUUCUCUAUUAUUGUUCCUUCACAGCCUAAUAUCAAGAUCGUAGGUUUAAAUGCAUGUAUACUGUAUGCCCGGCAAUCGGAUCGAAGCCCUGUGAUUCCAUUUGGGAUUCCAUUUGGAAACUCUCAUGCCCAUUCGCUUGAACUUAGGAAUGAGACAAAGGGCCUUAAGUGGAACUUAAGAAUGUCGACUGGGGUUGAAUGGAAAGUGAUGAACGAAGAUAUGUUAUGGCUAAGCCAUUGGAUUAUGGGGAACAAUGAAUUGGAGUGCGGGGAAAAAGUGUAUUUUAGACUAACCGAAGAUCAUGACGAUUUAUUCACAAAGGGGAUUGGAGUCCAGUUUGGGUACGAGCAGCAAAAUAAGGAUAAGGAGGAUGUCCCAUCAAGUAGUGAAGAUCCAAUGAUCCUACCUGACAGAUCGCCUUGGGACGGCGGUCACGCUUCCAGCUGGGUAACGGAUUCAUGUCAGAGAUUUAUCGGGCCGAAAUGGAUCGAGAACCUUAAGAAGGAAUCUAUUUCAACUGUCGUGUGCGCGGCUAAUUACUCUCUCUGUAACCAUGAAGUGAUCGACCUUGAGAACGAGUCCCGCAUGACGCCAUGGUAACGAGUGCUCUAAACUAUUACCCAGGUUAAUUCAAAUUGAUGGUGAUGAUGCACAAAUCACUAAAUUCAAAUGUGUAUUGGUUGUUAAGCUUCGUUUCUAUCCAUUUUCAAUUUUCCCUAAAAAAUUGUUUUCAAUAAAACCUGUUUUGAAGAAAAAUAAAGUUUCAGAGCCCAACUAGAAAAUAAGCCCACGAGUUGUGGUGUGAACUAACUGUUUCAGGCGUAACUGCAUGAAUAAGACACAUUUCACACGUAACUGAAUAAAUAAGACACAAAGUGCAAGAAGUAAAGCUCAUAUUUAGCAGUGUUAUUUUAACAACAAUUGUUCAAGUGGUGGAUUGCCCCGGUGGGUAGGGCAUUUCUCUUAGUCCUACUGCAUUCCGGGUUCAAAGUUCCAACCAUCCCCCGUACCAGUUUAAGCACACCAAAGACCAAAUUUAGCAUGUUCUGUCGUCAUCCACCCAACCCAGCAGAUAUACAAAAUUCAAAUAGAACUUGGCAAAUUCAUCCUCUUAAAAUACAAAACGAAAAUAAUUUAUGAUCACUGACCUCUGAGAAUCGAAUGAUAUUCGGAUUCUUCAAUGAUCUGUGGUUCAUGAUUUCCCCUUGAACAUGUUCAUCCAUCUGCAUCACCAAAAAAAAAAAAUAUUUAAAAAAAAUACAAAAUGAAAAUAGUUUAUGAUCACUAACCUCUUUGGAUCGAAUGAUAUUCGGAUGGUCCAGUGAUCUAUGGUUCAUGAUUUCCCAUUGAACAUGUUCAUCUAUCUGCAUCACCAAAAAAUUAAUAAAUAUUUUAAAAAAAAUACAAAAUUUAAAGGAUAAGAAUUGCGAAGAUUCUUAGGUCUUAGUUCGAAAUGUAAUAGCUCAUCUCACCUCCAUAUAUUACCAAAUCUUAGUCUAUAUGAUUUUGCCAGAGCCACCGAAUGUUGAUAUAUAUCUGUUGCAUGUUCUACUACCAUCAACAUUAUAAAGGUUUCUAAUUGAAUCAUAUAUUUAAAAUCCAAGCAUGAAAGUUUUACAAAGAUAAAUAAACAAAUGUAAAUAACUAAUUAGGCAAUACACAGCAGAGAGGGGAGAGAGAGAGAGAGAGAGCAAUUGAAGGGAAUGCAUAGUUAUCUCUAUCUUCGGAAAAAAAAAAAGAAAAAAAGAGAGCAGUUGAAGGAGUGAGAAGCAAAGCAGCAUACCAAGUGGAGAGUAAGCAAUUAAGCAUAGUCAUCUCACGUACGGAUUGCCUGAGAACUGAUCUUUGCUUCUCUUCCUUAUGAUCCUCUUAAAUGCAAUUCUACACAUUUCUAAACCAAAAUUGCAAAGCAGAAUUCAAAGAAAUUUAAAGAAACCUAGUAAAGAUUCAAACUUUUUUAUUAUCCAAAAGAUGUACAUAACCCCAUGUAACAAAAACAAAUUUAUGACACAAAAGAAAUUAUCUUUAGCCACAAAAAGCAAAAAAGAGAAAGAGAGAGAUUUUGCUUUUUGCACUAUGCAGAAUGUGCAGAGAAUCAAAAUAUCAUAACCCAUUUAACAACAUGAUAUUUUAGGCAAAAAGGCAUCACCUUUAGACCCCAAAUGAAAGAAUUUGAGAGAGAGCGCAUACGUGGUUUCCAAGAAGAGGAAGAGAGCAAUUCUAUUUCCUGUAAAAACGAAGAAACAGAGCAUUAACAAACACACAUGCACAAAUCUCAAAAGGAAAUUGGUAAGAAAUAAUCGUAAUUGAGAAAAUAAUUAGAAAACUAGAGAGGACACAAUUGGAGUCUAAUUCUACAGAACCCACGAGUCAAGACAAACAAAUAUCCAAAAUUAACAGAUUACAGUAACAACAUUCCAACAAAAGUAAGAAGACCAGAAAAAUUAUCUAUUCUAAAGUACAUUAGUUCCAUCAUGCAUAAAUCAAGGGAGUCACGGAAGGCCAGUAUCUUAAGGUAAUCCAACAUGUUAAAGCAUCCAAACAGAGACUCAGAAUUACAAAACGCAUGAAAAUUCACAUUCCAACGUGUUAUGCAAUCACCAAUUUCAGAUCAACCAAAACCAAAUAAAUUUAUAUCAGUACGCAUCAAACCCACCAAACCCAAAAUCAAAAGAAGGUGAUCAAAUGUUUGAUUUUGCUAAAUAUUACAAAAUAAAAUAAAUAAGAAUAUGUACAAAUCAACAUGCAUACCUUGUAGCGGUGCAGGGAACAGUAGCGUGAGCUGCAUCGAGGGCAUGUGUACUGGGAAAAUUGCUACUGGCAGCUGCAACUAACAAAAACAAAAACAAAACAAAAUUGAAUAAAAUCAAAAUUGGAAAAAUUUCCAGAAAAUAAAUAAAACAAAUUAUCAAGCUUUGUUGAUGAAAGAGAGGUGGGGUUGGUGAAGAACAUACAUGCGGCUAUGAGCAGUAGAUAAAAGAUUUCAAAAUGAUUUCUUCACUUUUCAAUCAGGACAUGCACGAAUAUAAAAAUGGCAGAGAGGAUUAAAACCAUACCAAACACUAGAAAAUCAAGUAUAAAAAUCGUACUUACCUUGUGAAUGAGGACAUGCAGACACAUGAUGGAUGAAGGACAGCAAAUCCCGCAUACACGAACCUAACUUGCCAUUGUUCGCCACCCCCACCCCUCCCUAUCUCUCUCUCCCUGCAAUCCCAACGAUUUCUCUCACUGUCAUCCUCCCACUCCCGAAUCGAAUAUCCGCACGAAAUCUCUCUCUCUCUCUCUCUCACUCGGUUUCUCUCACUGUCACCCUCCCACUCCCGAAUCAAAGAUCCGCACGAAAUCUCUCUCCCUCUACAAGCAGCAUGGCCGCUGUCCCUCUCUGUCUGCCCUCACCAUCAAUCCCAAUCCCAAAAUUAAGAUGACAAAAGUGCCCUGCAACCCUUUAAUUCUAGCCGCGUGAUCCUAACCCUAGAUGAAUAUUUCUGGAAUUUGAACACCCAAAGUAUCUCAUCAAAUGUGGAUGUACCUGUCAUAGUAUGAAUCUGAGAAUUUCUCAAUUCAACUCUCGAAUUUACUGUGACAGUAAUAAUAUAUCAUGUGGAAAGAGGUGGGAUUAUGGUAAAAGAUAGAACUUUAGCUGAUGGUAAACAACAUUUGGGAAUUUGAUGUAAGCCGGCUGGGAAUCCCAAAUGUUGUUUACCAUAAGUUAAAAUCUAAUCUCUGAUUAAAAAAAUAAUAAUAAAAAGCACACCUCAAACUGAUAAGGACCAUAAUUUUCAAGGGACACUGCUUUUCAAUGGUUACCAUAAAAAAAAAUAAUGAAAGAACUGAUCAUUUGAAUUAUUCAUGACAGAACCAAUUUUGAUUUGAAAUAUGAUGGCCAAGAACAAAUCACACUGCUUUUCAAUGGUUACCAUAAAUUUUCAGAAGUUACAGAAGAUUUUUUAUCAAUUGAAAAGACAAUGGUCACAUAUAUCUACAAUUAACCACCAGUAAGCGUGAAAUACUACAUCACAAUGCAAUAGCAGCUAUACAGGAUGUCAUGCCAUUCAUACUAUGACAAAUCACAAAAGUGACAAUUAAAGGGCACCUAACAGACACCCCCAUCUCUCUCUCUCUCUGCAAUAGCAGAAAUCCCUCGGGUUUCAGGAAGCAAAUGGAAAACAAAAUGCUUUUACAUCCCCUACCCAUACCCAUACCCCUCCCUUACCCAUUCCCUUUACCCUUGCAGAAAAUCCUCCCAUCUCUCUCUCACCCUUGUCCCAUCUCUCUGUCUGCAAAUCGCAGAAAAGAAACCCUGAACAAAUCACUGAAAUCCCUCGCCUAAAUCCUCCCACAUUUCUCUCAGACACCCUCUAUCUCUCUCUCUCUUUGCAAACCCUAAACCAAAUCUCCUAAAUUCUAUCUCGGACACCCCACAUACAGCCAAGAAGCCAAGAUAUUAAAGCAAUCUCUACAUAAUACUUUGGAACAAUGAAGCAAAAUGGUACUUACUUGUUCCUUGUCCAAAACCGUUGGUGCCGCCGCACAUUGUUAUUAAUUGUGGGUUGAUCAAAUCCUUCAUGGCUUAGACUGCAUGAAGAAUUAGAAACUAAAAGAUGAAUAUAUGCUGUAAAUCAUCAUAUAAAUGUAACUGCAUUUAAAAAAAGAAGGGAAUGAAAAAUUGAAUUCUAUUUCAUCAGUAUGUAACUGCAUGAAAAGUUACAUUGAAUGCAGACUCAAUCAAUUUCCCCAAAGUCAUUGUUAACUGAAAAUCAAUAUCAAACCCAUAAAUACCACCAUUGAAUUUGCGAAACCCAAAAACAAAAUACAAAAAUUUACUCAUAUAAUCACAGAAAAACAUGAAAUUUGAGCACAUAUUUGGCAAAGUUAAAGGAUAAAGGCACUCACAUCAUCGUAGUACUCUUCGGGAAGAACUUCUAAUAAUGGUUCUUCCUUUUUCUUGCUCUUCCUCAGAGCUGCCAUAAAAAAACCCAGAGAAGCACACAAAUUCAGAAAAGAAAAGGUCCAAAACAGCCAUAAAAAAUCCAGAAAGCAUACAAAUUUAUCAGAACAAAAACCAAAUGAUGUGAGAUAGUGAGAGGUUGUGUUAGGCACCCGUAACACGUUUUGGUUUCAAUUAAAACGGCCAGAGCGUUGCAUGCGAGGAAGAUGACGAUAGGAUUCCAAACACAACAUCCACAUUCUUUUUUCUUGGGUGAACUAACCAAAUCAUAUUAUAUACUAAAAUGACAUAAAAAAUCAUUCACAAAAUCACAACAAAAUAGAACAAAAACAUUCACAAAAGAAUUCCCCAAGUUUUCAAAUGGAAAUUAAACAUUUACAUAGCUUAUAUAAAAAGCCGAAAUAUAAAAAUUAAUCAAAAGGUUGAGAUAACUCACAUCCCAGUAAUGCUUAUUGCUGAUAUUAACACCCACUGACAGCAGCCCUCGGUUUGUGGAAUUCCCACGCCCAACUCCAUGACCUCUGUCUCUGCCAUCCCUCUUUCCCUCACAACCAUACCCACUUUCGACCCACCCCUCAAUCCCGACACCAACCCUUGAUUUAAGGAGGAAAAAUCAAUCCAACCACCCUUUUCGCAAGCCUCACUCCUCCCUCUCCCUUCCCCUCCCUGCCAAUCCCAUGCCCAUCUCCCUCGUUGUAGCUCAGCAACCCACGUUUUUUGGCACCAAACACUAUGUCCUAGGAUGAUGUGACAAUUUAUCAAAGUCAGAAAAUGCAUUAUCUCAGUUUAGGUUGGUAGCAUAUAUGAUCCCUGUGCAGCAACAUAGAAUACUUAGUAAAAGUUGCAUUUCUGAGAACAAAUAACCAAUGCUUGACCGAAAAAACAAUGCAGAUGCUUUAGUAUACAGAAUUACAGUUUUAUUCAAGCUUCUCAGUCACAAACUAACCUUCCUUUGUCGAGCAGCAAGGAGGAGGGGGAGAAAAUUGAUUCCUGGAGGAGCUUUUUCGUUCAAAACUAAGUCAAGCUGCAAGGACGAAGGGUCGAGGAUUGUUCGUGAGCUGGUGUUGCGGAUAUAAACAUAUAGAAAGCUCCACUGUGUCAUAACAAACACAAAUUGAAUAUGAUCACCAUGUCACAUUAAUUACCUAAAAUUCAAAAUGUUAUAUACAUUAGUAUGUUGAAAAAAUUAGUUACAUUUCAUUAAACUAAAAAAUUUACAGAAUAUGAGAAAUAAAGAAUUUGUAUUGUUUAUAUAAAAAUAGAAUAACAAAGAACAUCAUUGACUACCAUUUUAUUCGGUAGUUUCCUCCAACUGCAAUUGUUGAGAUUGUAGGAGAUCUUCGAAUAAAGCCUUCAAUUCAACCAUCCGUACACAAACAUAAUAGACAAUGUUUUUUAGCGAAUUAUGGACAAAGCUUAAUAUUCAAAUGCAAUGAAGUGGAAAACACAAUCCAAUAUAUGGAUAUGCAUGCUAUAGGAAACCAUUCAUUUGUAGAUGGUAUUGUGUCACCAAUAUUGUAUUUAAAAAUCUACCCAAGAUAAAGAUGCAAUAUAUAGUUUGGUAAAAAAUCAAAACGAAGAGUUAACAAAGGAAAAGGAUUAAGACGUUGAAAAUACAAAACUGGAUUCUUUUAUUUGGUAAAGACGGUUCCCCCACUGGCUGUCUGAAACCACAAACACUUUUUACAUAGAAACUUUAUAAACUAAUAGAUUAAAAUAAAUCUAAGUGUUAUAAAUGAAAAAUCCUGGGAUUGAUAGUAAUGGCAUCAACAGUGCCACCACAUCCCAAAUAAAUGAAUGAAAAUAUAGUGAUUAACAUCCAACAAAGAAGCUCAAGCUUGAAAUAAACCAAGGCAUAAAAGCUUACCAAACUUUUCAAAUGGCUAAAUUGUUCAUUUAACAUGAUAACUUCUUCCUGCAAUCCAUAAGUAAGACCAUUAGAUGCGGUAAACAAAACAUCAUACUUCAUAUAUGGCAAUCUAGCAGAGAAACCAAUUGCAUUCAGAUGGAGCCUAAUUUGUGGAACUACAUUUAUAUGCACUGAAAUGCAUUAUCAUGUUGUCAUAUUUAAAAACUGAGGUUUAUGCAGUAUGCUAUCUUUAGCAUACACAAAAUUUUUGCCCCUCAUUUUUGAAGUUCCGCACUUCAUAAUUUAUAUACUUUCAGUUUCCCUUCUAAUGAAGGUAUGGACUGCUUUCCAUUUGGAAUUUUCGUAAGACAAUGUUAUGAUAUUCCUAAUUUAGAAUGUGUUUCCACUCUAAUGAAUGCAAGCCCUAAAUCAUAAAUAUUGUACAAUUAUGUGUUUGAGCACGUGGCAGGGCAUGAGAAUCAGAACCACUCCGUGUUGUUCUCCGCUUCGUGAUUUGGUCAUCAAACAAUACUUCAUUCCCUCCAUCCUUUAUCACGUCUUCUUGGUGAUCAUUUGUCCAUCUCCAAACUGUAUCCACAAAAAACUACAAAUUAAUCCCAAAAACAAUCAUACAAAAAAAUUGCGGAUUAGAUUUGAUUACGUACCAUUUUCCCAGGAUGUAGAGCUCAGUGAUGAUGCCCUCCUCGCUUUGCACCUUAAACAUCGACAUUUUAAACCAGAAACCAAAAUCAAACAAACAUAAAGAAAUACGACUGACAGAAUCACACUGUAAGACACCACUCCCUCGCUUCCACGGUUCCAACCACAACACCAAAAACAACAAUAACAAUAAUAACAAUGUACACUCAGACAAAACAAAAAUGCACCACAGCCCUCCAGUGCUAUAACAGCACUUCUCUUCUAGGACAACUUUGAUAUCUAUGGACUGUUCCCUUCUCCAUGUUACAACGAUAGUAUUAGAGCUCUUACAACAUCACAGAUGCAUGACCAAGAGUGUAUUCGACAACCUUUUCUCUGAUCCUUUUCAUCAGUUGGUCCUAAAGAUUGUAUUCUUCUAAAUUCAUCUUCUUUUUGGGUAUCCAGAGACAUUUAUCACUUCAUAUGCCGAACACAAAACACCUAACAUUUUGGGUGACAAAUUAGAAGCAACUAAUCGGAAUAUGGGUACUGAGAAUUGAAUUACUCUUUGUUCUUAUAGUCCUAAUGGAAAUUACUCGUUGAUUCACAAAAUUAAUCAAACUAAAAUGCAAGAAAAGCAAAAUCAACAACCCAUACAGAAUUAUGAAAAGAUCCCAACAAACCAACCAAACAAUUAACAUUUAAAAAAAAAAAUUGCAAAGUUGGAGGGAAAGAAGCACGAGAAAAAAUAUACACAUCCAAUGCUUUUAAUCUAAAGCUAGAAGUAGGAAUAACUGAGUAAGUUAAUGAAGGCAAAGCAGAGGGUAGGAAGCAGAACAUACCAAGAGACCAAUAGGGCAUCCGGGCCGGUCUGCCGAUGAACGCCGUGUCCUGGUCGACAACGCCCAACGGCGUCGGCCCUGCAAAGAAGUAAAAGUCGAAAACACUCCCAAUGACCUUGUAGGUGAGAGAAGUCCCUCUGUAGAACACAUCCAUGCCAUUGCUGUUGAUCAGCAUAACAGAGUGCGCGUAAGCCUCGUUGCCCACAUUCUGGAGAUCCAUGUAAAACCGGGUGGGACCCGUACAAAUCAGUGUUGAGAUUGAUCGCCGAGACUUCAGUGGUGAAGAGGGUGUGUGGAUCGUUCGGGUAGAGCUUGAUCCCGUGCGGCUGAGUGUUCUCUCCGAGGCCGUACAGGGAGGCGUCUUUCGGCGGUCGGGUGGAUAUCUCGAGGUACUGGUCCUUAAACACCAGUUCGCCAUAUGGGUCUUUGGAGUAGGAGCUCAAAUGAAGAGGACCUGCCCGUUGGACUUCCUCUUGAAGGCGAACCCAAAUGGGUCGGAGAUGAAGCUGAGAAUGAGCUCAGAGCCGGAGUAGUCUGAGACUUCGAUGGGGUUCUUCGUCUUCGCCUGAAACACGUUUUGGUUUCAAUUGAAAAGGCCAGAGCCUUGCAUGCGAGGAAGAUGACGAUAGGAUUCCAGAGAUAGAGAAAGAAGGAGUAAGACGACGGAGGCGAGAGAAGGAAGACGGCGGCAAGAGGAGGAUAGGACGGAGGCGAGACCAUCUGUAUCGUAGGUCUGUGAGACGUACAAGGCAAGGAGGGUUUGAGAAGGAAACGGAAAAGGCCUGCUUUACCAUUGCUAUUCCCUUCCCGCGAUCAUCAAGGCGUGCGCAACAAGAUCAGCGGCAGAGAGAGUCUGUGGCAAAUUUGUAUAUAAAUUGAAAUUCAUCCCAAAACAUUGUUCAUUUGAAUAAUGCAAUUGGAAUCCCUUCUUUAGACAAAAGUAAUUUUUAAGUAGAAUGCCAACUUAGAUUUUGAGGAAAACUAAUGAAAAUGACUUGAAAACUUUGAGUUUUAAUGAUAAGGACAAAAUAAAUGGUAAAGUGAAUAGUAUCAUAAUUGACUUUUUAGUGUAAAAAUAUGAUUUUUCGUUAAAAUGAAUAUUACCGCGGGUUUUUCAUUAAAACUCCCUAGAUUUUAUGCAAACCAAAACCUUACCAUUAUUCAUACUUGCCAGAAGGCCUCAGAAGUCUCCACUAAAAUGCUUCCCUAAGCACAAGUACAUAAUAAUGCCACUGACAACUAGCUCGUCGAUCACCUCAGCGCUGCGGUUAAUGCUUUCGGCGCCACUUUUACAUUUCACUCUUAGUAAGAUGAGAUGAAGACGGGUUCUCAGAAGAUCCAAUUCCGGUAUCUCAAUUCAAUUGCGCAAUUGUUCCUCGUUGUAACUCGAUCUUGAGUAUUGUACAACCAUCAUAUUGCCAACAGCCUUUGAGUCCCGACUACAAGCAGAAGCAUUUACCAAGUUGUCACAAGGCCCGUCAAUACUGGCAGUGUCAUCAGCGGAGGAUGAGUGAUUAAUCGUGCUUCUGUUCUUGUUUUCAGUUUCCAUUCUAUCAUUUUCUGUAAUGACACCUAGAGUUUCAGCCGCUUCAACCACUUGCGAUUCAACAGAUGUCUUGCAAAUAACAGCGGGAUCAAUAUCAUGGCUGUGGUAAUCAUCAGGAUGAGUUACUUUGCAUUGCUCUACAAACUCCAUUGUUGAGGAAAGGAUAUUCAUGUCCUUGUCCAUCGUAUUUUCUUGGCUAUUUCUAUUUAAGAUGUCAUCCUCAAAUCCGGUUGGAUUAGUGCGAGCAUCAUCUGCAGGAGACAGGUCUUCAUCUAUCUGUUAAACAAUGACCUGUGUUUGCUUUCAGAGAAGACACUGCUAGACACAACCUCGUCAACAGAAUGCAACCCUAGUGGGGAAAUGCAGAUGAAAGAGGGAUCAACUUUUCAUCGCCAGUAAUUUCUUCUCCAUAACUCUCAUUACAUACGCCAUUUCCACGUGCUACCACAUUACUCGGUUAGGUAGCCACUACCUUUGGUUCUCUCAGCAGCUACAUCUCCAUUACCACAGUUAUUCGCAUUUGGAGAUAAUACUUCCUCAUUUAUUGGAUCCUCAUUUACUAAUCCUUGAUCUCGAUUGGCAAAAGAUGCCACAUUUAUAGUGGUAUCAUUGCUUUCCAAAUUAACUAGUCCACUUAAUUGCUUCUGUACAAAGACUGCUAAAGAAACAGCAUGAUCACGAAUCAAAGAAUCAUGAGACGGGUAGUGUAGCAUAUCGAUCAAGGCCUUAUGGUACUGUGUGGCAGAUAUUAAUAACUUUGAGUAUAUGUUCACACAGGUUGCCCAUUUCUGCCCAAUGGCAGUUGCAAAUACCAAACUCGUCAAUAACUUUUGCACGAGUACCUUCUAUGAUAAUAUUGCAGUUAAGAAUCUUCAAAGCUUUACGCCAAGAUGUUAAACCACUCGCCCACUCAUCUUUCCAAUAUUGUGCAAAAUCAUCAUUCUCAGAAUAUUCAUCAAGCCAGAAGAAGGAAUGCACUUUUGUACCCAGCUUAUUAACCAACCAAUCAACUCGUUUUUACACUCUAGGUUUAUUCUCGUUCAAUAACCUAAGCUUUAGUGGCUGUGCUAGAACUCCAUUGCCGCAGAGGUUUCCUAGCUAGCAAGAGGAAGAGUUUGUAGUGCAGAUACCCACAUCCCUGAGUCAAAAGACAUUUUUCUUGUGCGAGUUAUUCAAGAUAAAGCAAAAGAAAAUUAAGGACCCUGUUUAAAGAGAAGGGGGUGAAGGAAUUAAACGACACACUUGUUACUUCGUAUCAUAAGGCAAAAUAUACCUCUACUAAAGAUGAUAGUAACUUAGCUAAUUCUAGGAUACUAAGUUGCCUUAAAGUAAUCUAUAAAAUCUUAUUCAUCAAGAAAAUCUUCUAUGAAGUCCUCAGACAAACGCUCGGCUCCUCGUUGUUGACAGAUGUUAUCCACUGCUUGACGAAGCCUUCUUGACAUUGUAGCUCGCAUCUCAUUGUCCACACAUUUCUUUACUAAGUUUGUAUGCCAUGCAUGAGGAACCCGCCAAAAGCUUAUCAACACUGAACACUGAAAUACAUCCCUGAGUAUAAUGAAAUAAAACUGUCAGUAUCAAGUUUGGGCGAGGACUGAGCAACCAACAGGAUGGUGAGCACAUCAGCUAGAGGAUCAUCCACUAUGAAACUAGCCAACUUCCAAACAGGAUCUUUCGUUUCAAUUCUAUUGUGAAGAGCUCUCAUCCAUUUAUGGGCAUUGGAACUUCCAAACUUUGGAGCCACUAUCCACGCCACCGGGAUAGUAAUAAUGUUGCAUGUCACAUCCCGGCCCGGGACAGAUCACUUCCCGGGCCCACUCCACCACCAUAGCACGAUAUUGUCCGCUUUGGGCUUACCAUUCCCUCACGGUUUUGUUUUUGGGAACUCACGAGCAACUUCCCAGUGGGUCACUCAUCCUAGGAGUGCUCUGGCCUCCUUCUCGUUUAACUUCGGAGUUCCUAUGGAACCCGAAGCCAGUGAGUUCCCAAAAGGAGUGAGUUCUCAAAAGGCCUCGUGCUAGGUAGAGAUGGGAAUAUACAUUUAAGGAUCACUCCCCUGGGCGAUGUGGGAUGUCACAAUCCACCCCCCUUAGGGGCCCGACGUCCUCGUCGGCACACCACGGCCAGGGUUAGGCUCUGAUACCAAUUUGUCACAUCCCGGCCCGGGGCGGAUCACUUCCCGGGCCCGCUCCACCACCAUAGCACGAUAUUGUCCUCUUUGGGCUUACCAUUCCCUCACGGUUUUGUUUUUGGAAACUCACGAGCAACUUCCCAGUGGGUCUAUCCUAGGAGUGCUCUGGCCUCCUUCUCGCUUAACUUCGGAGUUCCUAUAGAACCCGAAGCCAGUGAGUUCCCAAAAGGCCUCGUGCUAGGGUAGAGAUGAGAAUAUACAUUUAAGGAUCACUCCCCUGGACGAUAUGGGAUGUCACAUUGCAACAUGAACAUAUUCGGUUUCUCAUUAUUAUUAACAAUUGUAGUUAAUAAUAAAAGGUUAAACAAACUAAACGGACCUUCAAUUUGGUUGUUCCGAACCUUGAAUCAGAAAGCUAUAAGGCUGUGAUUGCCGAAGCAAAUCAUCUGUUGCAACUGCCACUCUGUUUGAAUGCCCAAAGUGAAAGGGUCCACAUAAGAGAAAUCCUAAUAGAAGAAAACAUGACUCUGAUGGUUUUCUACCCACAUGCUAAUGCUAACCGCAUCAUCAGCAUCCAAUUCAUAUAUAGAGCAUCGAAUGACCCUCUCCUGCCUCGAACAUACCUAUAGGUUAAAAGGUCAUCACGGUUAGAUGGACCACCCUGUUUCUCUACAGAUUCAUCGUGUCUCUGCAUUAUAGUCUCCACAGAGACCCCCGCAUAUAACAAAGAUUGUACACGAAGAAGCAGAUCCUCAGAGAUACAAGGGGCAAAUAUAGCACGUGUUCCAGCAGCCAUCUUAUCUUGUGGACCAUGGCAUGGCACUCAUUUCCUAUCUACAUGCUUAUCCUGAUUAUAUAUGAUACGCGCCACUAAAGAAUACCUAGAAUACCAUCAACCUUUGGUUUGUUAGGCGUCUAUGGCUGCCGCCGUCGCCUCGCUUCAACAUGAAAUCUUGUUGGACAUUCUUUAUUAGAGCAUUCACCCCUCAGAAAAUCGUCAACUCUAGGAAACGGAAUUAGAGCAACUCCAUCUUUCUUGUCCCGCCAACCUUCCACCUUUGACCACACAAGAUCAGAAGAAGAAAACUCCAGUGCAGGUGGACUCUGCACAGGAAGGGACAUAAUCUCAUCCCAUCUAGCCAUCUACAACAAAUAAAACGGAAAUGACAAAUUUAAUACAAUAGUCAUUUUAACAGAAGAAUCAAGACCAAAAUCCCAAUAGUCACACUCACACCUAACCCUUAACUAUUAGUUGAAUAAAAGGUUUUUCUAAUCGAAAAAAUGAACAAAAAUGGCGGAUUUUGCAACUGGCUUCGUAAAAUCACACGUUAAUAACAGUAAUAGAGGUCCUUUUUACUCUAAGCAGUACAAAAGAAAGUCAAAAACUUCAUAUCUGAUAACAAGAAAACAAACAAACAAACAAAAAAGAAGAAACAAUUUAAUUCAUGCAAUACAUUUCAUUCCCAACAAGAGAAGUUCAAAACUUUAGCAAACAAUUAAACUGAUUUCGUCUCUGUUUUCAUAAAUUCUCAGAAAUUAACAGUCGAAAAACACAAAUUAAAGGAAAAAAAAAGUGAAAUUCUUUGGGUUGUCAAAUAGAGAAAUUAUAUUCACACACCCAAAAUUUCUUCCACACAUUUUUAAUUUUUAUUUUAUUUUCUACACACUACUAACACUUGAUAGAAAAAGAUUAAAAAAUUAAAGGAUGUGAGGGAAGUAAUUUAGGAUGUGUGAAUAUAAUCUCCCUUUUAGAUAAGUGAAGUCGUUAGCUUCAGAGUCACACAUUGAGCUAUAUCGAUAUGUAUAGUAUCACGCCCUUUAUGCAAAAAGAUCCCCAUUUUUUCAAAAAAAUGGGGAUUAGGUGUAGGUCCACUCCACAACGAACUUUAAUGAUCUGAAUCGUUUAUUUUGUAAGGAACCAAAUCCCCUGCGGAUCCCUAAAAACUGAGCCUUCUGAGCAAAGAAUUAGGACAAUUGAAAUUUGAUCAAACGGUUACAAACAGGGCCCCUCUAAAAGUUAUAAUAAUUGUAGUCAUUGGAUUAAAUUUCAACGGCCCAAAUUCAUUGCUCAGGGGGCUCAGUUUUUGGGGAUCCAAUUCCAAUUUGUAAGUCUCAUUUCAUAGAUUAUUCUUACAAGAAUUCAAUUCAAUCCAAAAUCAUUUAUCUAUUUUGUAAGUCUCAUUCCAUAAAUGUCAUUAUAUCAUCAUUUCACGUGCUACCACAUUAUUCGGUUCAGCAGCCACUUUACCCUUGGUUCUCUCAGCAGUUACAUCUCCAUUCCCACAAUUACUCAUUUGAAGAUAAUACUUCCUCAUUCAUUGGAUCCUCAUUUCCUAAUUCUUGAUCUCGAUUGGUAAAAGACGCACAUCCAUUGUGGUAUCAUUACUUUCCAAAUUAGCUAGUCCACUUAAGGGUGCGUUUGUUGCACUGGAAUGUCUCGGAUUGGACUAGCUUUAGGAACUAAGCUGGAUUGUCUUAGAUUAGCUUAAUGAAGCAUUUGAUGCAGUAUCGGACUAAAAAGUAGGAUAAAAAUUAAUUUUCCUUUUUUUUUUAUCCAAAAACAAAGAACUCUAUCUGUCUCUCCAUUUUCUUUGGUCAAACUAUCUCUCCUCCUUUUUCUCCAUCUCUUCCAUUUUCCUUUCCCGUCCAAUUCCUUUUUCCUUUUCUUCUCGAUCACAAAUAUACACAGUUCACAUGCAAACCAAUUUUCCAUCAGACCAAACAACACCCAUCACCUGCCUUAUCAAUCCAACAAAAUUCCCAAACUUUCCCACCCUAAAAUUUGACAAUUCCAUUCAAAUUAAACAAAAGUUAGAGCUGGAAAACUGAGGAAAGAAAAAGAGAGAGAGAGAGAGAGUAAACGGAUCACCAAUAGUAGGAGGCGGCAACGCCAUAUAGUUUGAGGACGAGCAGUAGCGUAAAGGAGAAGAGGAGGCUAUGGGCCGCCAAGGCCUGCACGAACUUCAACAUUCUCCGCUAGUUCAUCAUCAUCGUAAAACAAUGUCGUCCGCUGCAAAAGUCGAGACUUUAGAUUGUGAGAAAUCUUAGGAGGAGGUUGAUGUUUCAGUAUACGCCAUUGAAACGAAAGAGGCAAGAAAUAUUCUUUCUCUCCUUCUUCUUUUUCAUCGUUCGGGUUGACCUAGAUGGCAAAAAAUCCCAAAUCACCAACCCAGAUGCCAAAAUGGCGCUGGGUUUGCAGGACGAUGGAGAUCAGAGACAACCGUUUCUGGAGAAGGGGGGUUAAUGCUACUCAUGUGGGUUCGUAGGACGCUGCUCGCAUACCAGGGAGACGGGACUAGCAAUCCCGUUGUUUUUGGGGGGCCUCGCUAAGACCUCCUAGUGAGGGAUUUAGUCGAGGCGAGUCCUCCUUUGUCCCAUUUACCUUUAGUCCCGCCAGUGAACAAACAUGGAUUGCACUAACUUUUAACUUAAGCGUCGAGUGAGAACUAAAGAAGGCAAACAAACACCCCCUUAAUUGCUUCUGUACAGAGACUGCUAGAGAAACAGCAUGAUCAAUUGAUUUUGACGGAGUUCUUCAGCUUAAUUUAUUAGUUUUGGAUUACAUUGCUCUUGUUUAAACUUUCAAGUAAUCUUUUUCCAUAUGAUUACUUCUAUUUAAGGGCUCAUGGCUUGGGAAUUGUUAUGCUAUUAUCACCUAAAUGCUCAUGUAAAUUGAAUUCGAUCAAAUUUUUACUAGAGUAGUCGAAUUUCUAUUAGAGUUGUUCUUAGUCAUGUUUGAAUUGCCAUGUUUAUCUUAUAUUUUCUUGAUGCAAACCUGGUCAUUUUUUUAUCUAUGCAUCCAGAGCAACAAUCAUGUGAUUUCUUGACAAUGAAUUGGACUUGUUUUUUUUUUUUUUUUUUUUUUGCACUUUAGUUGUUUAUAGUAACAAAUUCACUUGAUCAAUUGAUAUGUUCUUUCUGUAUAUAUAAAAAAUAUGUGCUAAAAUUCUUAAGUGUGUAUCAAUACACACACACACACACACACACACACACACACACACACACACACACACACAUAUAUAUAUAUAUAUAUAUAUAUAAUUGUAUACACAGAUGGUUAAGAAGGAAAGUAAUGGGGCAAGUGGAUCACAACUGCCAGCUGUAUGGAAUGCUCACAAUACAUCACUAUUUUGUGACGUGUGUAUCAAGGAAGUGGAGGCAGGAAAUCGUCCUGGUACCCACUUUAAAAAAGAGGGAUGGGAAAAUGUGAGUAUUAACCUAAAUAAAGAGACUGGAGAUGAGUAUAGUAAACAACAGCUAAAAAAUAAGUGGGAUGCACUUAAAGAGCAAUGGAAAUUAUGGAAAGAACUAAAGGGAAAAGAAACUGGUCUAGGAUGGAAUCCCAAGCUCAACACCGUUGAUGCUUCGGAUGAGUGGUGGCAUAAUAAAAUUCAGGUUUGUAAGCUUCUUGUUAGUUUCUGGAUGUUGUUUGUCUAUUAUUGAGCUUGAAUGCAUUUUAAUACUUGUUUCUUUAAAUUGCAGAUCAACAAAAAAUAUAAAAGUCUGCGUAGAAAAGGAAUUAGCCCUGAUAUGGAAGAUAAGCUAGAUAGGAUGUUCAUGAAUACCACUACUGGUGAUCAUGCUUGGGCACCCUCGUCUGGUGUACUUCCAUGUGAAAAUAAUGAUGAAUCUGAUGAGGAUGAUGGCAUUCAAAUUGACAGUAGUGAUUUUGAUGAUGUUAUCCCACUCAAAAAUACUCAAGCCGAUGAGAAGUAUUUGGGGAAGAAGAAAAAAAGAACUCAACAAUUUGAUACACAAGUUAAGAAAGAGAAUAAGGAUAAAGGAGUUGUUGCAAAGAAGGGGAAAUUGGGAGGUGCUGCUAAGUUGUCAGAACAGAUUGAUCGUAUGGUUAGUGCAAUUGAGAGUAGAAAUACAACAACUUCAAACAUGGCCAAGGGCUUACAAAAUAGUAGCAUUGCUGAAGUGAUGAAGAUAGUUUCAUCUUUACCUGGUGCAGGGCCUGGGAGCCCUUUGUGGUUAUUUGCAACUCGAUUAUUUCUAAAACAAGAGAAGAGAGAAAUGUUCUUAACUAUAGAAGAUCUGGACAUCAAGUUUCAAUGGCUUAACUAUGAGCAAGCUGAAAAUUAAGUGCCAUGUGAUGCAUUUAGUUUGCAAAGUUUUAUAUUUCGUGGUAGACAGUAUAGUCUAAGAUAUCUUUAAACUUGAGUUUAUUAUUUUGAUUUGUCAUUUGGGAUGGUUACUUGGAUUUCUUUGUGUUUUACUUGGGAUUAUAAUUGGAUGGUUUUGGAUUCUUUAUUUAAGAAUAAUUUUUUUUCAUGCAUGUACUCCUAUUUGUAGGAAUAAUGAUGAGAUUUUUAUUUUUUUUUCAAAAUUGCAGAUCUCUUUCAAGAUAUGGACAUCUUGCAAGAUGAGGAAGAGUUCAACCAAACUGUAUGCCUUUGUGUUCGUACUAUAGAACAUUAUUAUCAAACAUAUAUCCACAAAACACCUUGUAUGGAUUCAUCUCAAACAGGAUAUAAGUGGUUAAUGGAAAUAUUACGGGGAAAGAGGCGUUGUCAUAGGAUGUUCAGAAUGGAUAAAGAGGUAUUUAUGAGAUUGUGUAGUGACCUGCAAAACAAGUAUGGAUUGAGGGGUUCAAGGAGAAUGUGUCCUGGUGAAAUGUUAAGAAUGUUUUUGUUUAUUCUAGGACAAGGUGAAGGGAAUAGGUCAGCACAAGAACGAUUUCAACACUCCGGCGAGACUGUGAGCAGAUACUUUAGUCAGUUACUUGAUAUUGUAUGCCUUAUGGCUGUUGAUGUUAUCAAACCACUGGAUCCUAUGUUUAAUGGUGUCUCUGCAGAGAUAUUAAGCGACUCUAGAUAUAUGCCCCACUUUAAGGUAAAAAAAAAACUAGAUAUGAUACUUCUUGCUUUGUCUUAUGAAUUAAGUUAUAUUUAUUGAAAAUUGUGUUAUAAUAUUAUUUGCAGAACUGUAUUGGUGCUAUUGAUGGUGUACAUGUUCAAGCCACAAUACCUCCCGGAGAUCAAAUACCAUAUAUUGGCAGGAAAGGGACACCAACUCAAAAUGUAAUGGCCGUAUGUAAUUUUGACAUGCAAUUCAUCUUUGCAUGUGCAGGUUGGGAAGGAACUGCACAUGAUACAAGGAUAUUUUUAUCUGUUUUACGAAACGGUGCUUUAAAUUUUCCUAAGCCUCCUAAUGGUAAUGUCUCAAACUUGUGCAUAUGUUUGAAAUUUUGCAUUUGAUUAGACACUUUUUAUAGUUUCUUUUUAUAUCAUAGUAGCAUGUUUUGAACAUUACAGGAAAAUAUUAUCUUGUGAAUGCUGGGUACCCACAGAUGAGCGGCUAUUUAGGACCCUAUAAAGGUGAAAGGUAUCAUCUUCCUGAUUUUCGUAGGGGCAGAGAACCAACAGGAUCUAGAGAGGUAUUUAACCACAUACACUCUUCUCUUAGGAGUGUCAUUGAACGCACUUUUGGUGUAUGGAAAAAGAGGUGGAGCAUUUUAAGAGACAUGCCUAGUUACUCAUUUAAGAAGCAAGUAAAGAUAAUAAUCGCAACUAUGACGCUUCACAAUUAUAUAAGAAGGUAUGCCCGACGUGAUAAUCAUUUUGACAACAUGAAGGAUGACUUGGAUGAUGACACAAACUCGGAUGAAGAACAAGAAGAAUAUCAUAUUACCGAAGGACCCGAAGCACAAGAAAUAGAGACAUUGAGGAACAACAUUGCUGCAAGUUUGAUGUGUUCGUAAUUUUUUUUAUGUAUGCUUAUUUUAUUUUAUUAUUGUUUGAAGACAUUGAAGAAAAUUUUAUUUAUUUAAUAUUUGUUGUUUUUUUUUAACUUUUGGCAAUGCAACUACAAAUGUCAAAAUAAUUUGAGGGAAAAAAGAUUAGAUAUACUUGUGAGUCAUCUUUUUAACCAAAAAGUUAAUAGAAAACUAUUUUUCUCAUUACUUUAGUCUAAACUAGAAAAUGUGCCCGCGCGAUGCUGCGGGACUUAAAUGCAUCACCUUUAACUACAUGAAUAAGAUACAUUUCACCUAAAUAAAUUCAACACAAUCAUGAAUGAAGAGAGGAAUAGAUGAGUAAAUGGGGUCGGUAAGAUAUGCAACUUCGUUUUUAUAUACAUUGAACUGAACUCACAUGAAAAGACAUUGUACAAUGAACAGGACGAAACUGAAUGUUUUGGUUCCCUAAACUGAAACCCCUUGUCUCAGACACCCAACACCUCUCACCCUCAGAUAGCCCUAAACGAAGUGCCUCGUAGCAUCGAAUUGGCCUACAACACCCCCGAGCGAGAUUGAGACUACUUUUCAUAUUUUCAUUUUAAUGUACCAGCAAGGAAACGAUAGUAUAUUCCAAAAUUAGCAGUUUACAGAGAAAUAUAAAUAUUGUUUUCAAGAAAUUAAUAUGAUUGCAAAUGUAAUAGCUCCAUGCAUAGUGAGGUAGGAUAAAUGAUGGAAGACACACUGAAAUUUGAGGUCCAUAGGUUGAGAAGAGUCCAUAGCAUUGAUCCAGAUAUGGAUAGCUUGCACAGAUCUACAAUUCAAGCUCCGAAUAAAGUAUCAAUUUAUCAGCAAUUGUGACAUUCAUUAUUCCUAAAAAAGUUAUUGAUUCACAAAUAAACAAAUGAAAGUAAUCAGAAAAGAAACGCUUACCACAUGCUAGCUGAAUCCGAACUCAAAAUGACCACGAUAUUUUCCCAGCAAUGAUCACAAAGAGAUUGAUGCUUGGGACUUCUGUCCAUCCCUGAAAACAAUGGAAUAAUAUACCCAUUAAAAAACGUCACAAAAAGAUUUACAGUAACUGUCCCAACUAUUAUAAUUAUAUGGUCUUAUUGGCAUAUUCAGACUACAAAAUAAAAGCUGGCAGUUGUUUGCACUCGUAAACAAUUUCUCUUUACAAAACUAAAUAAAUUGUAAUGACCCAAGAAAUCAAAAUUUGAUUAGGCAUUAGAAACAAUGUUACCUUUUGGAGAAAAGGAUGCUCAACCAAAUGGAAGCCCAAAUUUAAAACAGCAACUGAAUGAAAAUCUGACGUUAUAAAAUCCAUAAGAAGCGUGUAAUGCGUCUAAUUUAAAAAGUCUCUCACACAUGUAAUUGCACGUAGGACGCCAGAUUCAAAAAAAAAAAAAAAACCUUGAAACCAAAGGACUGCAAAGGAUUGCUUUGUCAUAGAAAGUAAAAGAAUAAAUUGAAUCAACUGAACAUGCUUCUUGCAAACAAAGAAAGUAAAAUACGGGGGAACAAAAUCACAAAUCAACAUAGGCAUCUCUUAAGAAUUUAAAUAACCAAGAUUUUGAUGAACUGAUUGUAAGCAUAUGUGCAUAGAUGUCACUAUUUACAUAAAACAUGUAAAGGACAAUCAGUUUUGAGUUUCAAAAUAUAAAAUAUUAAAAUUUCCAUAAAAGAUAAGUAUUGGGAAACAAAGUUGGCAUCUCACCUUCCACAAUAGGUCGACAAAUCCUUUGAUUACGCUUUAGCUUCUUGUUUAACUGAAACACAAAUUCAUUGUUCAGAAUAUCAUAAUUUCAUGAAAUGGUUCACCUUUGAUUACGCUUGCUGCUUAGUGACUUGAUAAGUCGGUCACAAAGAUAACAUGUAGAAUGCAAAUAUGGAUCAGGAAAAAACAACAGCUAUAGAAUUGAUUAUAUAGAAGAAGAAUACAUACUUAUUGUGAGGUUAUCCCAGCUAUCCACUAUGACCCAAUAUAUAUAGCAAGUAAAAACUAUGGCAGCAAAGAUCUCACGUAUAUAAAUCUUGCAUAAACUUUGUUUUUGUACAAUGUCUUCUCCCUUCAAUGACAGUUUGUUUCUUAUUCAGGAAAAUAAAAUGAGCAGGUUAAUGAUACUCACAUGUGCAAAAUGCUAAUCCUAUGGUCUAAAGUUAACUGAAUUUUUUAGUGUAAAAUACCUAAUUUCACUGCAUUUCAAUUGAUCACAGUUCGUGCCUUGUUAAACUUGAUAUACCCUUAGACAUUUUGGGAACUUGACAGCUUAAAUUUUCUUUAGUUACAGAUGUGCUCAUAAAAGCAAAUUACAGCGACCCAAUAUAUACUAAAAACUUGGAGAAGGGACUCAAUUAGUUAACGAACAGGUGCCUCGCCUUUCAUGUUAAGACCAAAGAGAGAAAACCAAGCCGAACUCUUCAAAAUUCAUUGGCACACAUGCAUCAUCAGCUCAAUUGAAUGGAUAAUGCAUACUUAGAUACAACCAUUCAAACAAUUGAUGUAGAUUGACAUAAGCCUCCAAACUUCAAAAAAAUUGAAACCUUAUAAAAGCAAAACCUUUUUUCCUUCAUAUUUGAACUGUUUCGAUUACCUUAUCUCUCUAUCACUUGAUUCAUUAUUUCUAAAGGAAGUUCUAAUCACUACCAAAACAGCUUAAUAACAGUUGAUUAUCUAAAAAAAAAAAGAGGGAAAACAUGAAAUACUAACUGCACUCAAAAUCCCAAAUGUGUAACACAUGAUUCUAAUCUAAACCCUGAUUCUAAAAUUUAGAAUUCGACACAAAAAUGAAAAUUGGAAUGAUUAACAUGGAAAUGAGAGAGGGAGAAGUGUGAGGGAAUCUACACAUGAGGGCUUCGGAUCUGAGUCCAGAGCUGGAAGCGGCAGAGGUUGCGAACUUAAGAGUAUGGAAGAGGCGGGAAGGAUCCUUGUAAAAACAAUAAAAAUUAAAUAAGAAACUCGCCGGAAACUCGGAAAACCUCGUCGAAAAAACUGGACAGCAACUUACCUCGGAUUCACCUUUAACUCGUAACAAAUCUUUUCACAUUAUUCUCUAUUGCCACUUGUACUUCACUCAGUACUAAUCGAUAUAGCUGAAAGUCUGAAUCAUGAAGAAUGAGAAGUUGAAGUAUAUCAAAUGAUAAAGUUGUCAACAAUGAAGAAUGGGACAUUGACCAUGGAGACACUGCAAGAAGCAAAAGUGAGCAAAUUAAAUAAAUACCAGCAUCAACAUUUAGAAAAAAGUAAGAGCAGCAACUAUAAAUGAAGAAUGUGCAAUCAACAUUAAAAGUGUAUAAUAGGAACACGGAUCUCAUAACUAAAAGACAUUUUCUCACCAAACAAUGGAAAAUAAUUGGAGAUGCAAUUCAAUAAAAAAAGAAGUUAGCACUUGCUUAUUGCCUUCCAAAGAAGCUAAUGAAUCCAUCUGGUUGAAGAAGUGUUUAGCAUUGCCAGUAAAAACAACAAAAAUCACAUCAAAUUUCAAAUUAAUCAACUCAAUAGCAUGCGUACCUUAACAUCUAGAUGACGAAACAUUGGUUCCUCGAACGAAUCGUAAAGAUCACAAACACAAAUCAUGAAUUAGAGUUCGAAUACGCAUCUCCCGAUUUGAAACCCUAACGUAAUUCCCCACUUGGAAGAUGCAACCUUUGGGGUUCUGGCUGCUAGGGUUGAGAUGUUAAACCUUUGACUAAGAAAAUGACAUUGGGCAGCAUAGGAUACAUACUGCUCCCCCAGAUAGACCUGCAUGAAGAUUUAUCCACCAUCACAUGCGAAAAGGAAGAUGGUCAGUAUAUGUGUUUUAGUAAUCAAUCUAUAUUUGAAGCAAUGAAAAAAAAGCAUAUGACAUGAGCUAUCAUAAAUUAAAAUUAUCAACAAUCUCUUCCCAUUACGAAACAUAGAGAAACUACAAACCAUAACAAAUACAUUGAAAUACGCAAAUAUGCAGCAAAUCCCUCAAGCAAUUAAGAAAAAAAAUGCCUCUUAAAUCAGCAACCAAAUUCAAAUUAACAAAUGUCUCCAUAAAAGAAGUAAAAUGGAUGAAAAGAUACCUGGCUUUUUCAAAACAAUUCAAAUUCCACAACAUUUCAUUCAAAACAGUUCAAAAUUCAUAACCCCUCAAGCAAUUGGGGCUGUAAGUUACGUAAUCGGAUGGCUACAACCAAACGAAGAGCUUCAAUCAAUUAAAGUCAACAAAAUAUCAAUAAUUAAUCUAAAAAAAAAAAUUAAAUAAAUGAACACCAGGGGACUGAGGAAUGCUACUAAACAUCAGUAAGAACAGAAACGAAUAAUUUAAAUGCUUGAGCUUCAAUGAAAGCAUUUUACCCUUGCAAUUUUCCAAGAUAGCGGAGAGGCAAGAUGCACAUGUAUUAGUGAGAGGAUUUUCAAAGAUAUUGAGCACUUCCAAUCGAGCAGAUAGCAAAGGGCAUUCGCAAAUCUGAAGAUUGAAAUUAUUGAUCGAGACAGCCAAAUGAAUAGAGAUAUAAUCAUACAAUCCCCAAAAUCCAAAUCCAAAUCUGAAACGCCUGAUCCGUUUCUGGAAAAUGGCAGAGAAAAAUAGAAGAACUACGUUUUUAGAUGACCGGAUUGAAUUUGAGGCAGAGAGAGGGGGAGAGAAAGAGGGAGGAAGAGAAGCAGAAAAGCGAUAGAACAAAAUGGAAGACGCUUGAAGGGUCUUCCUUACCAACGACGUGAAAUCCAAUUGCCAUUUCAAGCUCCCUCAAUCACGACCUGUAGGAAAAUAUCAAACCCAAACAUAAGUUCACUGAAAUUCGAAUUCAAUAUAAUCAAACACAAACAAAAUAGCAAAAUUAAAAUAAAUAAAAAACUAAACUAAACUAUAAAUUAAAACUUUCAAUUGAAUAACCCCACAAUUUAAAUUACUAAACAGUAACAGAUUUCUCUGAGUAAUCAACUUCUCGAUUAUGGUCAUCGAACACGACAUUCUCCAAAACUGCCAAACACAUGCAACCAUAUUUGAUAAGAAUUUGAAAUAUCACUCCAAUCAUGACACAGAACAUAAACAUUUUGCGCACUGUCAUUUUUAAAGUAGAACGUUCAAUUAAAUCAUGAUGUUAAGUACCAGUCCCAAAUUUGAUAGCAUUCCAAAUAUCUGGUUCCUUGUCCAUUGACAAAUCAAUGCACUUGGCAUAGCAACCACCUUCAAUGUUUGACACACCAUUGUUGCCCCAGCAGUGCUCAUCAUCUCCAAUUAGAUACCGAUUAUGAUCCGUAGACAGAGUCGUCUUCCCAGUGCCUGCAACAAACAUCCCAGGAUCAGUUACACGAACACAAAAGAAACUGAAACACAAAAGAUUGAUGUAUCCAUCACCAAUUGAUCAUUGUACACAUAAAAUUAUCAUGAUUCAUACCUCUGCGUCGAUAUGGAAUUUUAUAAACUGGACAAAUGGAACCCAAUUUCAUCGACUUCACGGUGCAAGUGCUGUAAAAAAAUAAGCAAACACUGGCAAUAUGAUCAAGCACAUUCCAAGUAUUAAUACAUCCAAAUAAAACCUAACAUUCAUAUGCAAAUAACAAUGAAGGUAGAGAUUACUUGUAAGAGAUGAUUGCAAUUGAGUGAAUCCGCAGAACUCAGUAGACUCAAACUGCAAAACAGAUGGGGAAAAAUCAAACCCAUUAACAGAGUGAAGAAAUUUUUUAAAUCUUUAAACGAAUUCUGGACAGAAUCAUGUAAAGGGUCUGUUUUGGCUACCGAGAAACUUAGUAUACAUUUAAAUAUUAUUACAUGUUAAUACAAAAAUUUAGCUUUAUUCAGAUGGGAGAGAUCAAAGGUUGCAUCAUUCAGCUUCACACAUGGCUACAACACAAUUUCAAAAACUCUUGUCAUCUCAAAGUCACAUUCUUUAUCAAACUCCCACUCCAUAAUCGAACAGAGGUUGAUAACGGACAAAAAGAAACACAAAGUACGAAAUAUAAUCAAUAUCAUCAGUCAAAACUUACUGCAAAGGGUGAGGGGUCAACCAUGUGAUUUUUUGCCCCUUAACCUCGGCCUGCAUGGACAAACAACGGAAGAAUUCAUACCCAAAUAACACAAUAACAUAAAAUGGCAGGAAUGUAAAUAAUACAAAAUCGAGGGUCCAACACACGUUGAUAUGUCAUCGUGGUUUCCAAUUGAACCAUGAAUUCCAGAAUGUAAAUCAUACCUUGAGUAUAAGAAAACCAGAAAAGGAAAAUUAAAUCCCUCACAAAUGGUGGAAGAAAAUAUGAGAAACCUAUAUUAGUCCCAACGGUGUGAGUUUUCAUCAAAGAAGUAGACAAUCCACACGCUAAAUCACCAAUCAAACAUGAAGAUGAUCACAAAGAAGAAAUCCCUAAAACCAAUAUUUUAUUAGAGUUGAAAAUCGAAAUUAAGCCAAAACGGAACCGACACUACCCAAAUUAAGCUAAAAAUUCACUAACCCAACAUAAAGGCAAAGAAAAAUCACCUCUAGAUGACUGCCAUUGAUUCAAUGCAAAGAGAGCUCAAGCUGCUUAAUAUUGUUCUGAAAUUAGAGAGAGGGUGUGAGAGAUCAUGAGAGGACGGAGGGGCGAAUGGCGGAGUGAGAUUCAGCGCGUCUCUUCUCUGCAUAUAAAAGAUGCCGCACAAUUAUGCAACUUACUCCAUAGACUUAUAAACAUCACAAUUAUAAAUUCUGAAACUGAUAUAAAUUGAAUAGAAAUACACAAAGCAUAAACAAAUUCAGCAUAUGAACACCAAAACUUACCAAACUCAUGUGCUUGCUUGAAGCUGUUUUUGAUCAUUUUUCUACAAUCUACUGCAUAAAAAGGACCAAACUAUAACGGCAAACUAUAUAUAUAAUUUGCUAUAAUACCCAAAAAAAUUAAAUUACAUUAACAUUUGAGUGGAAGCCACGACCAAAGUGGUAAAAUUGAAGAAAACAUCAAAAUCCCAGAAAAAAAAACAAAUUCUUUCAGAAAAAAUCAAAGAAAUUUACUCAGGUAAUCAAUCAAUUAUGUACCUAAUUCCCCUGAUGUCUUGAAUAAAUAUAACACUCCAAGAUAAAUUAACUACCCAAUAUUAAUUUUUCCUGUUUCUUUCUUCUUAUUCUCGGGAAAGAAACAAACCCAAAACAAAUAAUUGAAGAAAACAUACAGAAAAUAUUGGGGAGGAGUAACAUACAAUCUGCUGAGUUCUUAUUCGCUUUGUAGAUAAGAGAUGGUGGCUUCUCAUCGAGUUCAUGUAUGUAUUGCCUGGAGUGAGAUGGUGAGCGGGCGUGAGAGAAUAGGGCAGUGAGAGAGAGUCGGGAGAGAAAAAGAGGGAAAGAAAUGGCGAUGGAAACGGACGGAAACGUAGUCGAAGCAGAGCAAUCCACGAUGAUUAACGCGUGGGCGCUCUUAAACUGUGCAAAAGCAGUGGUAAUUUUGUAAAUAAAUCGAAAUUUUCAAUUUGCGGUGAAGAGAUGAUGGUAAUUUUGUAAAUAACUCAAAAUCCACUCCAAGUUACUAUUCAUUUGAAUAGUGCAAUUGAAAAGCUUUCUUUAGACAAAAGCUAGAAAAAAUGCCCGCGCUUCGCUGCGGGUUUUGAAACUAUUAGCCAUAAUAGACGUGAAUAAUUGGCACGAAAAGAUGCAUUACAAAGGCGACACAAAUGGAGUCAUGUCCUAAAAUGAACCAGUGCAGAUGAAUAAUUUGCAAAAUCACAUUCAGUUUCAUUUCUAUAGGUCAAAAAACAAAGAAAACAUGUAUAUUAACUUGUCAUAUUUUAUAAAACUAAAAGCAUGGACAAUUCAGUGCACCUUGGUUGCACAUUUGUCAUAUCCAGCAGCUCACAUCGGCCACCCCCCACUGGAAUCCAAGGCUGAGGGAAGCCAUCUGCGGGAGUUGUCAUCUGAAGCACCACUCUUAUCUUUGCCUUUGUCUGAUUUGAUAUGUUGCUUACUAUUGCAUGGAUGCCAAGUAGCUUCAACAGCCUUCGAUGUACACAUAUCUGAAAUGCGGUCUUGUCCUACUGUUAGAAGCAAAGAUAGGAGCCCUAAUAGCAUAUUCUCAAGAGCUUCAUAGAGAGCUCUUUUGUUUCUCUUUGUCAACCACUGCAAGGAUUGCAAUUCAAAUUUAAUCAAAAUAAUUCAUUUCACAUUCAUAAUAAACCCGAAAGUGACUUGAUAAGAUGAAAUUAACCCAAUUACGUGUGAAAGGAAACCUUUCCAAUUAAAUGAAUGAAAUAUUUGAUGUGGAUCAAAACCAAAACCAAAUGAAAACAAAUAUCGACAACUGCCCAAGUUGGUGUUUGCCCCAAAGGUCUUCCUCCUCCUCCUCCUGCCAUCCUUUAAUUGAAACCCUAAUUUUCCUUACUACUAAAUAAUGCUAUUUUCGAUCUAUUUCUUUCGGUGUGUAAACUUUACUAAUUCUCGAUAAUUUUCAAUCACUUCCACUGUAAUUAAAAUAAGUACUGAGUAUAUACACACUCAUAAAAACACAAAUUCAGUUUUCCAUUCUAAAAAAUGAACGAAAGCACAUACUCCAAGUCAAUGUUCCUACUAUAUUCAUUAAUCCAACGAUGCAUCAAAUAUAAAAAUUAAAUUAUACCUCUAAUUUAUAACCUUUUGAUCUUGCUUCAUCUGCAGCUAAACCAAAAUUUGGACAAUCCCCAAUAUAAUUCCGUCAAAAUCCACAUAGCAACACCAUGUAAGAAUCAUAUUGGGUGUCUACACCCACACUUAUCAAUGUACACAUAAAUUUGAAAUCUGAAUCACUUGGGCUUCAAAGAAGGCCAAAAGUCUUUGUAUUCAAGCAUUUAAUACUCUACAGAAAUUAACUAAACACAGCCACAUUGAAUACCAAACCCACUUACUUACCAUCUUAUCCAACUCUUAUUUCGUAAAUUUUUCUGGUAAAGAAGCGUAGUUUAUCCUGAGCUCUGCAAUAGAAUAAUUCAAUUCUUCUUCAUUGCUUUUCAAUAGGAUCCCUACAAUCAAACAAACAUAAUUACUCUAGUAAAUAACUUCAAUUUAAAAUGCAAAGAUAUAACAGAAAGGAAAGUGAUUAAUUAAAAAAUAAAACUGUUAAAACAACAGACUGAUACACUUAACAUGCCAAUUUAUAUACUAUAUAACAAUACUAAAUCAAUUAAUUUAUAAAGAUUAGAAAUGGAUUACAAAAAGCAGAAAUCUUAUUUGGCAUGUAUGAAAAUGAUACACACAUUCUUAGCCAAUCAGCAUGAAAAAGGUAUAGAAAACUAAUUUACUUUGUUAACUUUGGACAACUGGAGAGAUGAAAGAACUCUUAGUUUUUACUAUAAGUAUGACAACCAUGUGAUUUCAUUGUUAAUUGGGACUGAUGUGUGUCAUUAGGAUUGCCAAAAUUAGUGAUCUUAGAGUUUGGCAGCCAAUGACCGAAUUGGACUCAAGUUUAUCAACAUUUGAUUCAACUAAACUAAAUUGGAUACGCUCAUUAGCAUAGAAAUAUGUAUACCAUAUGACAAUAUUGAAUCAAGUUAUUUGCAAAGAUUUAAAAUGCAAUGUAAAAAGGAAAAAAUUUAUUUUAUAUGUAAUAAAAUGAUUAACAAAUUUUUUAUUGAGCAGUAUAAAAAAGGUAUUAAAAACUAACCUAAUUUAUUAAGUUUGGAAAAAUUGGACAGAUAAAAGAAAGCUUUUAAUCCUUACUAUAACUAAAAUAACUAUGUUAUUUCAUUAUCAAAUAGGAUUCAUACGUGUAAUCAGGGUUAAGAAAAUCACUGAUUAAAGAAUCUGCCAGAAAUCAUCAAAUUGGACUUGAACUUACCAAUUUCUGAUUCAAAUAAACUAAGAAAAGGAGUUGGAAUCAAACUAACCUCUGUUUUCUAUAUGCAGCAAACUGCAUCUUGUUUUUGCCCUUGUUAACAACAUAUCUUCGCUCUGUACACACCAAAAAACAGUAAACACCUCAUUCAUUACUAACAGCCAUUUCAAUCAAUUAAUUAUUUAGACAAAUUUUUCAACGAUUCCGAAGCUCAGACAAAAAUUGCAUGAGAAAAUUGAGAUUAUAUGCAAUUGGAUGUCAAAGAACCUGAAAAUACCAUAUAUCCAAUAUUUAGUGCAUACACCUAAAAACUAAUCUUUAUAUAUACUUUAAAAUAAUACAGAUCAAUGUAAUCUAAAACAUUGGAAAUGCAUAUCAGUGCAAGCCAAGGUCUCAAGUUCUCAGAGUGGGGAAUUACUGAUUAGAACAGUUAAUUCUCUGCUCCUUUUUGGGUAUGAACUAAUUAGCAUAGUAGCCAUAAAAAUACGAAACAAAAGCUCAAUAAUUUAUGCAAUUUGGUUAAAUUUUAUACAAUUUCUAGCAAAACCCAAAACUCAAUAAUACAAAAGGAACCCAAUAGAUGAUUAAAGCAAUUUUAUACACAACUUAUGCAAGUCCAAAGAAACGCAUUUGAUCAAACUUACUGAAUACUGAAAAAAAAAAUUACAAUCAAAGUACGGAUUAAUAACUACCUCAACAACUAACAGAGCCAAAGCCAAACCCUAGAGCUUCGAAGGGCAGAGACGAUCACAGAGACAAGAAUAGUCCUUAUUCCUUCCCACUGCUGCUGCUGCCACUUUCUCUCUCUAAAAACCAAUUGGAAAUUGUUUAUAAAGAGACAGAGAGGAGAGGGCUAUGAUGAUUGGAUGAAAGAAGCAUGAAAAACUAAAAGACAUGUAAGCUUGAAUUCGAGUCCCAAAUUGAAAAUAUAAGGGAGGAGUGUAAGGGUGGCUUACCGAGGUCAGGAGAGGUGAGUCUCAUAGGAAAAGUCGACGAACAGUGGCAGGAGCCAGUGCACAGUGAAAGGCCUCGCCUGUGUCUCCUGAACAGAACAGAGUGAGUGAUAGUGGUUCUGUGAGAUGGAGCGAGUGGUGGUGGUGCUGUAGUCAUGUUUUGCCGGAAAAUGGAGGCUUUGGUGCGCCUCGGUGUUUACAGAGAAAAGAAAGGGGAGUCCAGGGAGCUAGUGGUUGUUUGAUGGAGUUGAGGCUCGCCGGAGUGGCGAGUUGUGAUGUGGACUCAGGCCUCUCGGCCUCUGGGUUUUACGGAGAAGGGGAAGAUGGUUUAGGGUUGAGAGAGAUGGAGGGACGGCUAGGUUUUAGAAAAGAUGAAGAAGAAUGGGGGUGAGCAGCGCUGGGGCUACAUGUUGAGGGAAAUGAAGAGAGAGCAAGAAGAAGUCGAAGGCAGUGAACCCUACGGACAAAUUUACCCUUCUAAGUUAUAAUAAUUACCCUUCCAACCCAGCCCAAAUCUGAUGGGUUCCUUGUAAAUAAGGUGAAAUCAAGUGGCAAACAAUUGACUGUAGCCAUGAACAGUAAGGAACAGUGCCAAUUGAAAAGCCUUCUUUAGACUAAAGUAAUAAGGCUUUUCAAUUGCACUAUUCAAAUGAAUAGUAACUUGGAGUGGAUUUUAAGUUAUUUACAAAAUUACCAUCAUCUCUUCAUCGCAAAUUGAAAAUUUCGAUUUUUUCACAAAUUACCACCGCUUUUGCACAGUUUAACAGCGCCCACGCGUCAGUCAUCGUGGAAUGCUCUGCUUCGACUACAUUUCCGUCCGUUUCCAUCCCCAUUUCUUUCCCUCUUUUUCUCUCCCGACUCUCUCUCACUGCCCUAUUCUCUCACUCCCGCUCACCAUCUCACUCCAAGCAAUAGAUACAUGAACUCGAUGAGAAGCCACCAUCUCUUAUCUACAAAGCGAAGAAGAACUCAGCAGAUUGUAUGUUACUCCUCCCCAAUUUUUUCUGUAUGUUUUCUUCAAUUAUUUGUUUUUGGGUUUGUUUCUUUCCCGAGAAUAAGAAGAAAGAAACAGGAAAAAUUAAUAUUGGGUAGUUAAUUUAUGUUGGACUGUUAUAUUUAUUCAAGACAUCAGGGGAAUUAGGUACAUAAUUGAUUGAUUACCUGAGUGAAUUUCUUUUAUUUUGUCUGAAAGAUUUUUUUUUUUCUGGGAUUUUGAUGUUUUCUUGAAUUUUACCACUUUGGUCGUGGCUUCCACUCAAAUGUUAAUUUAAUUUACUUUGUUUGGGUAUUAUAGCAAAUUAUAUAUAUAGUUUGCCGUUAUAGUUUGGUCCUUUUUAUGCAGUAGAUUGUAGAAAAAUGAUCAAAAAUAGCUUCAAGCAAGCACAUGAGUUUGGUAAGUUUUGGUGUUCAUACGCUGAAUUUGUUUAUGCUUUGUGUAUUGUCUAUUCAAUUUAUAUCAGUUUCAGAAUUUAUAAUUGUGAUGUUUAUAAGUCCACGGAGUAAGUUGCAUAGUUGUGCGGCAUCUUUUAUAUGCAGAGAAGAGACGUGCUGAAUCUCACUCCGCCAUUCGCCCCUCUGACCUCUCAUGAUCUCUCACACCCUCUCUCUAAUUUCAGAACAAUAUUAAGCAGCUUGAGCUCUCUUUGCAUUGAAUCAAUGGCAGUCAUCUAAGGAUGAUUUUUCUUUGCCUUUUUGUUGGAUUAGUGAAUUUUUAGCUUAAUUUGGGUAGUGUAGGUUCCGUUUUGGCUUAAUUUCGAUUUUCAACUCUAAUAAAAUAUUGGUUUUAGGGAUUUCUUCUUUGUGAUCAUCUUCAUGUUUGAUUGGUGAUUUAGCGUGUGGAUUGUCUACUUCUUUGAUGAAAACUCUCACCGUUGGGACUAAUAUAGGUUUCUCAUAUUUUUUUGCACCAUUUGUGAGGGAUUUAAUUUUCCUUUGUGGGUUUUCUUAUACUCAAGGUAUGAUUUACAUUCUGGAAUUCAUGGUUCAAUUGGAAACCACGAUGACAUAUCAACGUGUGUAGGACCCUUGAUUUUGUAUUAUUUACAUUCCUGCCAUUACCAAAAAGCAUGGGCUGCAGAGAGAGAGGGAGAUAGGCGGGGGAUGGCAGGGAGGGGAAGGGAGAGGGAGGAGUGAGGUUGCUAUAAAAAGGGGUUAUGGUUGAUUUUUUUUUCUCCUCAAAUCAAGGGUUGGUGUCGGGAUUAAGGGAUGUGUCAAAAUUGCCAAUAGAAGCCUAAAUUAAUGGGUAGUUGUCGGUGAUUGAGAGAUUGAGAGGGAGAAAAUUGGGGGAGGUUGUCACUGACCCGAUGGAGUGAGGGAUUUUGUGAGGAUUAACUAACUUAUUGACUAGGAACACAAGACAAGACAUGCUUCCGGUAAACCGCCUCCGUCGCUUUCCUCCUCUCGCCUCCGUCUACCUCCUCUCCCUUUCUUCGUCUCCCCCUCCUCCUCUCUCUCUCUCUCUAUGGAAUCGAUCGAUCUUCGAAGAGGAUAAAAAGAUCUGAAAUGGUGUGCUUCUUCUACUGUGAUUCUGUGUUUUUAAUUUUUCUGGGUUUGGCUUCUUCUUUUAUUCCACUACUAAUUUACAAAAAUAAUGAAUUUUGUACAUUUUGUUUUUAUUUUACUUUUUGUUAUAUUUCAUUGUAAUAUCAAAUAGAGUUGGUAUUUUAAAAUCUCACUGCAAUGUUUUUUGUUAUAUUGUUGGUGGGUAUCUUUAAUUAUGCCCUGAUGGAGAAAGGCAAAGAGGACAGACCUGGAUUUGGGGCAUAAAAGGGAUCUUUAGAUUUCUGUGAAAGUACUUUGUGCCUUUUUGCUAUUGGUGAUGAGUGUUCAUGAAUAUUUAUGCUUUAAUAUAGCUGUUACAGGAGCAAGUUGUUUAGUUAAAAUCCUAAGAAGAUUAGGGUAAAACAUUCCGGCUCUCUCAUUAUUGAUAGUCUGAAUUUCUGCAAUCUCUGAGAUAUAUUUGGGAUAGUUUUAUAGUGAUAUACAUCAAGGUUCAAGAAAAACUUUGCUGCACUGCACUAUAGGAGUAUCUGGUUGAUGAAAUUUUUCUGAUUUAAGCAUUUAGCUCCUCGAUUGCAUUAAAUCAGUAUUUAAAGAAGUUUUUGUCUGAGAAUGCAUUGAUAGAAUUUUUUUUGCCCAAAAAUUAACUCACAGAGCUUCCUGUGAGUUAGUCUUAGCUUUUGAUUUAAUUUUUUUAGAAUUAUUAUCAUUUUUUUUAUCUCUGCUGCUGUUUUGGAUUUUUUUUAAUGAUUUUUAUGCGAUGUUCAUCUGUGUAGGCACUCAAAUUAGUGUUUUGGAGUGCAUAUGGACCAGACACCACAAAAGAGAAAACGGAAACCAAAAUCAGAGCCAUCAAAACAAACAAAUGCUGGUAUGUCCUAAAAAAGGUUGGUUUGUGCACUUUCAAAGAAUACAUGGAAGAAGAUAAUAUUGAUCAUGGUGUAGAAUGUGAUGGUAAUGUGGUUGAAAAAGAUAAAAUGUUGCACGAAAAGAUCUCAGAGCUCAUUGACGAAAAUAUGCAGCACCAGGCUGAGUUGAUAAGGAGAAACAAGGAGAAUAGUGAAACAAUUGAGUGGCUUUUAUCCCAGGUGCAUAAGCUAACGGAUGAGAACAAAAUUUUGAAGAUUAAUCUGGGAAUCCAUAAGGAUACUACUGAUCAUACAAUUGCAAUCCAUAAGGAUGCUACUGAUUAUACAAUUACAAGGCAAAACAAGCCUCAGUUUUCAAAGUCUAAGUCCAUAGGGCCAUCUUUCCCUGGAAGGCUCACUGGAUGCCUAGAACUUGGAUCUUAAUUAGCUACUUUUCAACUUUAGUAGGUAGCGUUAUAAGUUUUCAAAUGUAUCUGUUUAUAUGCUUUCAUAAUACAUGUGAAGAUUCCGAGUCAAUUAUAACAUAUUUUAAUUUUUAAUUUUAUGAGUAUAGAAAAGGAAUUGAAUGCUUCGUUAUUUUGAUCUUGCAGCUGAAGCCAAGUCUGGAUAGAGAGAAAGAUCUCAUGGUAGGAAUCAUGGACUUGAUGAAGGUGAGGUUAACAAAGUGUGCUUUAGCACCAAGAUUGGAAUCUGGGUGUUCUGAGUUUUGUUUUGUUGUGAUUUUUCUAUAAUCUAGAUGCUGAAAUACUUGGAGUUGGAAUUAAUAAGAAUUGAUUGAACAUGGAUUUUUUAUUAGAUUGGUAUGGCUGACAUAGUUAAGAAGUAGUUUAAGAUGCAGUGAUUAGGGCAUUUCUUUAACUGAACAUAUUUGUUUUCAUGAGGUAGAUAGAAUCCUCUGUAAUUUAAUUAAUUAGAUUGAAAUUUGGGGUCUGGAUUCUUAAACUACUAUGGUGGUUAAUGUAGCUUUUUUGGUGAAUUUUUCAAGUGGGGAAAAAGAGGUGGGUGUGGGAUUUAUAUUGUUAUUCUCAGUUGGUAUAUAAAUAUUUGAGUGUGCAAGAAAUGGUUACCAUACAAAAAAUACAAGAACUGAAAUUAGAAGGGAUAAUGGCAGUUUGCAGAGGGUUGGUUCAGGGAUGGUAAAAGUUGUGUACGUGGCGAGAUUAAUGGAGGUGGUUUCGUGGUGGCGUAGUUCUCCGUGAAAAAUGGCGACGGUGGUCGCCUUGCUAUUUCUGUGCAGCGAGCACAGUAUCAAGAGAGAGAGAGAGAGAGAGGUGAGGGAAAUAGGGAGAGUAGUAGAGAGGGAGUGAGACAUGAGGGUGGUGGCAAGCUGGUGCCUUGAGGGAGUGGCGAGUGAGGUGGUGAUAGUUUCUCGAACGGGAGAUUUAUGGUGUACUAGAGAACUUGACUCCUCUCUCAGUCUGGUCUCCGGAAGAGAAAACCAAACAUAGCUAUGCAUUAGCAAAGUUUGAAAUGAGGGUUUUUAAUCUUUGGCAUGCUAUUGUCUUUAUUUGAUCAUUCUUUGAAAAAAAUUAUGAUGGACAAGUGAAAUAAACUGAAUGAAAACUUGGAGAAGAAGUUCUGAUUUUUAAUAUCUUUAAUCCGGGAUUAUUGUGAUGCCCUUUGACAAUUGAAAUGUGAAUGCAUUAUGUUGCUUAGAACACAAGUCAAUAUUUUUUAAACUGUGUUAGGUAUGAUGGAUGCUAUAGAUAGAAAAAUGUUGGCUUAAGGUUGGAUUCCAGGUAAAUAUGUGCUAUCCUGGAUGAUGGAAUUGCAUAGCAUCCUAAGUUUCUUUCUAUAUUUUCCUGAACAGAUUUACUGAAAAUGUUUUUCAAGGAUAUUCAACAAUAACUUUAAUCUUCAGACUUUCUCAUUGUUGCAGUCUCUAAUGCUUUAGUUAAUCCUAUUAGCCUAUUGUUAGAUCAAUUAAAAGAGUGUUUUAGCCUUCUGUUAGUGUUUCAUCUUAUAUACUUUCUCUCAUUGUUAGAUCAGUUGUGAUUCUGUGUGGUUCAUGUUUCCGGGUGUAAAAUUGUUCAUACAAUCUCACUUUUGCAUCUAAUUAGUGAGCCAAAAAGAAAAUUUUUAACAUUUUAAAUCCUAAUUAUCUCUAUUUCAGCCAAUGCAUAUUUUUUCCACCUAAAAGUCUUUGAUGCAUGUCUUCUUUUUUUUUUUUUUAGUAUUGAAACAUACAUUGUUCGAAAUUUGUUGAGCACUUGAAACUUUACAAGUUAAGAUUUGGAAUUUUAUGAUAUAUGAUAACUGCUUUGUAUGUUUGUUGUUGAUUAAGCACGUGGGAUACAACUCGGUCUUAGACACUUAAUAAAGGUUUAUCGUUUGAAAUUAAUGGGGCACAUGUUAUUCUCAUGAUAUUGGCUGCAAAUGCUGCAGAGUGAUUACAGAAACCAACGCAGAAAAAGCUUUAUAGGUAACUUUUACAUUUAUAGCAUUUCAGAAUUCGCAUAAAUACCAGAAAACAUCUUGAAAGACUACCAUUUCAAGUGGAUCUUUUCUUUCAUGUGGAAACCAAGCUUCCUUUUUCUUAACUCAUUCUAUUAAAACUUCAAAUUAUGUUCAAUUUGUUGAUUGGCUGUUAGCACUUAAGUUGAUCUAUUUAUUUCCAAUGUACCCUUUUUUAUGCAUGAGUGCUUUUCUGUUGCAUGUUUAGAAGAUGAAUGCAUCAAUUCUUAGGUAACCUUCUUUUUGUUCUGUGACGUAGGACAGAGUAGGACAGCGGAAAUUAGAUUGUUUAGCGGAAGUGAAACGACAUAAAACUUAAAUUGAAACAUCAUAUGCUUCUGUUUUAUAGGACUGGGGGGGGGGGGGAUAAAAACAGUAUAUUUUGUUGUUGCAUGUUUCAUUUAAUUCAAACUUUCAAAUAUACACUCUCUCUCUUCAUUAUGCACAGUAUGUUGAUGUGAACUGAAUCUAAAUAAUUUGUCUUUCUGUCGAAAAUAUUCAUAGUAUGUCCUGCAUUACAGUUUCAAAACCCACAGCAGCACGUGGGCAAUUUUAUUUUCCCUCUCCCUAUAUGUAGUUUAAUAUAAUUCAACGAGUUCAAAGAGAAUGAUCAGAAUGAAGGUUUGUAUUAGAUCCGAUGUGCUUCCUCUUUCUAUGCAUUUUGGUUCAAAUUAGGGUUUUAGGUUGAAACCCGAAACGAAAAGAGAAUAAAGUUUUCAGGAUGUUCGGAUUUUGUGUUUCGAUGAGAGGAAAAAAUGAGAAAUUUGUUAAGAAAAGUUGUGGUCGGAUUUUACAUGUUUACCGUUUUCAAGGUACGGUGUUCAUCGAUCUUAACUUUAAAUUUGUUUCUCAAUUUUUUUGUAGUUUUGGAUUUGUAAAAACCCUCGAUUGAAUCGGGUGCUGGUAUGGUCCCUUACAGGAAAAAAAAGUUUCAUUUUUUUCCCCUUAAAAUUUUAGUUUUUGUUAUUUUCUUUUUUCUUCACAAAGGAACUUAGGUGGUAGCUGUAUUACUAAUUAGCUACAGAAUUUAUAUAUUCUUAUGAGUACGGUAUGGGUGCAGGUUUGCUAUGUUGCUUUUUGGGAUGAAAUUACUUUAAAUACAAAGGAAAAUUUGAUCGAUAUUAUUGGGUUGUACGCAGAAAUCUAAGUUUUACCUAUUUUGAUAAUGCUUGGUUUUUGUGUAUUGAGUUGGAUAGACAGUUCAUAGGUUUGGUUCCAUAUUUAUUCGGAGAAGAAAAACACAAAGAGGGCAACACAAUAACCCUAGGAUGAUUAUAUAUGGAAUGAAUUAAAUCUAUUAACGAAUUAUAUUUUGGGUGGUGUUAGGGAGAAACGCCUACACUCCAAAUAUUUAUGAAUUGGAUUCAUUAUAAAAUAGGUAAAUUGUAUGCAUUACUUCUUUUGGCACUAAAUCUUUUGUUAAAUUUUAUUUUGCUGACUUUUAGUUUUUGACUUUCCUUUGGCAGGACUUUUAAUUAAGCAUGCAUCUUUGGUGUAAUAUUAUCAUAUUCUUGAGGUUUGAAUUUUUUACUCUUACUUUUGUGACCAUUAUAUGUUUGCGUAUCUCUCUUUUGGGUUAUCCAUCAAUUAAAAAUUAUUAUGUGAGGAUUUUGAUUGUUGACUUAUCAUUGGUAUAUUUCAAGUGGUUUUUGAUAUUUUGAUAGGUGUUGGAAAAAAAAGAUGAAAUUGUUUUGCGCUCAACGCAUAGUUAAUCUUAAAAUAGGGUUUAUUAAAUUGGUUUGAUGAUAUAUAGGUGGUAACAAAUUAAUGAUGUCAACUCCUACAAGGAAGAGGCUGAUGAGAGAGACUUCGAGAGGCUGCAACAAGACCAGCCUGCGAGGAUUAGUGGGGCGCCUCAGGAUAACAAUAUAAUGUUGUCGGCGAGGUUAGUUAUUUUUUAGGCUUUGCUUCUACAAACGUGAACUCUUUACAUGGAAACCGAAUUUUAUGUGAAUUUUAAUAGUUAUAUAUCAAACUCCUCUGCACUGAACUCUGUGUAUUACAACAAUUAUAAUUAGAACUUGGAUGAAAUGGGCUCCAUCCAGCAAAACUCCUGCCCUAACAAUAAUAAUUAGAACCAAAUUUGAUAAUUUCUCAUAGUUUAGGCCAUUUGGCCAAGUCAGAAUGAGAAACAUAGAUGUUUUCUUUAUCUUAUGCUAUUUGUUUGGCUGUAAAUCGUAUGGAGUAAAUCUCAUGGUGUCAUUCUAAAUAAACUGGAAAUAUGUCUCAUGCAAAAUUAAUGUUGAUGUUUAUCAAUGGAAAUAAGUUUUGAAGUGAUUACCUUUCUUUAUACAAGUUCUCUUCACAAUGAAACCUAUAUUAUAGUGUCACUUUUACUUGCUUUCGCACAAAAGGGGUGUCUGGACAUGUAAUUGGCGUGUCAUUACUCACUAAAUCUUUUUUAUCCUUAUCUUCUAUAUUAAUAUCACCAUUUUUUUGGGUGCUCAUUGAGUGGUUUGGCAGGUAAUAGAUAAAGGUUUUAAUGCAUUCAUUUAAUGUUAUUACAGAUCUGCUAAAUUCUUCAAGAAGUCCGGUUUACAGAACUGAAGCUGUUUAAGCACAAGGUGUCCCAGUUUAUAGAUGAGGUAUUAUAAAAUUUAAAAAGCGUCAAUAUUAUCAUUACUGAUCCUUAACAUUUAACUAUCAAAGCUUGAGUUUAUAAUAAUUAAUUCUUCACUGAUGAUAUGUUGUGAUGGGGUUUAGUAAUUUUCAGUAUUCUUCAAUUCUUUUAAUCUGCAAAAUCAAAUAGCCCAUGGAAUUUAUGGCAUACAAUUAGUUUCCUUUCAGUUGGGUUGAAAUGAUAUUGAUUGUGUUGUUAUGAAGCUCCUUUUUAUAGUUAGGUUGAAAAUCAUAUUGAUAGAUUCUUUAUUUGGUUGGUCCUAUCUGUAACAAAUGGGAUUGUUUUGUUUGAUGUUUGAAUCAAAAUUUGAUCUUUUUUUGUGUGAAAUUAUGAUGGAAUCGCAAAUUUGUGAGGUAUAUCUUAGAUUAUUGGUUGCAUAGUCACCUUCCCACAACUAUCACAUUGUCUCUUGACUAGAUGAAUUUUUAUAAUUUCUAGGAUCUACGGUUGCAAUGCUUUUGAUGCAUGCAAUCAGGAGGAUGCUACUACUCUUAUGGAGCUUCUUUGGCAUGGUAAGUUGAAGUUGCAUAGCAUUUUUUUUUCGUUCACGAAAUUCGUUAUCUUGCUAUCCUGGCAAUUAGCAGUGUCUGACAACUGGUGAAGUAUAUGAAUAUAUGUGGAAGUUUGAAUUAUACAAAUGAAAGUGAACUUUUAACAACUCUAACUUAGAAUUUUUAUUAAUUUCUUUCAUUUGUGUUCGACUAUUUUACUUUUUUGGUAUAUAAGUACAACUAUAGAUCGAAAACCACAUAAAUUACCUAACAGCCAAGGAAUUGUUUGUGGUAGAACAUAACAUGAUGUAAAGCUCAAAUUUUGGGCACUUAAAUAUAUGUUUUUUUUUUUUCAAUUACAAUCAGUCAGCAUGAAAGUUCAAUUGGAUUUGUUCUGGUCUCCAAAAAUUUUUCUUUGUUUGGUUACCGAUUAAUUUAUGUGGUGAGAGUUUAGUUUUUGCUUUUCUGCCUAUGUAUAUAUGAUUUGAAAUGGACAAUUCAAUUUUCUAUAUAUAAAUUUGUAGUCGAAGAGUUCGAAGGAGAGGUGAAUUAGAAACAAUGGGGGGAAGAGUGAUGGAGUUGAGGAGUUGAGAGUUAAUGAGGUAUACUUGAAUUUCUGUAUGAUGUCCUUGGUAUUGGGAGAUCAUUGAGACUAACUAUCUGGUUGAUUAAUCACGAUGUCCUUGGUAUUGGGAGAUCAUUGAGACUAACUAUCUGGUUGAUUAAUCACUAAUUUGAACUAUUUGUGCUUGGAAAAUUAGCUACUUGAACAAGUACUGAACGCUUUCUAUGUUUUCUCUUAUUAACUGCUGAAAUAGGUGCCUGCCCUAUAGGACACAUAUUUUGCCUUCUUAACUACAAGGGAAAAAUAUGUGUGAAUUGCAUGUUGCUUAUGUUUCUUAUGGAAACAGAACUUUUUUUGGCAACCAUGUCUUUGUGAUCAAGAAUGUUCAGUUUCUUCCUACUAAUUGUGCAAUGUCUUUACAUGUCAACUUAGUGGAAUGUAUAUAAAAGUCAAACUACUUAUCUUAUCGAUCUCAUUCACUCAUGUGUCCCUCUGUUCAUUCAUGAUUGUGUUGAAUUUUUUCAGGUAAAAUGUGUCUUAUUCAUGCAGUUACGCCUGAAAUAGUGGUUCCCACUGCAACACGUGGGCUUAUUUUCUAGUUAUGUCUAUUUUUGUCAUUAUACAAAAUUUCCAAAAUUUUACAUUAGUAUUUACCAAACGCUUUUAUACUACUUUUCAUACUUACAGCAGUUUUAAAAAUACAGUUUACCAAACGUUCAGCUGCUUUAUUUUACAGCUGAUUAUUCUUAAAGCACAACUGUUGACCCUAAAAACUACAAAGCCUACGUGGCGCGCAGGCCGAGUAAUUAAUGAGCUAACUACGUCCUUCGGUGAAUGCGGGGCGUGCCAACUCGUCGGCCGAGCUCGGCCGAGGAGUAAAUUUGUUGAUGUUGCGUUGGGUCGCGCUACUGACUUCUGCGUCUUGCCAUUGCGGCCGAGAAAGGAACACGUCUCGGCCUCUUGGGCUCUCGAACCUGAAGACAAGGUUACUAUUCUUACGAAGUUCAAAAUCAAAUUCGGCUUUCAAUGUGCCGAAUGUAAUAACUGUAACACCUCACUUCGCCGAGAAGGCUGAUGAGAUGACCUCGACCAAUAAGGAUUUAGAAACCCUUCUCGACCGAGACUUGGAUAGGUAAUCAAUCGUUCUCGCCGCAGUGCUGUUGAUGCCAACGGAAGGUACUGCGAGACCGACUGACUCUACAGUGACAGAGCUAUCUAUGCCGACUUAAGAUAUCACCGGUUGCUUCCACAGUGCUGUUGAUGCCAACGGAAGAUGUGUCAGUGAAAAAGGAAAAAGAAAAAUCACAAGUUGUGAGAGUUUGCGCAGGGCAAUUUUGUAUUGAUUUUGUGGGUCUCGUUCCGUUGCCACUGCCUCUCUAUUUAUAGAGCUAACUUAGCAUAAAACCCGGCCGUGACCAUCAAUCACCACCACAAAUAAUAAUCGUUACGCGAGGAUGAUUAUCCAAUGAGAAUCGUAGCACUCAAAUCUCUUUGGUGCUAACGCAUUUCAGCCAAAACCACAUAACAAAUCAUGGCAUGCCAAUUCCGUCUUUUGCUAAAGAUAAGCAUUGUCGUUCAAAUCCUAGUCCCAAAGCCCUGGCAUAUCAAGCUUUAUCCAUAGGAUAUUCACUUCACCUAUUUGGCAACCUUGAAUUUGCUAAUAAUUAUCCCAUGCAUGCAUCACAUUAGCUUACGUAAUUAAUCUUUCAAGUUGGACUCCACCUUGAUCACCAACUGAUGCCACCACGUGCUAGGACUCUUCUCAUAAUGCAUGAUGCUUAAUCCCCGCGUCGAAUGAUAAGAAUCCCACAUUAAAUCGAACUGUUCUGCUUGCUUCGGUAUAGUUUGCGUCACAUUUAUCUUGUAUAAAAAGUGUCAAGAUAAUUCAUUAUUAAAAGAUCAUUAUUAUGAUUAAAAAUCAUAAUAUUAUCCCCUAACAACAAUAAAAUUAUCUUAACUUUCCUAUCCGACGGUGUGGAGCAAUGCUCACUCAACGGCCUUGAUCGCACGGGCCGAUGAUGUAAAUUGAGGUCCAAACAACAACAGAAGCAGUUUUAAAAAUAAGAACAGCAAUCCCAAACUGGCCCUUAGUCGAGGCGAGUCCUCCUUUGUCCCAUUGAACUUAGUCCUGCCAGUGAACAAACACGGAUUACACUACCUUUUAACUUAAGCUAGUCCAGUGAGAGCUAAAAAGGCAAACAAACAUCCCCUUAAUCGUUUCUGUACAGAGACUGCUAAAGAAACAGCAUGAUCAAAAUCAAAGAAUCAUGAGGCGGCCCCAGCAAGCCCCUCAGCGGCUCUACGUCCCUCCGUCGUCGCGCGACGGAAACAGCCACGACAACUACGAAGACACCGACCUCGACAACAUCGAUUACGACGACAACGAUGGUUCCAAGGACCCCGGGAGUGACGACAACAACCACGGCAACGCUGGCAGCGGUGAUGAAGAAGUCGAUCCUCUGGAUGCUUUCAUGGAGGGGAUUCAUGCGGAGGUGAGGUCAGCUCCGCCGCCGAAGCUGAAAGUGAAGGCCGAGAAGUACAGGGACGAUGAGGAGGAGGAUCAUAUGGAGAGGUUUCUGAGGGCUAAAAGGGACGUGGUGCUCACGCUGGCAUCAGAUGCUUUACACACCAGAUAUGACUCCGAUGAAGAGGUAUAUGCGACCGCCAAGGCCGUCGAUGCCGGGUUGUUGGAGUACGAUUCAGAUGAUAAUCCCAUUGUUCUGGACAAGAGGAAGAUCGAGCCGAUUUCAGCUCUCGAUCAUAGUUCAAUCGACUACGAGCCGUUUAAUAAGGAUUUUUACGAGGAGAAAGAGUCGAUUUGAGGUAAAUUCCAACCGAACUGAGAAUUUGGUUUCUUUCUUUUUUUCUUUCCAUUCACAUUUGUUUUUUAAAUUUUUGUGUGAAUUUAGUCGAAAUGCGUAGCAAAGUAUUUAAAUUUAAGUGGGAGAGAAUAUUGACCGGUAGAAGUUCUCAAGGAGAGAUUUGAAAUGGAAGACUAGAGUUAACUGGUGUUUUGGUUUCCUUGUUUAGGGAUGAGUGAGGAGGAUGUUUUUUAGUACAAGAAGAGCUUGGCCAUCCGUACGUCGGGGUUUGAUGUACCGAGGCCAGUUAAGACAUUUGAAGAUUGUGGAUUUUCUUCACAACUCAUGGCUGCCAUAAAAAAACAAGACUACCAAAAGCCGACACCAACACAAUGCGUAGCUCUACCCAUAGUUCUUUCCCGGAGAGAUAUAAUUGGUAUUGCGAAAACUGGUUCUGGAAAGACUGCCACUCUUGUCCUUCCAAUGAUUGUCCACAUUAUGGAUCAGCCAGAGCUUCAAAAAGAAGAAGGUCCAAUUGGAGUGAUAUGCGCUCCUACUAGAGAGCUGGCGCACCAAAUAUACUUAAGAGUCCAAAAAAAUUGCAAAAUCACAUGGGAUACGUAUCUCUGCUGUAUAUGGUGGAAUGUCUUAAGCUUGAUCAGUUCAAAGAACUUAAGGCAGGAUGUGAAAUAGUUUUUGCUACUCCUGGGAGAUUGAUCGACAUGCUUAAAAUGAAGGCACUGACAAUGCUUAGGGCAACUUACCUAGUACUUGAUGAGGCUGAUCAGAUGUUUGACCUUGGGUUUGAGCCUCAAAUUAGAUCUAUUGUUGGUCAGAUUCGGCCAGACCGACAGACAUUGCUCUUUUCUGCGACAAUGCUCCGUAAAGUUGAAAAAUUGGCUAGGGAGAUUCUCUCAGAUCCUAUAAGAGUUACAGUGGGUGAGGUGGGAAUGGCCAAUGAGGAUAUCACUCAGGUUGUUCAUGUAAUUCCUUCUGAUGAUGAGAAGCUGCCCUGGCUUUUUGAGAAGUUACCAGGAAUGAUUGAUGAGGGUGAUGUUUUAGUAUUUGCUUCAAAAAAAGCUGCAGUGGAUGAGAUCGAGUCACAGCUUGCUCAGAAAGGUUUUUAAGUCACAACUCUGCAUGGUGACAAGGACCAAGCAUCUCGGAUGGAUAUUUUGCAAAAAUUUAAAUCUGGCAUUUACCAUGUUCUUGUUGCAACUGAUGUUGCUGCUCGUGGUCUUGACAUCAAGUCAAUUAAGUCAGUUGUGAACUUUGAUAUUGCAAAAGACAUGGACAUGCACAUCCAUUGAAUUGGUAGAACAGGUCGGGCUGGUGAUAAGGAUGGCACUGCGUACACUCUUAUUACACAGAAAGAGGCACGUUUUGCUGGUGAGUUGGUUAAUAGCUUGGUUGCUGCUGGUCAGAUUGUCUCCACGGAGCUCAUGGACCUUGCGAUGAAGGUAAUUUUGCAUUACUAUUAACAUUUUUUUUUUGUGGUUUAUAUAGCGAGUUUAUACAUGCAUCCAACUACUUGCCUUUUUGUUUUAGAGAUGGUGGUUAUAACCUUAGUUUGUAAUCCUAUAAUGCAUUUAAGGCGAAUACAAGUUAUUAAUAUGUUCUCUGGUAAAACGUGCUCUUUUUAAUGCAAUAUGGAUUCUGGACAAUUACACCUACUGGUGUUUGUCUCACAAAUAAACUACGUUAUCUUCACUCUACUAUAUAGGUGCAUAGGUUGCUUCUGAUUUAGAGUGCGCUUUCGAGAGAGAUGGAUUUGAUGACCAUUUGGUCUUCAAGGCCUUAUUUUGGAAAGCUUUAGUAUGUCCUUGGAAUUACAGGGAUCUUGAGAUCGUUGACUUCAUAACGUCAAGAUAGUCAAUUUCAGGAAAUGUGCUUAGUUUAGGGAGAGAGUAAUUAGACAGUCUUUAGUAGUCCCAUCUUUACUUCAUACCAUGCUCUGCUUAGAAAAGGGGUUGUUGGGGGUGUAUGUUGGCUUGUUGGGUUGUGGAUUGAAGCAUAGAGAUGACUUGAAGAUGAAGCUCAGUCUGGGGACGUAAUAACUUUUGUGUAUUAUUAAGUACUCGCUUGCAUUCUGGGCUACCAAUACAUCGGUUGAGGCCAACCAAUUUGCAUUUAAGAACUAAGAGAAAAAUCGCAUUUUAAGUACUAAAUCUUAAUUACCACAUGGACCCUUAGUAAAUUGUCACUUAUUUUCCCUUGUGCCAAUAUAUCUCAUAGACAUAAAUGCACAGCUUAUCAUGAUAGGUGGCUGCACCUGCAUUAGUUUUAGAAGUUUUACACUAUGAGAGCCACUCAUGCAUCAUUUCUUCAGUCUUGUGACUUUUAAUUCUUGCCUUGCUGCUUGUAGCUUUGUAUUUUAUAUCCAUCAUAAAUACACUGGUUUCCAUCUCCUACAUGGAUGUGCAGUUAUUUUGGGUGCACCUUGUCUGUGGAACUUUUGUUGCUUUCCCUUACUAUGUUUCUUGUUUGAUAGCUUUAGAUGUUAUGUUAGAUUUCAGAUUUUACAUUCUCUAUUUUAAUGGGAUUUACCUUGUUUAUUAUCAGGAUGUUAGAUUCAUAUCAAAAUGUGAUUCAAGAAAAGGAGUUAUAAACUUUAAUCAUAUUAAAAUUUCAAUUUUCUUAAGGUUCUUUUGCAAUUUCAUAUUAAAUAAGCCUUUUUCUACAAUUCAAAUGAUGAUAUUAUAUGGAUUCUGCAGGUGGAAAGAAAGGUAGAGGGAGGGGCGGCGGUGGUCGAGGUGUGCGUGGGGUGGAUUUUGGUCUGGGUAUUGGAUAUAAUACGGAGUCCAAUAGUUCUUCAUCGAAUACUGUUCCUAGUCGAUCUGUUGCAGUAACUCCUCAGAGGACAGGAAUGAUGUCUCAGUUCAAGACUAAAUUUGUUGCCGCUUCAUCUAACUCUCCAAGUCAAGGUUCAGCUAACAGCUCUAGUGUGCCCAACAGACAGGCAUUACGAGGAUUUGUAUCCGGUGGUUCAAUAGGUGGUGAUGUAUAUAGAACUCAGGCAACCAGUACAAUUACUCCUGCUCCUGCUCCAACAUCAAUGGUAAAUAAAACUGCUACUCCGAACACUGGACAAAAUUCAAGUCAGAAACCCUCCGAAAGGUUAAUUAAACUGAUGCUUGGUUAGAAUUUUUUAUGUCUUUACUUAUUUGAUUGGUGUUGAGCAGUUUCAUUUGUGCCGAUUGCAGUUCUAGAGAUAAACCCAGAGAAAGGCGGAGGCGCUCCGUUUGGGACUGUUAACCGUACAGUUGAACUACACCACUCUCGCAUAAUGAAUUACAAGUUUUACUUUUGUUGUAGGUCAAGUCCUGAUAUUCCUAUAUUAUUGUUGAUCUUUGUCACUUUCUUUGUCGCUCUGUUUAUAAGUUAAAAGAAACAGAAGAUUUUGUAAACUCAGAUCGACUUGUUGCACAAAUAGUGGAUGAUUUAAAACAUAGACUGUUCGUAUCAUUAAAAUACGUUAUGAAGUAGAUUCUACAAAAAGUUGUGCCGUGUAAAAAAAAUUGUGAUGUUUCACAUGUGCUCCGUAUGUUAUUUAUAUUAAUCAUUCUGAAUUACAUCAUAACUCAACGACUUGGUAUAUAAUACAAUAAGGCCUUGUUGGAUGUCAAUGAUUUGAUUGGUUAUGACUGGAUUAGAUUGGCUUAGUUUGGAAAAUUCACUAGAUUCAGUGAAUGUUGAAAGAAAAUAUGGAUUGCUAUUUUGUUCAAGUGAAGAUGGAAGAGAAAAAGAAUAAGACAAGUAUAACAAAUCAAAUAUUGACGGAGCAUGCAUAGGUUUUUAAUUACAACUAUUCGUCAAUUGGUGCUUAUAAUUUUUGGUUUUAAAUGCUAUUAUCUCUUAAAUAAAAUAAUUAUGUUGCUUUAGUCUCCUCAUCGUAUUAUACGUGUCGAAUUCGUGUGAAGUCUGGUGGGACAAGAGAGAGAUAAGGAGGUUGACUUUGAUCAAUUGACCUCCUUUCCAUAGCCAUUUUUCUUUACCUUCAUCCCCUUACACAAAGUCCAUUCUUAAGAUCUCUAGUUCUCUCUCAAUGGCUGCUAAAAGUUCCCGAGAUUCUUCUUCGUCCUCUUACCAGUGUUCCUAUCAUGCCUUCUUGAGUUUCAGAGGCCAGGACACGCGCAGGGGCUUUACUGAUCACCUCUAUAGAGCUUUGGAGCUAGCAGGAAUCCACACCUUUAGAGACGAUGAUGAAAUCAAGAGAGGGGAGAAUAUUGAGUCGGAGUUAGAGAAGGCGAUAAAGGAGUCACAAGUAUCCAUAAUUGUCUUCUCCAAGGACUACGCUUCCUCAAGGUGGUGUUUGAACGAACUUCUGAAGGUCGUGGAACGUAGAAAUACUGAUCGUAGACAUGUGGUUCUGCCAGUUUUCUAUGAUGUGGAUCCAUCCGAUGUCAGGAAGCAGAGUGGUACUUUUGCUGAAGCAUUUGCCAGACACGAGGAGCGAUUCAGUACGGAGGAGAUGGACAAGGUGGAGCUGUGGAGAAGAGCUCUUAGACAUGUUGCAAGUUUGGGAGGCAUGGUUUUAGGAGAUCGGUAAUUUCUAUUCUCAUUAUGUUCUCACGCUAAUUGAAAGUGUCUUUUAAAUUAAGUAAAAUUGUAGAUGGCAGUGAAACUUGAAGUUGUUCGCCUAUAUAUACUGCAACUUUGAUUUAUAUGUUCCUAUCGAUUCAAAUGAAUUACAGGUAUGAGGGGCAGUUCAUCCAAGAUAUUGUUGGAGAGAUUAGAAAUAAAGUGGAUCACGUAGCUUUAGACGUCGCUCCCUUUGCAGUUGGAAUGGAUGCUCGUGUGAGACGCCUAAACAUGUGGUUACAAGAUGGAUCAAAUGAUGUUGGUUUAGCUGUCAUCUGUGGGAUGGGUGGAAUUGGCAAGAGCACCAUCGCGAAAGCCGCUUAUAACCGCAACUUUGAUAGAUUUCAAGGUAGCAGCUUUCUUGCAGAUAUACGAGAAUCUUCAGAACAACCCAAUGGUUUUGCUCUCUUGCAAAGAAAACUUCUUUCAGAUAUCCAAAACGGGAAAGCAAAGAAAGUAUACAAUAUGGAUGAAGGAACAAUCAGGAUCAAACAAGCCGUAGGUUAUAAAAAAGUUCUUAUUGUUCUUGAUGAUGUGAGCAACCGGGAUCAACUCAAUGCAAUUCUUGGAAUGCGAGAGUGGCUUCAUUCAGGAAGUAAAAUUAUCAUAACAACUCGACAUGAACAUUUGUUAAAUGCUCACGAUGUUUUUGAAAAGUUUAUGGUUCAAGAACUGAAUGAGUACGAAUCACUUGAGCUUUUCAGUUGGCAUGCCUUCAGACAAUCCCAUCCGGAAGAAGGUUACAAGGAGCUUUCAAGACAUGUGGUGCAGCACUGUGGAGGGCUUCCUGUAGCUCUUCAAGUUCUGGGAUCUUCUCUAUCUGGAAAAAGUGUAGAAGUAUGGCAAAGUGCAUUGCAGAAGUUAGACGUGAUCCCUAAUGACAAAAUUCAAAAAGUUCUGAGGAUAAGUUUUGAUUCUUUACAGGAUGAUCAUGACAAAAAUUUAUUCCUUCAUAUAGCCAGUUUCUUCACAGGAAAGACGAUGGAUUAUACAAGUACAAUGUUGGACAGCUUAAAGUUUUACACAAGGAUUGGGAUUGAAAAUCUAGUUGACAGAUGCCUAGUGAAAAUUCAAGGCUCGAACAGGUUGUUGGUCAUGCAUCAAUUGGUGAGAAACAUGGCAAUGGAAAUUAUUUGUGAAGAAUCACCUGAUGACCCUGGAAAACGUAGUAGAGUGUUGCAGAAAGAUGCCUCUAAUAUUUUGAGAAAAUUAAGUGUAAGAACUAUGUUUUCAUGUAUAUGUAUUUUUAGUUAUGAUUUGUUGUCCAGUACUAGUUAUAUACUUAUUCAAUGCUCUGAUUUGUUAGCAGGGUACGGAAAAUAUUAAGGGCCUCAUGCUUAACCUUGCUAGCAAAAUAACGUUUGUUGGAUGUCAUAAAAAACGAUGCCAUGAUGAAGAUUAUGAUGGAAAUUGUUCAAGACGACGUCGUCUUGGUUUCUUCUCUUGGAAGCCAGUUAGCUUUCCGUCCACAAACUCAGCUUCUGCAUCAAAUGAGAUAGAUUUCAAAUCUGAGGCGUUUAGAAGGAUGCACAAUCUUGAAAUUCUCAUGCUCAACAACGUCAACGUCAGGGGAAGCUACGAAGAAUUUCCAAAAAGUUUAAUAUGUUUAUCUUGGAGAGGAUUCCACUUAAAAUCAGUACCAGAAAAUUUUUAUUUGGAAAACCUGGUUGUUCUUGACAUGCGAAAUAGUAGCCUACAACAUGUUUGGAAUGGGAUCAGGGUACGUAACUCUCUCUCUCUCUCUCUCUCUCACUCACUCUCACACACACUUUCUCUCACACAUGUCCAUUAUAUCUUCUUAGAAAUUGAUUAAUACUUCUUAUUGAAAACAGUUCUUUCCGAGGCUGAAGAUUCUUAAUCUCAGUCAUUCGCAUGGCCUUAGGACAACCCCUGACUUCUCAGGACUCCCUAACCUUGAGAGAUUGAUUCUUAAACAUUGCAUAAAUUUGGUUGAGGUUGAUGAGUCCAUCGGAUACCUAGAGAAACUUGUUGUUUUGAAUCUAGAAGGCUGCAAAAAUCUCAUGAAGCUUCCAAAAUUGAGAUCUAUUCAGGAUCUUAUUCUUUCUGGUUGCUCAAAGCUUGUGCUUGGUGCCAAUACGACUGCCACAACUGGUCACUUACAAUCUACAGCUUGUGAAUUGAAGAAACUCAAUCUGCUAUCAGCUAAAUCAUGGUAUUCAAUCUGGUCGCGGGUGUCCCCAAGAAAAAAUAUUGAACCAAGCAGUUUCUCAUUGGCAAGUUUACCACAUUCCUUGACAAGUUUAAGUCUGGAUAGCUGCAAUCUAUCAGAGAUUCCGAGUGCCCUUACUAUGCUGUCUUCGUUAGAGUACUUGGAUCUGAAUAAGAAUCCAAUUACAAGCCUACCAGAGAGCAUGAACAAUCUUGUUAAGCUUCACACUCUUGCAGUAGAUGGUUGCAGAAACCUCACAAUGCUUCCAGAGCUCCCACAUAGUUUGAAACAAUUGAAUGGUAGAGGUUGCACAUCAUUGAAAAGAAUAACAAAUUUACCGAACUUGCACAUAUUACCGGCCACACAUCCCUUCGGCAUGCAAAAGGACAUAGAUUUAAAGUAUUACAACAUAUUAUUGGACUCAAAUUUAUGGUAUUGUGGGAAACUAGUUGAUGUUGUAAGCUUGUUUAAUACACUACCAUUGAGCAGCUUUGACAUAAAACUCCUCAAAGAUAUCGAUCUAUUCGAUUUGAAACCCAACGGUGGCGUUGAGGUCCAAAGGAACAGCGAUUGUGCAAGUUUUGGCAAGCCCAGGCGCUCCAAGGUUCUUCUCUCUCUCUCUCACUGCUAUGUACAAGUGCUUAUAAUAUGAUCUAUGGCGUAAACAAUUAGAUUGUAAUCACAUCACCAUGAAACUGCAGGGAACUUUUGAAUGCGGCAUAUUUAGCAUAUUUGUCCACGAGAGCAAGAUUCCAGAUCGGUUCAAUUACAGGAGCAUGGGUAACAGUGUGUUCUCUAUUAUUGUUCCUUCACAGCCUAAUAUCAAGAUCGUAGGUUUAAAUGCAUGUAUAUUGUAUGCCCGGCAAUCGGAUCGAAGCCCUGAGAUUGCACUUGGAAACUAUCAUUUCUAUUCGCUUGAACUUAGGAAUGAGACAAAGGGCCUUAAGUGGCGUUUACCUAUGUUCAAUGAGGUUGAAUGGAGGGUGAUGAACGAAGAUAUGUUAUGGCUAAGCCAUUGGAUUAUGGGGAACGAUGAAUUGGAAUGCGGGGAACAAGUGCGUUUUGAAAUAAUCGGAGUGCAAGACGGUUUCGUCACAAAGGAGAUUGGAGUCCAGUUUGUGUACGAGCAGCAAAAUAAGGAUAAGGAGGAUGUCCCAUCAAGUAGUGAAGAUCCAAUGAUCCUACCUGACAGAUCGUUUCGGGUCUGGAGCAAAGUAUCGCCUUGGCACUGGAGCGUAGGUUUCGCUGGAAGGGGUGGCCCUAUUGGGAGAGAGACCGGGGUGGAAUACAUCCAUAACAAUGAGAAGAAAGUUAUUUCAACUGUCAUGUGCGCGGCUCAAUACAUUCUCUGUAACCAUGAAGUGAUCGAUCUUGAGAAUGAAUCCCGCAUGACCCCGUAGUAACAACGAGUGCUCUAAACUAUUACCCAGUUUAAUUCAAAUUGAUGGUGAUGAUGCACAAAUCACUAAAUUCAAAUGUGUAUUGGUUGUUAUGCUUCGUUUCUAUCUAUUUUCAAUUUUUCCCUAAAAAAUUGUUUUCAAUAAUUUAAUAUACAAAAUUUCAUACCAAACAAAUUCUUGCCUGUAUAAAGUAUGAAUUUAAAACCUGUUUUUAAGAAAAAUAAAGUUUCAGACCCCAACUAGAAAAUAAGCCCACGAGUUGUGGCGGGAACUAACUGUUUCAGGCGUAACUGCGUGAAUAAGACACAUUUCACAUGUAACUGAAUAAAUAAGACACAAAGUGCAGGAAGUAAAGCUCAUAUUUAGCAGUGUUAUUUUAACAACAAUUGUUCAAGUGGUGGAUUGCCCCCGGUGGGUUGGGCAUUUCUCUUAGUCCUACUGCAUUCCGGGUUCAAAGUUCCAACCAUCCCCCGUACCAGUUUAAGCACACCAAAGACCAAAUUUAGCAUGUUCUUUCGUCAUCCACCCAACCCCAGCAGAUAUACAAAAUUCAAAUAGAACUUGGCAAAUUCAUCCUCUUAAAAUACAAAACGAAAAUAAUUUAUGAUCACUGACCUCUGAGAAUCGAAUGAUAUUCGGAUUCUUCAAUGAUCUGUGGUUCUUGAUUUCCCCUUGAACAUGUUCAUCCAUCUGCAUCACCAAAAAAAAAAGUAUAUUUAAAAAAAAAUACAAAAUGAAAAUAGUUUAUGAUCACUAACCUCUUUGGAUCGAAUGAUAUUCGGAUGGUCCAGUGAUCUAUAGUUCAUGAUUUCCCUUUGAACAUGUUCAUCUAUCUGCAUCACCAAAAAAAUAAUAAAUAUUUAAAAAAAAAUACAAAAUUUAAAGGAUAAGAAUUGCGAAGAUUCUUAGGUCUUAGUUCGAAAUGUAAUAGCUCAUCUCACCUCCAUAUAUUACCAAAUCUUAGUCUAUAUGAUUUUGCCAGAGCCACCGAAUGUUGAAUAUAUAUCUGUUGAAUGUUCUACUACCAUCAACAUUAUAAAGGUUUCUAAUCGAAUCAUAUAUUUAAAAUCCAAGCAUGAAAGUUUUACAAAGAUAAAUAAACAAAUGUAAAUAACUAAUUAGGCAAUACACAGCAGAGAGGGGAGAGAGAGAGAGAGAGAGAGAGCAAUUGAAGGGAAUGCAUAGUUAUCUCUAUCUUCGGAAAAAAGAAAAGAAAAAAAGAGAGCAGUUGAAGGAGUGAGAAGCAAAGCAGCAUACCAAGUGGAGGGUAAGCAAUUAAGCAUAGUCAUCUCACGUACGGAUUGCCUGAGAACUGAUCUUUGCUUCUCUUCCUUAUGAUCCUCUUAAAUGCAAUUCUACACAUUUCUAAACCAAAAUUGCAAAGCAGAAUUCAAAGAAAUUUAAAGAAAUCUAGUAAAGAUUCAAACUUUUUUAUUAUCCAAAAGAUGUACAUAACCCCAUGUAACAAAAACAAAUUUAUGACACAAAAGAAAUUAUCUUUAGCCAACAAAAGCAAAAAAGAGAAAGAGAGAGAUUUUGCUUUUUGCACUAUGCAGAAUGUGCAGAGAAUCAAAAUAUCAUAACCCAUUUAACAACAUGAUAUUUUAGGCAAAAAGGCAUCACCUUUAGACCCCAAAUGAAAGAAUUUGAGAGAGAGCGCAUACGUGGUUGCCAAGAAGAGGAAGAGAGCAAUUCUAUUUCCUGUAAAAAUGAAGAAACAGAGCAUUAACAAACACACAUGCACAAAUCUCAAAAGGAAAUUGGUAAGAAAUAAUCGUAAUUGAGAAAAUAAUCAAAAAACUAGAGAGCACACAACUGGAGUCUAAUUCUACAGAACCCACGAGUCGACAAACAAAUAUCCAAAAUUAACAGAUUACAGUAACAACAUUCCAACAAAAGUAAGAAGACCAGAAAAAUUAUCUAUUCUAAAGUACAUUAGUUCCAUCAUGCAUAAAUCAAGGGAGUCACGGAAGGCCAGUAUCUUAAGGUAAUCCAACAUGUUAAAGCAUCCAAACAGAGACUCAGAAUUACAAAACGCAUGAAAAUUCACAUUCCAACGUGUUAUGGAAUCACCAAUUUCAGAUCAACCAAAAUCAAAUAAAUUUAUAUCAGUACGCAUCAAACCCACCAAACCCAAAAUCAAAAGAAGGUGAUCAAAUGUUUGAUUUUGCUAAAUAUUACAAAAUAAAAUAAAUAAGAAUAUGUACAAAUCAACAUGCAUACCUUGUAGCGGUGCAGGGAACAGUAGCGUGAGCUGCAUCGAGGGCAUGUGUACUGGGAAAAUUGCUACUGGCAGCUGCAACUAACAAAAACAAAAACAAAACAAAAUUGAAUAAAAUCAAAAUCGGAAAAAUUUCCAGAAAAUAAAUAAAACAAAUUAUCAAGCUUUGUUGAUGAAAGAGAGGUGGGGUUGGUGAAGAACAUACACGCGGCUAUGAGCAGUAGACAAAAGAUUUCAAAAUGAUUUCUUCACUUUUCAAUCAGGACAUGCACGAAUAUAAAAAUGGCAGAGAGGAUUAAAACCAUACCAAACACUAGAAAAUCAAGUAUAAAAAUCGUACUUACCUUGUGAAUGAGGACAUGCAGACACAUGAUGGAUGAAGGACAGCAAAUCCCGCAUACACGAACCUAACUUGCCACUGUUCGCCACCCCCACCCCUCCCUAUCUCUCUCUCCCUGCAAUCGCGACGAUUUCUGUCACUGUCACCCUCCCACUCCCGAAUCGAAUAUCCGCACGAAAUCUCUCUCUCUCUCUCUCUCUCUCUCUCUCUCUCUCUCUCUCUCUCUCUCUCUCGCUCGGUUUCUCUCACUGUCACCCUCCCACUCCCGAAUCGAAGAUCCGCACGAAAUCUCUCUCCCUCUACAAGCGGCAUGGCCGCUGUCCCUCUCUGUCUGCCCUCACCAUCAAUCCCAAUCCCAAAAUUAAGAUGACAAAAGUGCCCUGCAACCCUUUAAUUCUAGCCGCGUGAUCCUAACCCUAGAUGAAUAUUUCUGGAAUUUGAACACCCAAAGUAUCUCAUCAAAUGUGGAUGUACCCACAGUAUGAAUCUGAGAAUUUCUCAAUUCAACUCUCGAAAUUACUGUGACAGUAUUAAUAUAUCAUGUGGAAUGAGGUGGUAUUAUGGUAAAAGAUAGAACUUUAGCUGAUGGUAAACAACAUUUGGGAAUUUGAUGUAAGCCGGCUGGGAAUCCCAAAUGUUGUUUACCAUAAGCUAAAAUUUAAUCUCUGAUUAAAAAAAUAAUAAUAAAAAGCACACCUCAAACUGACAAGGACCAUAAUUUUCAAGUGACACUGCUUUUCAAUGGUUACCAUAAAAAAAAUAAUAAUAAAAGAACUGAUCAUUUGAAUUAUUCAUGACAGAACCAAUUUUGAUUUGAAAUAUGAUGGCCAAGAACAAAUCACACUGCUUUUCAAUGGUUACCAUAAAUUUUCAGAAGUUACAGAAGAUUUUUUUAUCAAAUGAAAAGACAAUGGUCACAUAUAUCUACAAUUAACCACCAGUAAGCGUGAAAUAUUACAUCACAAUGCAAUAGCAGCUAUACAGGAUGCCAUGCCAUUCAUACUAUGACAAAUCACAAAAGUGACAAUUAAAGGGCACCUAACAGACACCCCCAUCUCUCUCUCUGCAAUAGCAGAAAUCCCUCGGGUUUCAGAAAGCAAAUGGAAAACAAAAUGCUUUUACAUCCCCUACCCAUACCCAUACCUCCCUUUACCCGUUCCCUUUACCCUCGCAGAAAAUCCUCCCAUCUCUCUCUCACCCUUGUCCCAUCUCUCUGUCUGCAAAUCGCAGAAAAGAAACCCUGAACAAAUCACUUAAAUCCCUCGCCUAAAUCCUCCCACAUUUCUCUCAGACACCCCCUAUCUCUCUCUCUUUGCAAACCCUAAACCAAAUCUCCUAAAUCCUAUCUCGGACACCCCACACAAAGCCAAGAAGCCAAGAUAUUAAAGCAAUCUCUACAUAAUACUAUGGAACAAUGAAGCAAAAUGGUACUUACUUGUUCCUUGUCCAAAACCGUUGGUGCCACCGCACAUUGUUAUCAAUUGUGGGUUGAUCAAAUCCUUCAUGGCUUAGACUGCAUGAAGAAUUAGAAACUAAAAGAUGAAUAUAUGCUGUAAAUCAUCAUAUAAAUGUAAUUGCAUUUAAAAAAAGAAGGGAAUGAAAAAAUUGAAUUCUAUUUCAUCAGUAUGUAACUGCAUGAAAAGUUACAUUGAAUGCAAACUCAAUCAAUUUCCCCAAAGUCAUUGUUAACUGAAAAUCAAUACCAAACCCAUAUAUACCACCAUUGAAUUUGCGAAACCCAAAAACAAAAUACAAAAAUUUACUCAUAUAAUCACAGAAAAACAUGAAAUUUGAGCACACAUUUGGCAAAGUUAAAGGAUAAAGGCACUCACAUCAUCGUAGUACUCUUUGGGAAGAUCUUCUAAUACUGGUUCUUCCUUUUUCUUGCUCUUCCUCAGAGCUGCCAUAAAAAAACCCAGAGAAGCACACAAAUUCAGAAAAGAAGAGGUCCAAAACUGCCAUAAAAAAUCCAGACAGCAUACAAAUUUAUCAGAACAAAAACCAAAUGAUGUGAGUGAUAGUGAGAGAGGUUGUGUUAGGCACCUGAAACACGUUUUGGUUUCAAUUGAAACGGCCAGAGCGUUGCAUGUGAGGAAGAUGACGAUAGGAUAUCCACAUUCUUUUUUCUUGGGUGAACUAACCAAACCAUAUUAUAUACUAAAACGACAUAAAAAAUCAUUAACAAAAUCACAACAAAAUAGAACAAAAACAUUCACAAAAGAAUUCCCCAAGUUUUCAAAUGGAAAUUAAACAUUUACAUAGCUUAUAUAAAAAGCCAAAAUAUAAAAAAUUAAUCAAAAGGUUGAGAUAACUCACAUCCCAGUAAUGCUUAUUGCUGAUAUUAACACCCACUGACAGCAGCCCUCGGUUUGUGGAAUUCCCACGCCCAACUCCAUGACCUCUCUCUCUGCCAUCCCUCUCUCCCUCACAACCAUACCCACUUUCGACCCACCCCUCAAUCCCGACACCAACCCUUGAUUUAAGGAGGAAAAAUCAAUACAACCACCCUUUUCGCAAGCCUCACUCCUCCCGCUCCCUUCCCCUCCCUGCCAAUCCCAUGCCCAUCUCCCUUGUUGUAGCUCUGCAACCCACGUUUUUUGGCACCAAACACUAUGUCCUAGGAUGAUGUGACAAUUUAUCAAAGUCAGAAAAUGCAUUAUCUCAGUUUAGGUUGGUAGCAUAUAUGAUCCCCGUGCAGCAACAUAGAAUACUUAGUAAAAGUUGCAUUUCUGAGAACAAAUAACCAAGAUGCUUGACCGAAAAAACAAUGCAGAUGCUUUAGUAAUACAGAAUUACAGUUUUAUUCAAGCUUCUCAGUCACAAACUAACCUUCCUUUGUCGAGCAGCAAGGAAGAGGGGGCGAAAAUUGAUUCCUGGAUGAGCUUUUUCGUUCAAAACUAAGUCGAGCUGCAAGGACGAAGGGUCGAGGAUUGUUCGUGAGCUGGUGUUGCGGAUAUAAACAUAUAGAAAGCUCCACUGUGUCAUAACAAACACAAAUCAAAUAUGAUCACCAUGUCACAUUAAUUACCUAAAAUUCAAAAUGUUAUAUACAUUAGUAUGUUGAACAAAACUCCGCCUAUGUAAGUUUAUCUUACAUUGCCGGUCCCAAGCCCGGAUAAAGGAGGAGGGGGAGGGCGUCAGGUAGUCGACAGCCGGCACUCCAUGAUCACGUCGAAUCCUUAUGAAAAUGAAUCCAGAACGAAAUCGCGCUAAAGCUAGGGCGUCACCCGUAAGUGGCGCGCUGUGUAGCCCGAGCACAGUGAUAAGUGAGCAAGGGUCGCUGUAUCUCCAUCGGCACCCGGAUACAGUGUUAAAUGAGCAAGGGGGCCAUAGAAACUUCUUUUCGAACGACUCCACUCAAAGUUGUUUGGGAGCAUAUGCUCCUAUCAACUUUACACGGGACACACAAAAGAAGUACUUUGAUCCUAUUAGACGGGAGAGGGUGAAGAAGCUAGGACAGAAGGGUAGAGUUCAAGAGAGCAAAAUGCGUUUAGGAACGUGGAAUAUAGGAACCUUGACGGGAAAAUCUAUGGAAGUAGUGGAAGUUAUGGUGAGGAGAAGGAUAAAUAUUAUGUGCCUACAAGAAACUAAGUGGGUUGGUCGUAAGGCAAAGGAUCUAGAAAACUCAGGGUUUAAACUAUGGUAUUCGGGCACAAAUAGAACGAGAAACGGUGUUGGCAUCAUCGUGGACAAGACCUUGACACAAGAUGUUGUAGAUGUCAAGAGGGUAGGAGAUAGAAUCAUGGCAAUCAAGAUUGUAAUAGGACAAGAACUUAUCAAUGUGAUUAGUGCGUACGAACCUCAAGUAGGGUUGGAUACGAGUUCGAAGGAGAAAUUUUGGGAAGACCUUGGAGACUUGGUGCGAGGAAUUGCUCAGACGGAGAAGUUAUUUAUAGGAGGAGAUUUAAAUGGACACGUGGGCAGGGAGACAGGCAACUAUGGAGGUUUUCAUGGUGGCCAUGGUUUUGAGGAGAGAAACGAGGAUGGGGAAGCUAUCUUGGAUUUUGCAAUGGCAUAGAGGAGGGGGAGGGCGUCAGGUAGUCGACAGCCGGCACUCCAUGAUCACGUCGAAUCCUUAUGAAAAUGAAUCCAGAACAAAAUCGCGCUAAAGCUAGGGCGUCACCCGUAAGUGGCGCGCUGUGUGGCCUGAGCACAGUGAUAAGUGAGCAAGGGUCGCUGUAUCUCCAUCGGCACCCGGAUGCAGUGUUAAAUGAGCAAGGGGGCCAUAGAAACUUCUUUUCGAACGACUCCACUCAAAGUUGUUUGGGAGCAUAUGCUCCUAUCAACUUUACCCGGGACACACAAAAGAAGUACUUUGAUCCUAUUAGACGGGGGAGGGUGAAGAAGCUAGGACAGAAGGGUAGAGUUCAAGAGAGCAAAAUGCGUUUAGGAACGUGGAAUAUAGGAACCUUAACGGGAAAAUCUAUGGAAGUAGUGGAAGUUAUGGUGAGGAGAAGGAUAAAUAUUAUGUGCCUACAAGAAACUAAGUGGGUUGGUAGUAAGGCAAAGGAUCUAGAAAACUCAGGGUUUAAACUUUGGUAUUCGGGCACAAAUAGAACGAGAAACGGUGUUGGCAUCAUCGUGGACAAGACCUUGGUACAAGAUGUUGUAGAUGUCAAGAGGGUAGGAGAUAGAAUCAUGACAAUCAAGAUUGUAAUAGGACAAGAACUUAUCAAUGUGAUUAGUGCGUACGCACCUCAAGUAGGGUUGGAUACGAGUUCGAAGGAGAAAUUUUGGGAAGAUCUUGGAGACUUGGUGCAAGGAAUUGCUCAGACGGAGAAGUUAUUUAUAGGAGGAGAUUUAAAUGGACACGUGGGCAGGGAGACAGGCAACUAUGGAGGUUUUCAUGGUGGCCAUGGUUUUGGGGAGAGAAACGAGGAUGGGGAAGCUAUCUUGGAUUUUGCAAUGGCAUAUGAUCUCUUCUUAGCCAACACCUUCUUUAAGAAGAGAGAAGAACAUGUGAUCACCUACAAGAGUGGGUCGUCAAAAACACAAAUAGAUUUUCUUCUAAUGAGGAAAGGGGAUCGUAUAACUUGUAAGGAUUGCAAAGUUAUACCAGGAGAGAGCGUGGCUAAUCAACAUCGCUUGUUGGUGAUGGAUGUACAUAUCAAAAGAGUAAGACAAAAGAACAAGACUUGGAAGUGCCCAAGGACUAGAUGGUGGAAUCUAAAAGAAGAAAAAACAAGCCAUUUUCAAAAGAGAAGGUAAUCACCCAAUGUGUGUGGGAUAGAGAGGGGGAAGCUAGCCAAAUGUGGAAUUCCAUGGCUAGUUGUAUCCGAAAAGUAGCAAAAGAGGUAUUAGGAGAGUCCAAGGGCUUUGCCCCACACCAAAAGGAAUCUUGGUGGUGGAAUGAGGAGGUACAAACAAAGGUGAAGGCUAAGAAGGAAUGUUGUAAAGCCUUAUACAAGGAUAGGACCGAUGAAAAUGGUGAAAGGUAUAGAAAAGCGAAGCAAGAGGCGAAGAAAGCUGUCAGAGAAGCUAAGUUAGCGGCUUACGACGAUAUGUAUAAACGACUAGAUACCAAAGAAGGAGAGUUGGAUAUCUAUAAACUAUCUAGAGCAAGGGAAAAGAAGACAAGGGACCUAAACCAAGUGAGGUGCAUCAAGGAUGAGGAUGGAAAGGUUCUUGCUACAGAGAACGCGGUUAAAGACAGAUGGAGAGGUUAUUUUCAUAAUCUUUUCAAUGAAGGACAUGAAAUGAGUGCUUCUUUAGGGGAGUUGAGUAACUCAGAAGAGUGUAGAAACUACUCUUUUUAUCGUAGAAUCCGGAAGGAAGAAAUGGUUGUAGCUUUGAAGAAGAUGAAGCAUAGAAAAGCAGUAGGCCCAGACGAUAUACCAAUCGAAGUGUGGAAAGUUUUGGGAGAGACAGGUAUAACAUGGCUCACUGACCUUUUCAAUAGGAUUUUGAAAACGAAGAAGAUGCCAAAUGAGUGGCGAACGAGCACUUUGGUGCCUAUCUACAAGAAUAAGGGCGACGUACAAAAUUGCAUGAACUAUAGGGGUAUUAAGCUAAUGAGUCAUACAAUGAAGCUCUGGGAGAGAGUCAUUGAGCAUAAAUUGAGGCAAGAGACACGGGUUUCGGAUAACCAAUUCGAGUUCAUGCCAGGGCGCUCAACCAUGGAGGCAAUCUAUCUCUUACGAAGAUUGAUGGAAAGAUAUAGAGAUGGGAAAAAGGAUUUACACAUAGUCUUUAUAGAUUUGGAAAAAGGAUUUUAGAGAAAGGAGUACGAGUAGCAUAUAUCCAAGCUAUAAAGGAUAUGCAUGAAGGAGCAAAGACUGCCGUAAGAACUCAUGAAGGACAAACCGAAAGCUUUCCCAUAACUGUAGGAUUACAUCAAGGCUCAUCCUUAAGUCCUUACCUUUUUGCGUUGGUAAUGGAUGAGUUAACAGGACAUAUUCAAGAUGAUAUUCUUUGGUGUAUGCUUUUCGCAGACGAUAUAAUGUUGAUAGAUGAAACUCGGGAAGGGGUAAAUGCAAAGCUUAACCUUUGGAGAGAAGUGUUGGAAUCUAAAGGUCUUCGCCUAAGCCGAGCAAAGACAAAAUAUAUGGAGUGCAAGUUCAAUGCAAAUGGAGGCCAAAACGAGUUAGGGGUGAGGAUCGGAGAUCAAAAAAUACCAAAGAGCGACCGUUUUCGUUACCUAGGAUCUAUCUUGCAAAAGAACGGAGAAUUAGAUGGAGAUCUCAACCAUAGAAUACAAGCUGGAUGGAUGAAGUGGAAGAGUGCAUCCGGCGUGUUGUGUGACCGCCGUAUGCCACUGAAGCUCAAGGGAAAAUUUUAUAGGACGACAAUAAGGCCGGCGAUGCUGUAUGGCACAGAAUGUUGGGCGGUGAAGCAUUAACACGUACACAAAAUGGGUGUAGCGGAGAUGAGGAUGCUUCGUUGGAUCUGUGGGCACACGAGAAAUGAUAAGAUUAGGAAUGAGGAUAUCCGGGGUAAAGUAGGAGUAGCCGAAAUUGAAGGAAAGAUGAGAGAAAAUCGGUUACGAUGGUUUGGACAUGUGCAAAGAAGGCCUACUGACGCUCCGAUUAGAAGAUGCGACUAUGGGACAGAGGUUCAGGGCCGAAGGGGUAGAGGAAGACCUAGGAAAACUUUGGAAGAGACCCUAAGAAAAGACUUAGAGUACUUGGAUCUAACGGAGGACAUGACACAGGACAGAACACAAUGGCGUUCUAAGAUUCAUAUAGUCGAUCCCACUCAGUGACUUGGAUUUUCCAAGUCUCCAACCGAGAAGUUUUCCUCACUCGGGAAAUUAAGGGAACACUACCUCAACCUACAUGCUCCACUCACAAAGCUUCAACAUACAAGCUUCAACAAAAGAAAAUUCAAAUAACUUAGCGAAGAAGGCUUUGGUGUAUUUAACACAAUACGUUGAAAUGAAGGAAAACUUAUUUAUUGAUAGCCCUGAUAAGUUACAAAUAUGUACAUAUACAUGAGUCAAAAUAAACAAACAAGAGGGAGCCUUCACAAAGGUCGCUUAGGAGAAGUCUCAGCAGUCGGUAGAGCCCCAGAAAGAAAAGGCACCGGAGGGGGAUCAUUCGGAGCCUCAGUACUGGACAGAACCCUAGAAGGAGGAGGCAUCAGAGGUUGAUCACUUGGAGCUUCAUUACGCGGUACAGCCCCAGAAGACGAAGGCAAUAAAUGCCUUUGGAACAAACCCACAAAUCUCUGAUGAUCAAGUAAAACCUGACCAUCAGAUUCUUUCAUCUGGUCAAGCUUCCUCUUCAUGUUUGUAGCAUAGUCAUGUGCGAGCCGGUGCAACUAUUUAUUCUCAUGCUUGAGCCCUCUAAUCUCCUGUUUGAGACUCAUCACUUCAGCCGCCAAUGAUUCAACUUGGCGGGUUCGAGCAAAUAGGCGUUGGGCCAUAUUAGACACAGAACCUGCACACUGAACACUGAGAGCCAGAGAAUCCUUAACAGCCAACUCAUCAAACCGUUUGGAAAGUAGUCUGUUAUCUUUGGGAGUGAGAACGUUCCUGGCCACUAUCGCAGCGGCCAUAUCAUUCUUCAUCACGGAAUCCCCAACGGUAAGAGGACCAGUAGGGGAGAUGAAGGAUGGGCGCCAUAUGUUGUUUGGAGAAGGCGGGGCUGCCUCUUCAACAAGGUUCAAGUCAAAACGACGGUCGGAGGGGCCAGACAUUUUCAAAGGUGUUGAAGAGAGAAGAGGUCGGACAAAUCAAGAUCUUAGAAGUGCAAGAAUGAAGCUUCUACUGGUGAAGAUUCAAGUGUGCUUUGGAACUUAAUGCUAGCCUCUAUAAAAAUCUGCACUAGACGAAGCUUCAGAAAUCGAAGAGGUGCCUGCUCAGAAAUCGAAGAGGCAUUUGCUUUCUCAAAAGCUGGGCUGCUCAGAGACCACGAGGGUCGACCUCAGAAAUCGAAGAGACGUUUGCUUUCUCAAAAGCUGGGCUGCUCAAAGACCACGAAGGCCGAUCUCAGAAAUCGAAGAGGCUUGCUUUCUCAAAAGCUGGGCUGCUCAGAGACUACGAGGGCCGAUCUCAGAAAUCGAAGAGGCACAUACUUUUCCAGCCUUGUCAACACCUGUCACACGCACACUCAGCUUUGCGGAAAUUAUUGGCAUUCUGUCGAAGAUUUCUGAUGAAGUAGAAAGCACAUGAAUCGUACUGUUCAAUCACCCACUUCCCACACGCAACAGUAGCUCGAGGGUACCACAGAUAACUUUGCCAAAGUUAUCUGACAAAGUUGAGACACGUGAAGCUUACAGCUCCCACUACAUCGCUCUGGCCAAGAAGGGUAAAAGAAUAACAAAGAAACAACACUAACAAAGUUUAGACACAUAAAUUUUGAAGGUCUAGCUACCAUAUUAUUACCCACAAGGGUAAAGGAACAGUACCAUUGCUAGAUAAUUGGAAGGUCCCGGUGUGUCAACCUCUGUACUUCGUGGCACGAUAGACUAGCAAACAUGCAUAACCUUUACUCACAUUCGAGAAAACACUUCCAACAAGAUUGCUUGCUCCAAUAUCGAAGAGGCACCGCCUUCCGAAUCUCGAGAGCCAGACUCCCAACAUGAUUACUUUCUCAAAAAUCGAAGAGAGGGUAAAGGAACAGUACCACUGCUGGAUAAUUGGAAAGUCCCUGUGUAUCAACCUCUGUGCUUCGUGGCAAUGUAGACUAGCAAACAUGCCCAACCUUUACUCACAUUCGAGAAAACGCUCCCAACAAGAUUGCUUGCUCCAAAAUCGAAGAGGCACCGCCCUCCGAAUCUCGAGAGCCAGACUCCCAACAUGAUUACUUUCUCAAAAAUCGAAGAGACACCGCUAUCCGAAUCUCGAGAGCCAGACCCCCAGCAGGAUUGCUUUCUCAAAAAUCGAAGAGGCAUCAUUCUCCGAAUCUUGAGAGCCAGAUCCCUGACAGGAUUGCUUGUUCGAAAACCGAAGAAGCACCACUUUCCCAACUUCAAGAGCUGGAUCUCCUUAGAUAAAGCUUGUCUGUAAUCUUCACACGCAACAUCAGCUUUCCAGAUACCACAGACCACUUUUUCAAAGUGCUCUGACAGAGUUAAAACAUGUGAAGCUGGCAGCUCCCACUACCGUGCUAUGACCAAGCAGGGUAAAGGAAUAGCAUUAUUACUUGAUGUUAGGGAGACUCAUAUAUAUGUCGACCUCCAUCCCCAAUGGACAGGCAGACCUGCAAAAAUGCUCAACCCUUCCUCUUAUCUGAGAGGGCACUCCCAACAAAGCCUUUCGAAAUAUUCAGCUUUCUUUCUUCCCGAUAAUACCUCUGCAAACAAGCUAUACUAGAGCAAGAAUAUCUCAUAUCAUCAGGGUUAAAAGCAAGAGUAUCCCAUAUCAUGCUUUUUCCCUGUCUUUUCCUUUGACCUUGUUCUUACCUGCAAAACAAGGAGAAAGAGAGCAAUCAGUCAGCACUUGGAAUCAAGCUUCCAGCCAGGAACUGACUGCCUGGAACCCCUUACCUGAGUACUUACCUGGCAUUGCUCUCGAGUACUCAUCUUCAACAUCUUAUGCUUCCAGGGAAGAUACCGCAUCUGCUUGAGGAACAGAUAGGGCAAGUGAGAAGGAUACAAAGAAGCAUGUGGAGACAAGCGUAACAGCACACGUGCCAAUACAUCCACUACUCUGUCAAAAGCAAAAGUAUCCCAUAUCAGCAGGGUCGAACGUACUCUAGAUUUGAUGGACUUGUUUUGACCCUCAAAUUCUUCAGUCGGCCUUAUACUUUGGAGGAAACCAAAAAACCCUCCAGCCCAGUUCAAGAAUAAGCCUGUGGAAAGUUACUUCUUCAAAAGCAAAAGUAUCCCAUAUCAUCUCUUCUCAUUUUUCUUCUCUUUAUCCUUCAUGCUGCCUGCAAGAUAGGGAGAAUGUGAACAAUCAGCCGGAGCUCUGAUUGCUUACCUUGUCUGUCACCUCUUUCAGCAGAUCCCCUAGCUCGGCGACUUGGGGGACUCCUACUACAUGGUUUGUAUCGCGCUUGACCAAGCCUGAAAUUACAAGUAAGCUUCAAGUGAAAUUGAUACAUUACCUUGUGCAUCUCCACCAGUUAAAGAUACCACCCCUGGAUGGAGGAAGAGUACUUCCAGAGAAGAUGCCACAUCUACCUAUGAGACAGAUAAGGCAAGUCAAGACGAUACCACACUCCGGUACUUAGAAGUUUCGUGAUUACGAGAUCAUUCUCCCACAAUAUUUCCUAAUGUCAUUUGUACUAAAUCAUUCACUUGUACUCACUAAAGGAGAGUUUGAACCUAUGUACUUGUGUAAACCCUUCACAAUUAAUGAGAACUCAUCUAUUCAGUGGACGUAGCCAAUCUGGGUGAACCACGUACAUCUUGUGUUUGCUUUCCUAUCUCUAUCCAUUUAUAUACUUAUCCACACUAAUGACCGGAGCAAUCUAGCGAAGAUCACAAAAAGCGAUCGUUUUCGCUACCUAGGAUCUAUCUUGCAAGAGAACGGAGAAUUAGAUGGAGAUCUCAACCAUAGAAUACAAGCUGGAUGGAUGAAGUGUAAGAGUGCAUCCGGCGUGUUGUGUGACAGUCGUAGGCCACUGAAGUUCAAGUGAAAAUUUUAUAGGACGGCAAUAAGGCCAGCGAUGUUGUAUGGCACAGAAUGUUGGGCGGUGAAGCAUCAACACGUACACAAAAUGUGUAGCGGAGAUGAGGAUGCUUUGUGGGAUGUGUGGGCACACGAGAAAGGAUAAGAUUGGGAAUAAGGAUAUCCGAGGUAAAGUAGGAGUAGUCGAAAUUGAAGGAAAUAUGAGAGAAAAUCGGUUCCGGUGGUUUGGACAUGUGCAAAGAAGGCCUACUGACGCUCCGGUUCGAAAAUGUGACUACGGGACAGAGGUUCAGGGCCGAAGGGGUAGAGGAAGACCUAGGAAAACUUUGGAAGAGACCCUAAGAAAAGACUUGAGUACUUGGAUCUAACGGAGGACAUGACACAAAACCGAGCGCAAUGGCGUUCUAGGAUUCAUAUAGCCGACCCCACUUAGUGGGAAAAUGUUUUGUUGUUGUUGUUGUUGUUGUUGUAUUAGUAUGUUGAACAAAUUAGUUACAUUUCAUUAUACUAAAAAAUUUACAGAAUAUGAGAAAUAAAGAAUUUGUAUUGUUUAUAUAAAAAUAGAAUAACAAAGAACAUCAUUGACUACCAUUUUAUUCGGUAGUUUCCUCCAACUGCAAUUGUUGAGAUUGUAGGAGAUCUUCGAAUAAAGCCUUCAAUUCAACCAUCCGUACACAAACAUAAUAGACAAUGUUUUUUAGCGAAUUAUGGACAAAGCUUAAUAUUCAAAUGCAAUGAAAUGGAAAACACAAUCCAAUUCUAGGACGAAUUGAAUCCUUAUUAAUCCUUCCUGGUCUAGUACCUAAGAACCAAUGAAGUGGCAAUAUAUGGAUAUGCAUGCUAUAGGAAACCAUUCAUUUGUAGAUGGUAUUGUGUCACCAAUAUUGUAUUUAAAAAUCUACCCAAGAUAAAGAUGCAAUAUAUAGUUUGGUAAAAAAUCAAAACGAAGAGUUAACAAAGGAAAAGGAUUAAGACGUUGAAAAUACAAAACUGGAUUCUUUUAUUUGGUAAAGACGGUUCCCCCACUGGCUGUCCGAAAUCACAAACACUUUUUUACAUAGAAACUUUAUAAACUAAUAGAUUAAAAUAAGGGAGUUUUGACAAAACACUCCCGGUACUGUUCAUUUUUAACGAAAAACCACUUUUUUACCUUUAACUGGUACUAUUCACUAUACCUUCAUAAAGGGUUUUUCGUUAAAAGAGAAGUUUUUUUGGACUUUUUGUUAGUUUUCCUUUAAAUCUAAGUGUUAUAAAUGAAAAAUCCUGGGAUUGAUAGCAAUGGCAUCAACAGUGCCACCACAUCCCAAAUAAAUGAAUGAAAAUAUAGUGAUUAAUGUCCAACAAAGAAGCUCAAGCUUGAAAUAAACCAAGGCAUAAAAGCUUACCAAACUUUUCAAAUGGCUAAAUUGUUCAUUUAACUUAAUAACUUCUUCCUACAAUCCAUAAGUAAGACCAUUAGAUGCGGUAAAUAAAACAUCAUACUUCAUAUAUGGCAAUCUAGCAGAGAAACCAAUUGCAUUCAGAUGGAGCCUAAUUUGUGGAACUACAUUUAUAUGCACUGAAAUGCAUUAUCAUGUUGUCAUAUUUAAAACUGAGGUUAUGCAGUAUGCUAUCUUUAGCAUACACAAAAUUUUUGCACCUCAUUUUUGAAGUUCUGCACUUCAUAAUUUAUAUACUUUCAGUUUCCCUUCUAAUGAAGGUAUGGCUGCUUUCCAUUUGGAAUUUUCGCAAGACAACGUUAUGAUAUUCCUAAUUUAGAAUGCGUUUCCAUUCUAAUGAAUGCAAGCCCUAAAUCAUAAAUAUUGUAUAAUUAGAUCUCAAUUACUCUGAUGUGUUUGAGCACGUGGCAGGGCAUGAGAAUCAGAACCACUCCUUGUUGUUCUCUGCUUCGUGAUUUGGUCAUCAAACAAUACUUCAUUCCCUCCAUCCUUUAUCACGUCUUCUUGGUGAUCAUUUGUUCAUCUCCAAACUGUAUCCACAAAAAACUACAAAUUAAUCCCAAAAACAAUCAUACAAAAAAAUUGCGGAUUAGAUUUGAUUACGUACCAUUUUUCACCUUAAACAUAGACAUUUUAAACCAGAAACCAAAAUCAAACAAACAUAAAGAAAUACGACUGACAGAAUCACACUGUAAGACACCACCCCCUCGCUUCCACGGUUCCACCCACAACACCAAAAACAACAAUAACAAUAAUAACAAUGUACACUCAGACAAAACAAAAAUGCACCACAGCCCUCCAGUGCUAUAACAGCACUUCUAGGACAACUUUGAUAUCUAUGGACUGUUCCCUUCUCCAUGUUACAACGAUAGUAUUAGAGCUCUUACAACAUCACAGAUGCAUGACCAAGAGUGUAUUCGACAACCUUUUCUCUGAUCCUUUUCAUCAGUUGGUCCUAAAGAUUCUAUUCUUCUAAAUUCAUCUUCUUUUUGGGUAUCCACAGACAUUUAUCACUUCAUAUGUCGAACACAAAACACCUAACAUUUUGGGUGACAAAUUAGAAGCAACUAAUCGGAAUCUGGGUACUGAGAAUUAAAUUACUCUUUGUUCUUAUAGUCCUGAUGGAAAUUACUCAUUGAUUCAAAAUUAAUCAAACUAAAAUGCAAGAAAAGCAAAAUCAACAACGCAUAUCAGAAUAAUAUGAAAAGAUCCCAACAAACCAACCAAACAAUUAACAUUAAAAAAAAAUUGCAAACUUGGAGGGAAAGAAGCACCAGAAAAAAUAUACACAUCCAAUGCUUUUAAUCCAAAGCUAGAAGUAUGAAUAACUGAGUAAGUUAAUGAAGGCAAAGCAGAGGGUAGGAAGCAGAACAUACCAAGAGACCAAUAGGGCAUCCGAGCCGGUCUGCCGAUGAACGCCGUGUCCUGGUCGACAACGCCCAACGGCGUCGGCCUGGCAAUGAAGUAAAAGUCGAAAACACCCCCAAUGACCUUGUAGGUGAGAGAAGUCCCUCUGUAGAACACAUCCAUGCCAUUACUGUUGAGCAGCAGAAAAGAGUGCGCGUAAGCCUCGUUGCCCACAUUCUGAAGAUCCAUGUAAACCCGGGUGGGACCCGUACAAAUCAGUGUUGAGAUUGAUCGCCGAGACUUCAGUAGUGACGAGGGUGUAUGGAUCGUUCGGGUAGAGCUUGAUCCCGUGUGGCUGAGUGUUCUCUCCGAGGCCGUACAGGGAGGCGUCUUUCGGCGGUCGGGUGGAUAUCUCGAGGUACUGGUCCUUAAACACCAGUUCGCCAUAUGGGUCUUUGGAUUCGGAGCUCGAAUUGAAGAGGACCUGCCCGUCGGACUUCCUCUUGAAGGUGACCCAAAUGAGUCGGAGAUGUGGCUAAGAAUGAGCUUAGAGCCGGAGUACACUGAGACUUCGAUGGGGUUCUUCGUCUUCGCCUGAAACACGUUUUGGUUUCAAUUGAAAAUGCCAGAGCCUUGCAUGCGAGGAAGAUGACGAUAGGAUUCCAGAGAUAGAGAAAAAAGGAGUAAGACGACGGAGGCGAGAGAAGGGAGACGGCGGCAAGAGGAGGAUAGGACGGAGGCGAGACCGUCUGUAUCGUGGGUCUGUGAGACGUACAAGGCAAGGAGGGUUUGAGAAGGAAACGGAAAAGGCCUGCUUUACCAUUGUUAUUCCCUUCCCGCGAUCAUCAACGCGUGCGCAACAAGAUCAGCGGCAGAGAGAGCAUGUGGCAAAUUUGUAAAUAAAUUGAAAUUCAUCCCAAAACACUGUUUAUUUGAUUUAUUUGAAUAGUGCAAUUGGAAUCCCUUCUUUAGACUAAAGUAAUUUUUAAGUAGAAUUCCAACCGAGCCGUUAGAUUUUAUGCAAGCCAAAACCUUACCAUUAUUCAUACUUGUCAGAAGGCCUCAGAAGUCUCCACUAAAAUGCUUCCCUAAGCACGAGUACAUAAUGAUGCCACUGACAACUAGCUCGUCGAUCACCUCAGCGCUGCGGUUAAUUGCUUCUGCACAAGGCCUUGAUCACGAAUCAAAGAAUCAUGAGACGGGUAGUGUAGCAUAUCGAUCAAGGCCUUGUGGUACUGUCUGGUAGAUAUUAAUAACUUUGAGUAUAUGUUCACAUAGGUUGCCCAUUUCUGCCCAAUGGCAGUUGCAAAUACCAAACUCGUCAAUAACUUUUGCACAUGUACCGUCUAUGACAAUAUUGCAGUUAAGAAUCUUCAAAGCUUUACGCCAAGAUGUUAAACCACUCGCCCACUCAUCUUUCCAAUAUUGUGCAAAAUCAUCCUUCUCAGAAUAUUCAUCAAGCCAGAAGAAGGAAUGUACUUUUGUACCCAGCUUAUCAACCAACCAAUCAACUCGUUUGUACACUCUAGGUUUCUUCUCGUUCAAUAACCUAAGCUUUAGUGGCUGUGCUAGAACUCCAUUGCCGCAGAGGUUUCCUGGCUAGCAAGAGGAAGAGUUUGUAGUGCAGAUACCCACAUCCCUGAGUCAAAAGACAUUUUUCUUGUACGAGUUAUUCAAGAAUAAGGAUCCUGUUUAAAGAGAAGGGGGUGAAGGAAUUAAACGACACACUUAUUACUUCGUAUCAUAAGGCAAAAUAUACCUCUACUAAAGAUGAUAGUAAUCCAUAAAAUCUUAUUCAUCAAGAAAAUCUUCUAUGAAGUCCUCAGACAAACGCUCGGCUCCUCGUUGUUGACAGAUGUUAUCCACUGCCUAACGAAGCCUUCUUGACAUUGUAGUUCGCAUCUUAUUGUCCACACAUUUCUUUACUAAGUUUUUAUGCCAUGCAUGAGGAACCCGCCAAAAGCUUAUCAACACUGAACACUGAAAUACAUCCUUGAGUAUAACGACAUAAAACUGUCAGUAUCAAGUUUGGGCGAGGACUGAGCAACCAACCGGAUGGUGAGCACAUCAGCUAGAGGAUCAUCCACUAUGAAACCACCCAACUUCCAAAUAGGAUUUUUCGUUUGAACUCUAUUGUAAAGAGCUCUCAUCCAUUUAUGGGCAUUGGAACUUCCAAACUUUGGAGCCACUAUCCACGCCACCGGGAUAGUAAUAAUGUUGCAACAUGAACAUAUUCGGUUUCUCAUUAUUAUUAACAAUUGUAGUUAUAAUAAAAGGUUAAACAAACUAAACGGACCUUCAAUUUGGUUGUUUCGAACCUUGAAUCAGAAAGCUAUAAGGUUGUGAUUGUUGAAGCAAAUCAUCUGUUGCAACUGCCACUCUGUUUGAAUGCCCAAAGUGAAAGGGUCCACAUCAGAGAAAUCCUAAUAGAAGAAAACAUGACUCUGAUGGUUUUCUAGCCACAUGCUAAUGCUAACCGCAUCAUCAGCAUCCAAUUCAUAUAUAGAGCGUCGAAUGACCCUGCCUCCGAACAUACCUAUGGGUUAAAAGGUCAUCACGAUUAGAUGGACCACCCUGUUUCUCUACAGAUUCAUUGUGUCUCUGCAUUAUAGUCUUCACAAAGACCCCUGCAUAUAACAAAGAUUGCACAUGAAGAAGCAGAUCUUCAGAGAUACAAGGGGCAAAUAUAGCACGUGUUCCAGCAGCCAUCUUAUCUUGUGGACCAUGGCAUGGCGCUCCUUUCCUAUCUACAUGCUUAUCCUGAUUAUAUAUGAUAAGCGCCACUGAAGAAUACCAAGUAUACCAUCAACCUUUGGUUUGUUAGGCGUCUAUGGCUGCCGCCGUCGCCUCGCUUCAACAUGAAAUCUUGUUGGACAUUCUUUAUUAGAGCAUUCACCCCUUAGAAAAUCGUCAACUCUAGGAAACGAAAUUAUAGCAACUUCAUCUUUCUUGUCCCGCCAACCUUCCACCUUUGACCACACAAGAUCAGAAGAAGAAAACUCCAAUGCAGGUGGAUUUUCUUUGCAACUGGCUUCGUAAAGUCACAUGUUAAUAACAGUAACAGAGGUCCUUUUUACUCUACGCAAUACAAAAGAAAGUCAAAAACUUCAUAUCUGAUAACAAGAAAACAAACAAACAAAAAAGAAGAAACAAUAUAAUUCUUGCAAUACAUUUCCUUCCCAACAAGAGAAGUUCAAAACUUUAGUAAACAAUUAAACUGAUUUCGUCUAUUUUCAUAAAUUCUCAGAAAUUAACAGUCGAAAAACACAAAUUAAAGGGAAAAAAAGUGAAAUUCUUUGGGUUUUCAAAUAGAGAAAUUAUAUUCACACACCUAAAAUUACUUCUCACACACAUUUUUAUUUUAUUUUUUAUUUUCUACACACUACUAACACUUGAUAGAAAAAGAUUAAAAAAUUAAAAGGAUGUGAGAGAAGUAAUUUAGGAUGUGUGAAUAUUAUCUCCCUUUCAGAUAAGUGAAGUCACUAGCUUCAGAGUCACAGAUUGAGCUAUAUCGAUAUGUAUAGUAUCAGGCCAUUUAUGCAAAAAGAUCCCCAUUUUUUCAAAAAAAUGGGGAUUAGGUGUGGGUUCACUCCACAUCGAACUUUAAUGAUCUGAAUUGUCUAUUUUGUAUAGAACCGGAUCCCCUGCAGAUCCCUAAAAACUAAGCCUCCUGAGCAAAGAAUUAGGACCGUUGAAAUUUGAUCAAACUACUACAAACAGGGCCCCUCUAAAAGUUAUAAUAAUUGUAGCCAUUGGAUUAAAUUUCAACGGUCCAAAUUCAUUGCUCAGGGGGCUCAGUUUUUGGGGAUCGGAUUCCAAUUUGUAAGUCUCAUUUCAUAGAUUAUUCUUACAAAAAUUCAAUUUAAUCCAAAAUCAUUUACCUAUUUUGUAAGUCUCAUUCCAUAAAUGUCAUUAUAUACAUCAUUUCAUGUGCUACCACAUUAUUUGGUUCAGUAGCCACUUUACCCUUGGUUCUCUCAGCAGCUACAUCUCCAUUCCCACAGUUAUUCACAUUUGAAGAUAAUACUUCCUCAUUUCCUAAUUCUUGAUCUCGAUUGGUAAAAGAUGCACAUCCAUUGUGGUAUCGUUACUUUCCAAAUUAGCUGGUCCACUUAAGGAUGCGUUUGUUGCACCGAAAUGUCUCAAACUGGACUAAUUUCAAGAACUAAGCUGAUCUGAUUUAGACUAAACUAAACUAGAUUAAAGCAUUUGGUGCAGUAUCAGACUAAGAAGCAGGAUAAAAAUUAAUUUUCCUUUUUUUUUUCCAAAAACAAAGAACUCUAUCUGUUUCUCCAUUUUCUUUGGUCAAACUAUCUCUUCUCAUUUUUCUCCAUCUCUUCCAUUUUCCUUUCCUGUCCAACUCGUUUUUCCUUUUCUUCUCGAUCACAAAUAUACACAGUUCACAUGCAAACCAAUUUUCCAUCAGACCAAACAAAACCCAUCACCUGCCUCAUCAAUCCAACAAAAUUCCCAAACUUUCCCACCCUAAAAUUUGACAAUUCCAUUCAGAUUAAACAAAAGUUAGAGCUGAAAAACUAAGGAAAGAAAAAAAAAAGAGAAAGGGGAGGGAGAGUAAACAUAUCACCAAUAGUAGGAGGCGGCUACGCCGUAUAGCUUGAGGACGAGCAGUAGCGUAAAGGAGAAGAGGAGGCUGUGGGCCGCCAAGGCCUGCACGGACUUCAACACUCUCCGCUAGUUCAUCAUCACAGUAAAACAAUGUCGUCCGCUGCGAAAGUCGAGACUUCAGAUUGUGAGAAAUCUCAGGAGGAGGUUGCUGUUUCAGUAUGUGCCAUUGAAACGAAAGAGGCAAGAAAUAUUCUUUCUCUCCUUCUUCUUUUUCGUCGUUCGGGUUGACCCAGAUGGCAAAAAAUCCCAAAUCACCGACCUAGAUGCCAAAAGGGCACUGGGUUUGCAGGACGAUGGAGAUCGGCGACAACCGUUUCUGGUUUGGUCAUUGGAGAAAGGGGGUUGAUGCUGCUCAUGUAGGUUUGUAGGACGCUGCUCGCAUACGAGGGAGACGGGACUAGCAAUUCCGUUGUUUUUGGGGGCUUGCUAAGACCUCCAAGUGAGGGAUUUAGUCGAGGCGAGUCCUUCUUUGUCUCAUUUAACUUAGUCCCGCCGGUGAACAAACACAGAUUGCACUAACUUUUAACUUAAGCCAGUCCAGUGAGAGCUAAAGAAGGGAAACAAGCACCCUCUAAUUGUUUCUAUACAGAGACUGCUAAAGAAACAGCAUGAUCAAAAUCAAAGAAUCAUGAGGCGGCCCCAGCAAGCCCCUCAGCGGCUCUACAUCCCUCCGUCCCUCCAUCGUCGCACGGCGGAAACAGCCACGACAACUACGAAGACACCGACCUCGACAACAUCGAUUACGACGACAACGAUGGUUCCAAGGACCCCGGGAGUGACGACAACAACCACGGCAACGCUGGCAGCAGUGAUGAGGAAGUCGAUCCUCUGGAUGAUUUCAUAGAGGGGAUUCAUGCGGAGGUGACGUCAGCUAGGCCGCCGAGCUGAAAGUGAAGGCCGAGAAGUACAGGGAUGAUGAGGAGGAGGAUCAUAUGGAUAGGUUUUUUAGGGCUAAAAAGGAUGUGGUGCUCACACUGGCAUCGGGUGCUUUACACGCCGGAUAUGACUCCGAUGAGGAGGUAUAUGCGACCGCCAAGGCCGUCGAUGCCGGGUUGUUGGAGUACGAUUCAGAUGAUAAUCCCAUUGUUCUGGACAAGAGGAAGAUCGAACCGAUUCCAGCUCUCGAUCAUAGUUCAAUCGACUACGAGCCGUUUAAUAAGGAUUUUUACGAGGAGAAAUAGUCGAUUUCAGGUAAAUUCCAACCGAAUUGAGAAUUUUGUUCCUUUCUUUUUUGUUUUCCAUUCACAUUUAAUUUUUUUUUUAUGAAUUUAGUCGAAAUGCGUAGCAAAGUAUAUAAAUUUGAGUGAGAGAGAAUAUUGACCGGCAGAAGUUCUCAAGAAGACAAUGGAAGACUAGAGUUAACUGGUGUUUUGGUUUCCUUGUUUAGGGAUAAGUGAGGAGGAUGUUUUUUAGUACAAGAAGAGCUUGGCCAUCCGUACGUCGGGUUUUGAUAUACCGAGGCCAGUUAAGACAUUUGAAGAUUGUGGAUUUUCUUCACAACUCAUGGCUGCCAUAAAAAAACAAGACUACCAAAAGCCGACACCAAUACAAUGCGCAGCUCUACCCAUAGUUCUUUCCGGGAGAGAUAUAAUUGGUAUUGCGAAAACUGGUUCUGGAAAGACUGCCACUUUUGUCAUUCCAAUGAUUGUCCACAUUAUGGAUCAGCCAGACCUUCAAAAAGAAAAAGGUCCAAUUGGAGCGAUAUGUGCUUCUACUAGAGAGCUGGUGCACCAAAUAUACUUAAGAGUCCAAAAAAUUUGUGAAAUCACAUGGGAUACGUGUCUCUGCUGUAUAUGGUGGAAUGUCUAAGCUUGAUCAGUUCAAAGAACUUAAGGUAGGAUGUGAAAUAGUUGUUGCUACUCCUGGGAAAUUAAUCGACAUGCUUAAAAUGAAGGCACUGACAAUGCUUAGGGCAACUUACCUAGUACUUGAUGAGGCUGAUCGGAUGUUUGACCUUGGGUUUGAGCCUCAAAUUAGAUCUAUUGUUGGUCAGAUUCGGCCAGACCAACAGACAUUGCUCUUUUCUGCAACAAUGCCCCGUAAAGUUGAAAAAUUGGCUAGGGAGAUUCUCUCAGAUCCUAUAAGAGUUACAGUGGGUGAGGUGGGAAUGGCCAAUGAGGAUAUCACUCAGGUUGUUCAUGUAAUUCCUUCUGAUGAUGAGAAGCUGCCCUGGCUUAUUGAGAAGUUACCUCGAAUGAUUGAUGAGGGUGAUGUUUUAGUAUUUGUUUCAAAAAAAGGCUGCAGUGGAUGAGAUCGAGUCACAGCUUGCUCAGAAAGGUUUUAAAGUCACAGCUCUGCAUGGUGACAAGGACCAGGCAUCUCGGAUGGAUAUUUUGCAAAAAUUUAAAUCUGGCAUUUACCAUGUUCUUGUUGCAACUGAUGUUGCUGCUCGUGGUCUUGACAUCAAGUCAAUUAAGUCGAUUGUGAACUUUGAUAUUGCAAAAGACAUGGACAUGCACGUCCAUCGAAUUGGUAGAACAGGUCGGGCUGGUGAUAAGGAUGGCAUUGCAUACACUCUUAUUACACAGAAAGAGGCACGUUUUGCUGGUGAGUUGGUUAAUAGCUUGGUUGUUGCUGGUCAGAUUGUCUCCACGGAGCUCAUGGACCUUGCGAUGAAGGUAAUUUUGCAGUACUAUUAACAAUUUUUUUUUUUUGUGGUUUAUAUAGCGAGUUUAUACAUGCAUCCAACUACCUGCCUUUUUGUUUUAGAGAUGGUGGUUAUAACCAUAGUUUGUAAUCCUAUAAUGCAUUUAAGCGAAUACAAGUUAUUAAUAUGUUCUCUGGUAAAACGUGCUCUUUUAAUGCAAUCUGGAUUCUGGACAAUUACACCUACUGGUUUUUGUCUCACAAAUUAACUACACUCUACUAUAUAGGUGCAUAGGUUGCUUCUGAUUUAGAGUGCGCUUUCGAGAGAGAUGGAUUUGAUGACCAUUUGGUUUUCAAGGCCUUAUUUUGGAAAGCUUCAGUAUGUCCUUGCAAUUACAGGGAUCUUGAGAUCGUUGACUUCAUAACGUCAAGAUAGUAAAUUUCAGGAAACGUGCUUAGUUUAGAGAGAGAGUAAUUAGACAGUAUUUAGUAGUCCCAUCUUUACUUCAUACCAUGCUCUGCAUAGAGAAGGGGUUGUUGGGGGUGUAUGUUGGCUUGUGGGGCUGUGGAUUGAAGCAUAGGGAUGAAUUGAAGAUAAAGCUCAGUCUGGGCCCUCUGGGGACUUAUUAACUUUUGUGUAUUAUUAAGUACUUGCUUGCAUUAUACCAAUACAUCGGUUGAGGCCAACCAACAUUUAAGAACUAAGAGAAAAAUCGCAUUUUAAGUACUAAAUCUUAAUUACCACAUGGACCCUUAGUAAAUUGUCACUUAUUUUUCCUUGUGCCAAUAUAUCUCAUAGACAUAAAUGCACAACUUAUCAUGAUAGGUGGCUGCACCUGCAUUAGUUUUAGAAGUUUUACACUAUGAGAGCCACUCAUGCAUCAUUUAUUCAGUCUUGUGACUUUUAAUUCUUGCCUUGCUGCUUGUAGCUUUAUAUUUUAUAUCCAUCAUUACACUGGUUUCCAUCUCCUACAUGGAUGUGCAGUUAUUUUGGGUGCACCUCGUCUGUGGAACUUUUGUUGCUUUCCCUAACUAUGUUUCUUGUUUGAUAGCUUUAGAUGUUAGCGUGAGACGUUAGAUUUCAGAUCUUACAUUCUCUAUUUUAAUGGGAUUUACCUUGUUUAUUAUCAGGAUGGUAGAUUUAGGUCAAAACGCGAUUCAAGAAAAGGAGGUAUAAACUUUAAUCAUAUUAAAAUUUCAAUUUUCUUAAGAUUCUUUUGCAAUUUCAUAUUAAAUUAGCCUUUUUCUAUAAUUCAAAUGAUGAUAUUAUAUGGAUUUUGCAGGUGGAAAGAAAGGUAGAGGGAGGGGCGGCGGUGGUCGAGGUGUGCGUGGGGUGGAUUUUGGUCUGGGUAUUGGAUAUAAUACGGAGUCCAAUAGUUCUUCAUCGAAUACUAUUCCUAGUCGAUCUGCUGCAGUAACUCCUCAGAGGACAGGAAUGAUGUCUCAGUUCAAGACUAAAUUUGUUGCCGCUUCAUCUAACUCUCCAAGUCAAGGUUUAGCUAACAACUUUAGUGUGCCCAACAGACCGGCAUUACGAGGAUUUGUAUCCGGUGGUUCAAUAGGUGGUGAUGUAUAUAUAACUCAGGCAACCAGUACAAUUACUCCUACUCCUGCUCCAACAUCAAUGGUAAAUAAAACUGCUACUCCGAACACUGGAGAAAAUUCAAGUCAGAAACCCUCCGAAAGGUUAAUUAAAAUGAUGCUUGGUUAGAAUUUUUGAUGUCUUUACAUAUUUGAUUGGUGUUGAGCAGUUUCAUUUGUGUCGAUUGCAGUUCUAGAGAUAAACCCAGAGAAAGGCGGAGGCGCUCCGGUUGGGACUGUUAACCGUACAGUUGAACUACACCACUUUCGCAUCAUGAAUGACAAGUUUUACCUUUGUUGUAGGUCAAGUCCUGAUAUGCCUGUAUUAUUGUUGAUCUUUCUCACUUUCUUUGUCGCUCUGUUUAUAAGUUAAAAAGAAACAGAAGAUUUUGUAAACUCAGAUCGACUUGUUGCACAAAUAGCGGAUGAUUUAAAAGAUAGACUGUUCAGAUCAUUAAAAUACAUUAUGAAGUAGAUUCUACAAAAAGUUGUGCCAUGUAAAAAAAAUGUGGUGUUUCACAUGUGCUCCGUAUGUUAUUUAUAUUAAUCAUUCUGAAUAACAUCAUAACUCAACGAUUGGUAUAUAAUACAAUAAGGCCUCGUUUGAUGUCAAUGAUUUGAUUGGUUUUGAUUAGAUUAGAUUGGCUUAGUCUGGAGAAUUCACUAGAUUCAGUGAAUGUUGAAUGAAAAUAUGGAUUGCAUAUUUUGUUCAAGUGAAGAUGGAAGAGAAAAAGAAUAAGACUAGUAUAACAAAUCAAAUAUUUACGGAGCAUGCAUAGGUUUUUAAUUACAACUAUUCGUCAAUUGAUACUUCUAAUUUUUGGUUUUAAAUGCUAUUAUCUCUUAAAUAAAAUAAUUAUGUUGUUUUAGUCUCCUCAUCGUAUUGUACGUGUCGAAUUCGUGUGAAGUCUGGUGGGACAAGAGAGAGAUAAGGAGGUUGACUUUGAUCAAUUGAUCUCCUUUCCAUAACCAUUUUUCUUUACCUUCAUCCCCUUACACAAAGUCCGUUCUUAAGAUCUCGAGUUCUCUCUCAAUGGCUGCUAAAAGUUCCCGAGAUUCUUCUUCGUCCUCUUACCGGUGUUCCUAUCAUGCCUUCCUGAGUUUCAGGGGCCAGGACACGCGCAGGGGCUUACUGAUCACCUCUAUAGAGCUUUGGAGAUAGCAGGAAUCCACACGUUUAGAGACGAUGAUGAAAUCAAGAGAGGGGAGAAUAUUGAGUCGGAGUUAGAGAAGGCGAUACAGGAGUCACAAGUAUCGAUGUCUUCUCCAAGGACUACGCUUCCUCAAGGUGGUGUUUGAACGAACUUCUGAAGAUCGUGGAACGUAGAAAUACUGAUCAUAGACAUGUGGUUCUGCCAGUUUUCUAUGAGGUGGAUCCAUCCGAUGUCAGGAAGCAGAGUGGUCCUUUUGCUGAAGCAUUUGCCAGACAUGAGGAACGAUUCAGUACGGAGAUGGACAAGGUGGAGCAGUGGAGAAGAGCUCUUGGAGAUGUUGCAUCUUUGGGAGGAAUGGUUUUAGGAGAUCGGUAAUUUCUAUUCUCAAUAUAUUCUUGAGCUUAUUGAAAGUGUUUUAAAUUAAGUAAAAUUGUAGAUAUGUUCCUAUGUAUACAGCAAUUUGUACGAUGAGCAAUCAUCUCCGUACGACAUAUCAUUUACUACAACUUCAUGUAAAAGAAAAUAACUUAUUUCUGCUUCAUGUAUUUUGAUUCAAAUGAAUUACAGGUAUGAGGGGCAGUUCAUCCAAGAAAUUGUUGAAGAGAUUAGAAAUAAAGUGGGUCACGCAGCUUUAGACGUCGCUCCCUUUGCAGUUGGAAUGGAUAAUCGUGUGCAAGACCUAAACAUGUGGCUACAAGAUGGAUCCAAUGAUGUUGGUGUAGCUGUCAUCUGUGGGAUGGGUGGAAUUGGCAAGAGCACCAUCGCGAAAGCCGCGUAUAACCGCAACUUUGAUAGAUUUCAAGGUAGCAGCUUUCUUGCAGAUAUACGAGAAUCUGCAGAACAACCCAAUGGUUUUGCUUGCUUGCAAAGAAAACUUCUUUCAGAUAUCCAAAAGGGGAAAGCAAAGAAAGUAUACAAUAUGGAUGAAGGAACAAUCAGGAUCAAACAAGCCGUUGGCAAUAAAAAAGUUCUUAUUGUUCUUGAUGAUGUGAGCAACCGGGAUCAACUCAAUGCAAUUCUUGGAAUGCGAGAGUGGCUUCAUCCAGGAAGUAAAAUUAUCAUAACAACUAGACAUGAGCAUUUGUUAAAUGCUCAUAAAGUUUUUGAAAAGUUUAUGGUUCAAGGACUGGAUGAGGAUGAAUCACUAGAGCUUUUCUGUUGGCAUGCCUUCAGACAAUCCCAUCCAGAAGAAGGUUACAUGAAGCUUUCAAGACAUGUGGUCCAGCACUGUGGAGGGCUUCCAUUAGCUCUUCAAGUUCUGGGAUCUUCUCUAUCCGGAAAAUGUGUAGAAGUGUGGCAAAGUGCAUUGCAGAAGUUAGACGUGAUCCCUAAUGACAAAAUUCAAAAAGUUCUGAGGAUAAGUUUUGAUUCUUUACAAGAUGAUCAUGACAAAAAUUUAUUCCUUCACAUAGCCAGUUUCUUCACAGGAAAGAGGAUGGAUUAUACAAGUAGAAUAUUGGACAGCUUAGAGUUUUACACAAGGAUUGGGAUUGAAAAUCUAGUUGACAGAUGCCUAGUGAAAAUUCAAUGGAACAGGUUGGUCAUGCAUCAAUUGGUGAGAAAAAUGGCAAUGGAAAUUAUUCGUGAAGAAUCACCUGAUGACCCUGGAAAACGUAGUAGAGUGUUGCAGAAAGAUGCCUCUAAUAUUUUGAGAAAAUUAAGUGUAAGAACUAUGUUUUUCAUAUGUAUGUAUUUUUCGUUAUGAUUUGUAUGUGCAGUACUAGUAAUAUACUUACCCAAUUCUCUGAUUUGUUAGCAGGGUACGGAAAAUAUUAAGGGCCUCAUGCUCAACCUUGCUAGCAAAAGAACGUUUGUUCGAAGUGAUAAAAAACGAUGCCAUGUUGAAGAUUAUGAUGGAAAUUGUUCAAGACGACGUCGGCUUGGUUUCUUCUCUUGGAAGCCAAUUAGCUUUUCCUCCACAAACUCAGCUUCUGCAUCAAAUGAGAUAGAUUUCAAAUCUGAGGCAUUUAGAAGGAUGCAGAAUCUUGAAAUUCUCAUUCUCAACAACGUCAACAUCAGGGGAAGCUACGAAGAAUUUUCAAAAAAUUUAGUAUGUUUAUCUUGGCGGGGAUUCCACUUAAAAUCAAUACCAGAAAAUUUUUGUUUGGAAAACCUGGUUGUUCUAGACAUGCGAAAUAGUAGCCUACAACAUGUUUGGAAUGGGACCAGGGUAUGUAACUCUCUCUCUCUCUCUCUCACAAACACACACAAAUUAAUAGGGGCCAUUAUAUCGUCUUAGAAGCUAAUUCAUUUGUAUUAUUAUUGACACAGGUUAUUCCGAGGCUGAAGAUUCUUAAUUUCAGUCAUUCGCAUGGCCUUAGGACAAUCCCCGACUUCUCAGGACUCUAUAACCUUGAGAGGUUGAUUCUUAAACAUUGCUUAAAUUUGGUUGAGGUUCAUGAGUCCAUCGGACACCUAGAAAAACUUCUUGUUUUGAAUCUAAAAGGCUGCAAAAAUCUCAUGAAGCUUCCAAUAUUGAGAUCUAUUCAGGAUCUUAUUCUUUCUGGUUGCUCAAAGCUUGAAAUGAAGAAACUCAAUCUGGUAUCAUCUAAAUCAUGGUAUUCAGUCUGGUCGUGGGUGUCGCCAAGAAAAAAUACUAAAUUAAGCAGUUUCUCAUUGGCAAGUUUACCACGUUCUCUGACAAGUUUAAGUCUGGAUUGCUGCAAUAUAUCAGAGAUUCCAAGUGCCCUAACUAUGCUGUCCUCGUUAGAGUACUUGAAUCUGGAUGGUAAUCCGAUUACAAGCCUACCAGAAAGCAUGAACUAUCUUGUUAAGCUCCGGACUCUUAAAGGAUCUGAAUGCAGAAACCUCACAACACUUCCAGAGCUCCCACGUUCUUUGACGAGUUUAACGCUGGUUCGCUGCAAUAUAUCAGAGAUUCCAAGUUCCCUAACUAUGCUGUCCGCGUUAAAGUACUUGAAUCUGCAUGGUAGUCCGAUUACAAGCCUACCAGAAAGCAUGAACAAUCUUGUUAAGCUCCAGACUCUUAGAGUAUCUGGUUGCAGAAACCUCACAAUGCUUCCAGAGCUCCCACGUUCUUUGACAAGUUUAAAUCUGGCUUGCUGCAAUAUAUCAGAGAUUCCAAGUGCCCUAACUAUGCUGUCCUCAUUAAAGUACUUGGAUCUUGAUGGUAAUCCGAUUACAAGCCUACCAGAAAGCAUGAACAAUCUUGUUAACCUCCAGACUCUUGAUGUAACUGGUUGCAGAAACCUCACAAUGCUUCCAGAGCUCCCACGUAGUUUGGAACAAUUGCAUGAUAGAGGUUGCGCAUCAUUGAAAAGAAUAACAAAUUAACCGAAGUUGGCCAUGUCACCGGACUUAGAUUACUGGUUUUCUUGCAUAGUAAUGGACCCAAGGCUAUGGUAUUGUGGGAAACUUGUUGAUUUUAGAAGCUUGUUGGAUACACUAGCAUUGGUCUCAUAUCUCUCAGAUCUAUUCGAUUUGGAACCCAAAGGUGGCAUUGAGGUCCAAGGGAACUAUUGUGAGAGUUUGGGCGUCAAGGUUCUCUCUCUCUCUCUCUCUCUCUCUCUUAUGUACAGGUGCUUAUAAUAUGGUGAAUAAGAUCUCUAUGGCGUAAACGAUUAGAUUGUAAUGACAACAUCACCAUGGAACUGCAGGGAACUUUUGACUGCUGCAUAUUGAGCAUAUUUGUUCAGGGGAGCAAGAUUCCAGAUCGGUUCAAUUACAGGAGCAUGGGUAACACUGUGUUCUCUAUUAUUGUUCCUUCACAUCUUAAUCUCAAGAUCGUAGGUUUAAACGCAUGUAUAUUAUAUGCACAGCAGUCGGAUCGGAGCCUUGAGGUUGCACGUGGCCAUGAUCACCGUUCGCUUGAACUUAGGAAUGAGACAAAGGGCCGUAAGUGGAACUUAAGAAUGCGGAAUGAGGUUGAAUGGAACUUAAGAAUGCCGUUGGAUCAUGGGGAACAAUGAGUUGGAAUGCGGGGAAAGAGUGUGUCUUGCAAUCAAAGAGGACAAUGGUUUCCUCACAAAGGAGAUUGGAGUCCAGUUUGUGUACAAGCGGCAAAAUAAGGAUAGGGAGGAUGUGCCAUCAAGUAGUGAAGAUACAACGAUCCAACGAGAAAGAUCUCCUUGGGAGUAGACCCAAAGUUUCCUUGAAACCACAAGACCCCGUGUUCCGGGGGGUGUAGAGACGGGGAUUCAAUGCAUCCAUAGCUGCGAUAAGAAAGUAAUUUCAACUGUCAUGUGUGCGGCUGAAUACUAUUUCUGUAACAGUGACAGGAUCGAGAGGCUCUACCGCAGUGGGUCGUAGGCUUUCGGACUUUUAGCCAAAAUAACCCAGUUUAAUUGAUGUUGGUGAUGCCCAAAUCACUAGAUUCAGAUGUGUAUUGGUUGUUAAGCUUUCGUUUCUAUCUAUUUUCUGUUUCCUCCUAAAAAAUUGUUUUCAAGAAUUUAAUAAAAUUCCAUACCAAACAAGUUCUUGCCUAGAUAAGAGUAUGAACUAGCAAAAAUGCCCGUGCUGCGCUGCGUGGUUGUGUGACACGCAUUUGGUAAGCUUCGGGGGAGAUAAGAGUAAUGGUAGAACUUAAUGAAACUUGGUUGAUUAGAUUUUUUUUUUUUUUUUUUUUUUGUUCAUAGUAACGGGCAUUGUGCAGGUAAGUCAUUUUCUUCAGAGAAUUGGGGAACAGGUUCAUGGUCUUCUUUACACAAAUCUAUGUUUAGUUUACCACAUAGAUUAGUGGCAACGAUCACACGACCAUCGCCAACUACCGCUACUUCGAAAUCAAAAAACCGCAAACUAAGGUUAAGUGUUGGUAAAGAUGAAAGGUUAUAUGUAUUAUGUGACUAAUGACUGAUGUUGCCGAGACACGAAAAACAUGAAGCUUCCUGGAACUAUUUGGUUUAGUGAAAAGUAAAUUUCGAACAUUGUUUCGUGGUGUUACGCAUGCCAACCACAUACUCUGCGGGUGCUCACAAGGAUUCGACAUCUUCUUCCUGAUGCUCCAGAACAAUGGUGGCAAGAGCAAGUCUAUAAGCUGAAGAUCUCAAAUUCCUGACUAGAACAUAUAUUUCCUUUCGUCUUCGCUUAGCUGGCACCAAAUCCCAUUGUUCCUCUCUGAGACGAGCGAGUACAACUGCCUCGCAAAAAGCUUCUGCUACUGGCUUCUUGCUGCAUAUAAAAUAAAAUGCAAUUUAGCACAUGGAAAAUGAUGAACGCAUAGCAAAAUAGAAAGAAAAGAUGGUCGUUGUAAAGUGGCAAGAGGCUGUGAACUAACAUCCCUCUAACAAAACCAGUGGUGACGAAGCCCAUUGGCGAACGAUAAGUUUCUCUAAGAACAGGGUCCUCUGGCAUUUGGAGUUCCCACUUACCAGAAGAUUGCUCUGUGAAGUACGAAGCCACAGCAGAUUGAGGCAUUUGAAGUCCUCCAUCGAAACUCUCUGACCUGCAAGACACACACAUGAAGCUUAUUUUUCAAAAUUAUUGGUCUGCAGCAUGAAUGGUGCUCUGAAAUACGUAUAAAGUCUUUCAAAAAUAGCUGCAAAACUUCAAGUCACUCCCACGAUUAAAAUUUUCAACGGUUACAUUAAAUCUCAGAAAAUUUUCAUCAAUGCAAGUUCUGAAUAAGAGACGUAAUGUAAAUAGGUCACAUUAUCUCCUCUACUAGUAUAUAAAAGACGAGAAAAUUUCAAGCACCACCGUUGUAAUACAAUCAUAAGCUUAUAGGAUAGCAUAUAAAUCAUAAGCUUAUAGGAUAUCAAAGAAAAAAUGACUACCUAGUCCACAGUGAUAUGUCCGUCAGUCGAGGAGCUCCCUCUUCAAGAAAACCUUCCUUGUAAGCAUGGAGUAAUACUCCAACAAAACAUAGUUUAUGAUUGUACUUAAAUCUAGUAAACUGAUCUUGGCCCGGACCAAGCUUGAUUUCGACCCUCAUAAACUUCGUGAAACUUCUCUCCUUAUCAGCGACAUAUGGAAACAGACGUAAAUGACAGCCUUGAAUUUCACUCAAGAAAUUUGUCAGCAAAAAACUCGUCUGUGCGAUAAAACCAUCAAAUGAAUUUCCAUGACAGCCGGCUAAUGUAGUAUCAGAAUUUCCAGAGUCUGAAUUAGUGAUGAAUAGCUUCUGAUGCCAUGUUGCUGCCUAAAACUUUCAGCAUCUCCAACUGCAUUUGAUUCUUCGUUUAAAGCAACUUGGAUACUAUUCCAUGGGGAUAAAAUGGGAACCCUCAAAGGUCUUAUGGCUGGAGGAUGAAGUUCCUCUUUAAGAUUAGAGGCAGCAGCUUCGGUCUCCUUGAGGCAUAAAUAUGCAUCGCAAUCAGGAAAAUCUGAAGGAAUAUAUGGCAACCCCAUCUAGAAAAUAAAAGGGACUUAGAUGCAACAUUCGAUAACCUGAUAUUAAAUAUUAUAAUUUACACGUAAUAAGUUUCAAUGCUUACUUCACACGAAAUCCAGCGCUUCUCUCUCAACCCCAUUGCAUGAGCCCCCUUAGAGACAAGAGAAAUCCAAAAUGCCUUGACCCAGCUUAAGGGGAGUAUAACAGACCAUCUGUAAGGCAAUAAGAGAUAGACUUCUAAGGUAACUUUAAAAAUAUAUCAUACUCAAUUGAACAGAUGAUAAAGUUUGAUGCAUUGAUGGAAUUUUAAGGCGAGUCAGAAAAAAACAGAUUGUCACAUUCUACUUUCAUGAAAUCCAGAACUUCGAAGAUCACGUUAUCAAUUAUUGCACAAAGAGUCAGCAGGAACAUUUAUGCCAUGACUUUCAUGUUUCCGAUAAAAAGACAUAGAACUCCAUAAUAUAUAUCUUAUGAGAAACAAAAUAUAUUAACAGUUUAUAAACAGUACGAACAUACAACUCAGGAGAAAUGGUGCCCACUGAACCCACAUAUAAGCAUUAAUACAAGUACAUAAAAUAUGCAGCAAUUAGCUUAAUCCACAUAACACUAAAUGGAAGAAUAAACCAGGAAAAAAAGGAGUUUACCCAACAUGCAAGCCUCUUCCGUUACUAUCUUCAAAAGCAUAAUCGGGCAAGAUCAUGAGCCCUGUGACGUGGAGGAAGUAUUUAGUUCCCCUGAACUUCAAUCAUCGAGGCUGAACAAAUUCCUAUUCUGGUCAUGUUUUUCCUUGCAAAGAACAGCCUCUUCCACUGGAGGGCUUACUCCACUGCUAACAUCCUACAAAUUGUUUGCUCUGAUCUUGCCAUUACCUGCAGGUUCAUCUGAAAAUCGUCCAAAGAUAACAUGCUUUUUGUCUUCAGCUCCUAGUACAUCACCUAGUAUACUAGCUGAACCUAAAUCUUGAGCAUCUGCAGUGUUUCCCUUCUCUGUUAAUGUGCAAGGAUCCUUGACAUUAAGGGACAAAAUUGCAUGAGAAGGAAUUUCCUCCUCAUUUUUAAGAUGAAUUGUAGAUUGGGAAUCCUCAUCCGCCUUGGCAGCUGAAUGUCUCAUCAACUUCCAAGAAUUAUCUCUAGUCCUAUUCAGCCAGACAACAAAAUUAGCCAUCUUUAACCUCAUUACUUGGUUAUGUCACUGAAAUCCUCUCCGUAACUCACCUGGUAGAAGGGAUUAAUGUCCUUUGAAGGAGUUGAAAUGCUUUUGAUCCCACUAAUUCUAAUUUUGCAAGUUGACCCUCAAGUGAGAAACAAUUAAUCACGAUGUCCCUGCCCUCCAUCUAAGAUAAUAAAGCAUUAUAUGAAUAACAGUAAAUAAUCUACCGAGAACAUGUAGUAUCAUCUAACAGUAUGAGUUCUCUAUUCUGACAUCUACCAAGUCUAGACUAGAGGCAAACUUUGACACCUAAGCACAGCACAAAAACCACUUGAGAUAGCAUUUGAAAAAAAAUGUUGGCUUAUCAGAGAAUCAAGUACAAAGCAUAGAAGUAGACGAGUUUCAGUAUUGCCCUAAAUCAUCAUUCACUCAAAGAAUUCAAUACCAAACCAGGGCUGUUGCAUUCUAUCUUAAGAUCCAUAAAUCAUUAUUUCCUUCCUUCUGACGUGAAGUCAGAUGAGAUUAAGCCUCUAUACACUUGCUAUUGAUGUAUGUGUGAACAAAAAGAAGGAAUGGGUACCUCUUUUUGGCAAGCUAAUUUCAAAGUGUCAUAAGCUUCAGUGAGAGCAGAAGCAUGUAUCCACACCCAAAGCUGGCGAUCAGUAGAAGAGUGGUUUGUACUCUCUAGUCCUUUAAAUUCAUCGCCUUCACAGUCAGCUGCAUUAUUAUCUCUAUUUGGUUGGCCAGAAGGCCGCCACAUACAGUUCACAGGAGCAAUUGGUUUUGAAAGAGGUGCUCCCAAAUGAUGAAGCUGCAAAAAAUGGGUCAUCAAGUCAAUACCUCAAGUCAUCCACAUUCACAAAGAAAAGUGCAAUAGGAUAACUUACCAUAGCAUUAUCAUAUAUGACGCCAGAAAUAACAGAACGGGAAACAUUUUCAGAACGAGUUGACUGAGGAGACACCAUUACCAUGCCUAACACUGAUAGUAACGAAUCCUGGAUGCAUAUGAAGUAGGGUGUAACAUCAUAAUUUAGUAGCAGAAAAUAACAUAUUGCAACACUUUUCCUUUUGAAGAAAAAUAAAUUAAAAGGUAUACAAUUUCAUAGGAAUAAAUUCAUAAGAUAGAAAGUAAAUGCCUGCCUCCGGCCCCUCCAAUUGGAUAGCUACAUGAUAGCUUGCAUCAUGAACAAGCACUCCAUCCCUGAACCACUUCAAGACAGCUCUGGACCCCCUUCCUCUACAUUUUAUUGUUUUUUUUUUUUUUGAUAAAAUAGAUAUACAAGCGAAUUAGUUAUUUAUUGAGAAAUAGAAGAAAUAAUAAGCGAAAAGUAAAGAAUAACACUGCUAAAUUAAUAUGCGUUUUACCUGCCCUGCAAACCCAAGGGAAGGUAGUAACCCCAAAGCUCUGUCAUUGCGAACCGCUUCGCAUGCCAAACAUGUGUUCUAAGCCUCUUUGUACCAUCCCCUGAUGUGCAGAAACCCUUUUCAAGGUUCAUUUUAAGCUCAGCUCUCCUACGAAUGCGAUGAGGAACAUUCUUGUCAUCUUUCUCUGGAGGCAAUGUCAAAGCAUUACUCUGAUCAAGUUUUCUCUAUUUUCUAAAUCUUUUUUUGGCGGCUUGAUUGUCGUAAGCAGUGGUUCUUCUUCUCUUGCUUCUCCGAGACCGGAAAUCAUUGUUCAAUCUGUUAGAUACAAUUGAAUGGAGUGUCUCAAGCUCUGAACCCCGUGAUUCUGCAAACUUUUGGACAUUGAUUUUUCGAGGCGGAGCUGAUGAAACCUGUUGCCGUCUGAAACCAUCGGUAGCCAUUAGACAAAAUUAAACCCCUCAGAUGAAGAACGAUAUUAUACCAGUCUGCCACACAAUUAUAAUCGCCUCUUCACUCUUCGGACAUCAUUGGUCUCUAUUCGCAGUACUACUCUAUUACUCUGAAAUGUCCAAAAACAAAUUGUAAGAUUCUUCAAAGCGUAGCAAUCGCAACUGGUUCCAAUUCCAAUUACUUUUUAUGGCGCAUUUACGUAACGUAAUCAAAAUAGAGGAAUUGAAUUGAGGAGGACUCAGAAUCGGAUUCUAUUGAAGCUGUUGGAAUCGGAUUCUAUUCGCAGUACUAGUACUGUGAAAUGUCCAAAAACAAUUUUUGAGAUUCUUCAAAGCUUAGCAAUCGCAACUGUGGUUCCAAUUCCAAAUAAAUAUAAAGUUCGAAACAAUAGAAAACAUCAGAUACGAAAUUCACAGUCUAACUAACAUGAUAACAUCAAUGAUACAACAACUUCAACUUAACUUUCGAAAACCAAUAUGUAAUGACACAAAGCUAAAUGAGCAACUACUGCGGUAUCCAAUAAAUAUAUAAAGAUUGAAACAAAGAAAACAUUAAGAUAAGAAAUUCUGAAUGCAAUGUGACCAACAAAAUCAAUUACUUGGCACUGGCACUGCCACUGUAGGAAUUUAACAAAAGAAACUCCUCACAUCAACCACCAGUUGCAUUGCGUGUAUCAAAACUCACCAGAUAUGCUCACAAAUUCAUACUAACAAUUAUUUUAAAAACAAAAUCAAAAUAAGAACAAGGAUGCAGUGCAGUGCAGAUUCACUCGAAAACUAAGUGAGAUUGCGGGAUUAUCGGAACUGAAUGGCUUGGAUUUGCGUUUCAGCUUCUGGUUAUCUAGUGGUAGACGUCACAAAAUUAGUAAAAUUAACUAAUUUGAAUGAAAAUAAAGAAUAAAACUUUACCAUGGGAAUCUGCAAGCAGAGAUAGAGAGAGAGUACCUGAGGACUGAGAGAAGAAGAAUAUGUGAGAGGGAGAGGAGAGAGAUUUUGCAGCUGAAGAGUGGAGAAAGAAAGGAGGGAAAAGGGGUACCGAGCAAGUGGCAGCCUACUUGAUACCUGGAGCAAUUUAAUUGAUUACCGUUGGAUCAAUCUCAACGGCUGAAACUAAACACUUUCUGUAUCCAAGAAAAACAAGGCAUCGGACUGAAAACUCCAUUCAGGACUCGGAUUGAUUCAUCAGCGCGCUCACUCUCACUCUGUUGUUUUAAGUGAUGGAUCAUAUAAACUAAGGAAGCCAGAUCGUCGUUGUUUUCAGAGAAACACAUCUUCUCGGCCCUCUCAACUCCGAAACACACACGAGGGAGGCCAAAUGGGCCUCAGCCUUCUUCCUCGCAAUCUCACAACAAACCCAUACCUCUACCAAACGGCCCUCGCAACCUCUACCACUUUCGCUGAUUCAAUCCACGUCUUCGUCGAGGUAAAGACUUCAUCUUUUUCAAUGUUAGAGUUAAUGGGUUUUACCCCUUUACCUGAUCAAGUAUGUAAUCGCCAUUGUAAACUUGCAUGCUAGUUCUUCUCUGAUCAAGGCCAGGAAGUCGACCGAUGCUAAAUUGGAUUAUUCUCACAUCACGGUAAAACAAUUUUUGAAAUUACUGCCUGAAGUUUACUGCAUUUUCGUCACUAAUCUAAACCCAGAUAUGAGAUAUCGAAUAAGUAGCAAAUUGAUUUUGGGAUUUUAGGUUGAGCUUCGGACAGUUGAUGGGUUCUUGAAGGAUAGCACUCAAGAGUUACUACUUCAUUCCCGUUUAUGACAAGGUAUUAUUUCUUAUUCUUUUUCGGUGUCAGAUUUCGCUGGAUCUUUGCAUUUCACGUGCUCUCAUGCUUCAGUGAUGAUGUUGUGUUGUCUGUUAAAUUAUCGGAGGAGAUGGCGAAGAGCUAGACCGGUAAACGGUCGGAUUUAUUGGAUUUGAGUCGGGUUGAAUCCGAUCUGUUAAUUUAAUGGGUCAUUUAAACCCAACCCGUUAAAUUGACUGAUCAUCCGAACCCAACUUGUUAACAUUUUAUCCAAAUCAAUUACAAUCCCGUUUUAUAUAGUAGAAUUCGACUUUCUAUCAAUUAUAUGCAUCUCCUAAUCUUAACAUGGAUGAGAAAAUUGUAUAAGUAAAACACAACUUCGGCAGACCCGACAAUGAUGAGCCCUGCGAGGCUUGUAUUUAGAACACUUUUCACAGCCCCCAUGUCAGAGAUCAAGAAUCAAAAGUUUCAAAAUUAGCUACAGAGAGAAGAAAUCAGCAUUUUUAAUGUGCGGCUAGACGCACUGCCAUAAAGUACUUGAUGACGUGAACUCUUCAAAAAUUCAAUGAAAGUGGGUUGCAGGGGGAAGAGAGAGAGAGCUUUGCUUUUAAUAGUGCAGUACUGCAGUAUUCCGUCGAGUUGAAGAAGACGUCGGAGAGAGUGGUAAUUUCUGAGGAAGAAGGUGAGGGGGAAGUUCUCAGAGAUGACGUGCACACUACUGCAAUAGUGCAAUGCGAGAGAGUGAGGGUUUCAUUAUUACUAUUGAAAUUACACAAAAGCCCUCAAUAACGAGUGUUAACGGGUGGUUAAUGGGUUUCGCAGGUUCAUCCAAAAUAACCCGUUAUUUAACGGGUGCUUAAUGGGUUGACCCCGUUAACUACCCGACCCGAUAAACACUCAUCCACAUACUCAUUUUAACGGGUCAGAUCGGGUUGGGUUAACGGGUCGGAUUUAAAAUGCCAGUGCUACGAAGAGCCAUACACUUGGUAUUGCUUACUCGACUGAAACUCUCUGGUUGGGACUGUUAAUUGUACAGUUGAACUACACCACUCUCACAUCAUGAAUGACAGGUUUUGUUUUUGUUAUAGAUCAAGUCCUGAUUUGCCUGUAUUAUUGUUGAUCUUGGUAAGUUUACUUAUUUAGCUUUAGUUGGGUUCCUAAUUAUGCAUGCUUGUACUUUUUGUUCCAUACUUUGAAAUUGGCUUCAACCGCAAGAUCAUUCAAUUUGGUCACUUUUUUUUUAUAAUUUGGAACUAGUCCCCUAGACCAACCAACCUUCUUUAUAAUUUGACUCCUUCACGUAAAGCCACAUGCCCCCAAAAAUACCCUAAACCCGAAAGUCAAAUUAACUUUUGACCAAAAAAACCAAAUAUUGUCAAAUUAACGGUUUGAUUAAUGGAGGUAUGAAAUUGCUAAAAAAUACAAGUUUGUGUAUGAGAUUAAAAUGCUCUAAAGAUGUUGUAUGAGGUUACAAUUACACUCACACUUAGGAUGUAAAAUGUUAUUUACUUAAUUUUAAUUGUAAAUUUUGAAGUUUUCAAGGGCAAUUUAUGGUAUUUACAUUUAGAAUGCUUCACAAUAUAAAGUCUCCCACUUUAUAGAUAUAGACAAUUUAAUUGUAAAUUUUGAAGUUUUCAUGGAUAAUUUAUGGUAUUUUGAAUGUUUCAUCCUAUAUAAAAUUUAUGGUAUUUUGAAUGUUUCAUCCUAUAUAUAUAUAUAUAUAUAUAUAUAAAGGUUUAUGUACACCUCGUGUAACUUUUUUUUGUCCUAGUUUCAUCAAAGAACUGCUAGUGGGGGAUUCUCCACAAAAAUUGAUAGUCAAAGUCCUCUCAAAUUCUAUAUUAUCCUCAACAUCCCAUUCACUUACGAGGAAACUUCGUCGUCAAUAAGUGUGGAGUGCCUGGUGGCUAAUGGGAACCUUCCUCUUCAUAUAUCAUAUUAUGUCUUGUCCCUCUCAGAAACUGCAUAUAAUUGUCCUUGGCCUUGCAUAUGCUUGCCCUGCUUUCAUUCAUUGCGAGAACCAAGAAGCAGAGGGUUUCUCUAGAUGGAUGCUUUCCGAGAUUCCUCUUCCUCCUCUUACCGGUGUUCCUAUCAUGCCUUCUUGAGUUUCAGAGGCCAGGACACGCGCAGGGGCUUUACUGAUCACCUCUAUAGAGCCUUGGAGCUAGCAGGAAUCCACACGUUUAGAGACGAUGAUGAAAUCAAGAGAGGGGAGAAUAUUGAGUCGGAGUUAGACAAGGCGAUACAGGAGUCACAAGUAUCGAUAAUUGUCUUCUCCAAGGACUACGCUUCCUCAAGGUGGUGUUUGAACGAACUUCUGAAGAUCGUGG